rnacentral:lncRNA from 1 species
UUAUUGGAAGAUGGGUGGAGGAGCAUCGUCAGAAGAGGCUUUCCGGAAGCAUCAAUGAGGCUGAGCAAGACUUCAUUCACGCCAUGCUGUCUGUUAUAGAUGAUGCUCAGUUCUCUGGCCAUGACCAUGACCAUGAUACUGUCAUCAAAGCCACUUGCUUGGUAUGUUUCUACUACUUCAUAACACCACCAUCCUCAUGAGCAUCUGCAACUUCAUCAAGACCUUGAUAAUACUCGUAUUACUACAUCAUGAUCUAUUUUUUCCUUCUGCUAUACAGUAUUUCAGGACUAUUGAAGUAACUCUGUUUGUUUCUUUGACAAAAAUUGCCGUGACCAUUCCCUAAGGAAACAGCAGACAGAAUUCAUAAAUUAGGCUGGAAUAUAACAGGAACUGGGAUAAUUUUUUUAUACCCGGAUUCCCCAGUCAUAAUUCUUCUGCCGACACGCUAGACAUACUAUUUCACAAAUGAUGUAUGGACUUUUUUCUUUAAUCACAAGUUCAACAUGGGUGUAAUAUGUUGAUGCAGACUGUCAUGUUGGCGAGCAAUGAUACAAUAGCGAUCACACUCACCUGGGCACUCUCUCUGCUAAUGAACAACCCUCAUGCUCUAAAAAAGGCACAAGAAGAGUUGGACUUCCAUGUGGGAAGGAAUCAGCAAGUGUACGAAUCAGAUAUAAAGAAGCUAGUCUACUUGCAAGCCAUUAUCAAGGAGACUUUACGACUAUACCCUGCUGGGCCGCUUGCACUGCCACAUGAGGCCAUGGAGGACUGCACUAUUGCUGGCUUCCACAUCCAAGCUGGGACUCGCCUUCUGGUUAACCUCUGGAAGUUACACCGCGAUCCCACAAUUUGGUCGGAUCCUUUGGAGUUCCAACCUGAGAGGUUCCUGACAAAGCAUGUGGGUUUGGACGUUAGGGGUCAACAUUUUGAACUUCUACCAUUUGGGUCAGGCAGAAGGAUGUGCCCAGGAAUCUCAUUUGCUCUGGAGAUCCUGCAGCUGACACUAGCCAGAUUGCUUCAUGGUUUUGAAUUGGGCGUGGUUGCAGAUUCACCCCUGGAUAUGACUGAAGGUGUUGGGCUCGCUUUGCCUAAAGCAACUCCGCUGGAGGUCACCCUAGUCCCAAGGCUACCCUCCGAGCUCUACCACUAAAGUAGUAUCCUAAUGUGUGCCACAAAAUCCCCUGGUUAGCCCAGGAAGGGUCUACUCCACUGGAGGUCACUCGGGAUGCGUAUCCGCCUAAAUAAACCUCGAUGAAAAGCCUCACAUACAUCACUUGCCGUCCUUGCAUAUCUACUCAAGCUUUCUUAAUCAGGAUACUUUCUAGGUACCUUGUGUUUGUAAUUUAACUGGAACAUGUUAAAAUUAAGAGUCUUGGGUCUAUUUUGGGAAUGUUUUUAAAAAUAAUUCUUAAAAAUAUAUAUAUUUUUAAACUAUUUUCAAAUUUUGUUUUAUCAUAUUUUCUAAAAUAAAAAUAUGUUUGAAAUUUUAGAAAUUUCUUAACAUGUUUUUUUCUUUUUUAAUUUUCAAAUAUUUUUUUAAAAAUGACCUUCUAUCUCCAAUGCUUUAUUUUCAACCAUUUCUAAAAAUUAAUUAAAUACGUUUUUAUUUUUUUUUAAUUCUCAAAAAUAAAAAUAAUUAUUCUUAAUAACAAUUUGUGAACAUAACUUAAGCUUUUUUUGGAAAAAAAAAAUAGAAAUGUUGAAUUUAAAGUGUUCAAGAAUAACAGGUGAGUGAAUGGAAUGAGUGCGGCCUUUAAAACUCAUCAUUUGUAACAUGAUUUAAGAACUUGUUUGAUAGAGGUUUUAAAAAGCGUUUAUAAUUUUUUUAGAAGUUAAAAAUAUUUCUUUUGAAAAAAAUUUUUAAAUACUAAAAAAAUUAAAAAUACAUUCUAAAAUUAUUAUCAAAUGAAUUUUAAAAAUGUGUUUAUCCAUGUUUUUACUAAACAUGAUUUUUGUGAAAGUAUUUUCUUUAAUAGUCUUUUUCAGAUAAUAAUUUAUUAAGAGUUAUUUUGGUAGUGAUCCUAGAAAGUGCUUUUAUCGUAAAAAGAAGUUUAAAAAAAACCAUUAAAUGUUUAACAGAAUUUAGGAAAUACUAUUCAAAAUUCUAAAACUGCGUCAACGUGAUUUUUGUAAAAGUAUUUUCUCUAAUAGUUUUUUUUUAGAGAAUCAUUUAUUAAGACUUAUCUUGGUGGUGAUUCUAAGAAGUGCUUUUACUUUAAAAAGAUGUUUUUUUAAAAAAACAUUGAAUUUAAGAAAUACUAUUCAAAUUUUGAAAAAUCACUUUUUAGAAAAACACUUGAUUGAUGAUUUUUCAAAAAAUAAUAUUUUAUGAGAAAACAUUGUCAUUAAAAUUUUUUUGAAUAAAAACACUUUUAAGCGCACUCUUAGUGCUAUUUUAAGAGUAUGUUUGAGAGUAAUUAUUGAAAAUAUUUUUAGCAUAUUUAAUGUUUGAAAGAUAAAAAAUUUUAAAUAUUAAAAACAUUUUUUAAAAUCACUGUAAAUGCAAUCUAUGAAGUAUAUUACAAUUGAUUUUUUUAACUUUUUAAAACCCUUGUCUAAAUUUUAUCUAGUUUUUUUUUUUUUUUUGUCAAAACUAUUUUUUUAAGCUAGAACUAGAAGUACUCUGUAACUUUAAAGAAUCCUUACCCAGCCGUUAACGUUUUAAACACCGUAGUUACUAGGCCCUACUCUCAUGCUAUUGUUUAUAUAAACAUGAACACUUUUGUUACUUAGUGCUGGAACGCAUUAGAACUAUAGACAAAACAGAAGAUUCCUUGGUUUUAUUUAGGCACCAAACCCACUCAUUCAAGCAUAUUUAAAUUUAAAUGCAGCCGUCCACGAAUAAACAACAGACCCAUUACCAAGAAGGUGAUCAUCCUUUUUCAGGGUUGGUUCUUCAAAAUUCAAAAUCAGUUAGCUGAAGGAACAGAAAGGAAAAGAACAGAGCUGAAUUUACAGAAAAGAAUUUUUUUUUUUUCUUUUUCUUUUCUAAGGAUCUUGGAAUCCUUUUCCUGGUAUAGGCAGAACAUUAGAGAUAUAUAUAUGGUAGUGGGAAGUGAUUCUUCUGUUGAAACUCCAUUUUUCUUGUAUCCAAUUAUUAGACAGGAAUUGCAUGUUGAAUCAUACGAAGAAAUUAUGCCAAACAUUUCUAUAGAAAGGGAACAUACUGAACUAACUUGAUUCCAUUUUGAGUGUUGAAUGAACAAGGUAUGGAUCUUCUAAGGCUGUGGAGGGCACCAUCUCUUUCUGGAUUCUCUCUGACGAUGGGAGUGGGAGAGAAAACAAGUCUGUUUUUAUUUCAAAUUAUGUGAUUCGAUUGAACAGACACUUAGCCUUUGAUUUUAUACCCUCCUGCAUAGGACCAUACCCUUUGGCUAUUGGGCCUCACGAGUCUUAGGCCCAUCAUCUAAGGCUCGUGAUGGCAAUGGGCUCUACACAUAAGGUGGCCCAUACUAUGGAAAACUGAUACAAAAUAAAUAUCAAAAGGCGAAUAGCUUAGUCAUGUAACAUUGUUAAAUAUGUGUGAGUCCAUAUCUUAACAUCUUCCCCCUAAAACAUUUUCUUUUCUAUUGAGUCAUGGCUUCAGUUUCGAGGGAUCAUCGUUUUUGGCCUUCUGUUUGUGGUUGAUUAAAGCCGAAGGGAACAAGAACAAAGGCAAAAGGGCACCAGAACCAUCCAGGGCAUGGCCUUGAAUCGGACACCUUCAUCUUCUAUGAGCAGGCAAGCCCCAACAUCAAGCAUUUGGAGCAUGGCAGAUAAGUAUGGACCAAUCUUUUGCUUUCAUAUUGGCCCGCGCAAAACUUUUUUGGUUAGCAGCUGGGACGCAGCAAAAGAAUGUUUCACUACCAUGGACAGAGCAUUUGCCACUCGACCCAGAUCCUUGGCAUGAAAGCUCAUGGGCUAUGACCAUGCCAUGUUUGGUUUCUCUCCUUACGGGCCAUACUGGCGUGAUGUAAGGAAGUUGGCCUCGGUUGAGCUCCUCUCAAACCUCCAGCUUGAGUUACUCAACCAUGUCCGGGACUCAGAAGUUAAGCUUUUCAUCAAAGAGCUCUAUGGGCAAUGGAUACAAAAUGGGGACAGGCCUCUUUUGGUCGAGAUGAAGGAGAAGUGUUGGCACAUGGCAACAAAUGUAAUGGUGAGCGUAGUAGCUGGGAAACAGCAUUUUGGCACCAUUACAAACGACUAUGAAUCAAGACAGUGCCGGAAGGCCCUUGGCGAUUUGUUAUAUCUUUCGGGGAUAUUUAUGGUUUUUGAUGCAAAUCCCCUUCCUUGGCUGGUCAGACACUGUGAGAGGAUAUACGACAAAAAUGAAGAGAACAACUAGGGAGAUGGAUCAGGUGCUGGGUGUAGGAAGAGUGUAAAUAAUUUUUACUUUUAUUUUUGGGAAGUGUCCUAUUGAGAAUUAUUUUAUUAUUUUAUUUUAUUUUAUUCUAUUAAUGUUAUAUUUUUGGGAAGAGUCCUAUUGGGAUUGUGCUAGUGGAGUCUCAUUCUUUUUAUAAGUAGAUUCCCCUUCCACUUUGUGUCAUCUUCUAAUUACAAGUAGAUUCUCAUUGGAUCGUGUUAGUGGCCUAUAAAAGCAAGUCACCCUUCUCUCUAUAUGAAUACCAAUUUUUCAGAGAAUUUUUUAGAGUUUUUCAGGAAGUUUUUUUCACACAUCCUUCUGGAGGAAUUUAUUCAAAACCCAAGUUGUACACAUCUCGCUUACAGAGUGCACCCAAGGCGGGAUCUGAUUGUUGAAUACUAGAGGUAGAUCACCGGUACCCUAGUGCACCGAGUUCGUCUUCAAGGAGGGUGGAUCUAUUUCAAAGACAGUGGUUGUCACGAUAAAUUUUUCUUCUUAUUUAUUAUGUUCUUUGUUUGUCUUUUGGGCUAGUCUUUUGUUUUCAUACCCUUAAAUCCAACAAUCUUGAAAUAAAUCUAAAUGGAAGCUUCCCUGGUUCACACCUGUCCUAACACCUUUAAAAUUGAUCCCUUCAAAGGAACAUUCUUUAAGAGAUGGUAAGAAAGGGUUUUCUAUGCAAUUGAUGUAGUGAACUUGGGACACUUUUUGACUGACUUAAAACCUUUGAUGCAGUGUUGGUAAGUUCAGGAGUAUCCUUGAACUUGUGGGGGGAAGCUCUCCUAUCCAUUUGUCAUAUUCAAAAUAGAAGACCUUACAAGAAAUUCCUAGGUUCUAAGUUUGAUAUGAAAGUCCUAGGAGAGGUAGAGGUGAUUCUAGGAAUUAAAAUAACUAGAACAUCUAAUGGGCUUAAACUUUCUCAAGAUCAACACUAUGUUGAGAAGAUCCUAAGGAAGUUUGAACACUUUGAUUGUAAACCAAUGUCAACUCCUUAUGAUCCCAGCUCACAGCUAAAGAAAAUAGAGAACAUAGUAUUACCCAAAUAGAGUAUGCUCAGAUCAUAGGAAGCCUAAUGUACUUAAUGAACUGUACCAAACUUGCUUAUGUAGUAGAUAGAUUGAGUCGGUACACCCAAAGUUCUAAUUAGGACCAUUAGACUAUUGUUCGUAGAGUCCUUAAGUAUUUGAGAGGCACCAUUAACUAUGGUUAGUGCUUUAAUGAAUUUCCAAGUGUCCUUGAAGGAUUUAGUGAUGCAAAUUGGAUCUUAGAUUCAGAUGAGAUGAAAUCCACUAGUGGAUAUGUUUUCAUCCUUGGUGGAAGUGUUGUUUCUUGGAAGUCUGGCAAGCAAACUUGCAUUACUCGAUCUACUAUGGAGGUCGAGUUUAUUGCCUUAUAAAAGACAAGUUCUAAGAUUGAGUGGCUUAGAAACCUCUUAGCAAAUAUCCCUUUAUGGACGAGACCAACCCCGUCUGUGUCUAUGCGUUGUGAUAGCCAAGCUGCAAUUGCUAAGGCUAAGAGUAAAAUAUUUAAUGGGAAGAAUAGACAUAUACGCCUAAGGCACAAUAUUGUGCGACAGCUGCUUGAAACAGGGGUUAUAUCCCUAGAAUUUGUGAGGUCAGAGUUGAAUUUGGUUGAUCCUUUAACCAAACCACUAAGUAAGAAACUAGCGGAAGAAACAUCAAGGGGGAUGGGGCUUUUGCCUAUUACAGAAGUCAAGAGUGGUGGUAACCCAACCUAUUAAAAUGGAAAUUCCAUGAAACAGGUUCAUAUGGGUAAUAACAAAUCACUCGUUGACUUGAGGGGCUCUAUCAAUUCUAAUUGUAUGAGAGUUCAUCCCUAUGGUGUAGAUAGAGCGUAUUCUGCAUUGACUAAGGUUGAGUGUUUAUGAGAAUAUGUUUUAGUCUUUUUCAUUUAGUUUUAAAAACCAUUUUAAAAAAUAAUUAUACAAAUAUGAAAAAGUAUUAAAAAUAAAGCACUAAGAUAAAAAUUUAAAAACAUUAAAAAUGGUCUAAAAACAUUUCUAUGUCCAAAACAGACUUUUAUUCACAAAAUAUCAAUAACGAUUUUUUUUUAAAUAAAAAAUAAAAACUAUUUUUGAAAACUAUUUUCAAAAACACUUUUCAAACAAAACUGUAAUUUUUGAACUUCUUCCAAAGUCAAUAUCUGUUGUUGCUGCAAUAGAUGUUUCUUCAUCAAGUAAAGUUUAUUUUGAAUGUCUGCUAUUGACUUGUUAACAUAUUAUAAAACAAUUCAUCUUGGCUUUCAUAGUGAAAUCACAAGGAUUAAUUAGAAACCAAUCAUUUGUAUAAGGUUGCAAGCCCUUAUGAUUGAUCCAAAAUUUGCAUUUUUCUUUCCCACAAGGUGAAUAUAGCUUUGGCAACAAGCAUAUGAUCGUGAAUGAACCAUCCAACUUCAUAUUAAAAUAUCUUAUAUUAAUAGAGCAUCCAAACUGAUGAGGGCACGACUAAAAAAUGGAAUACAAAUCCUAUCCAAGUUCCAAUUGGUCUAGUUACAAAGGCUCAAGCUAAAAAGUUAAAGGAAACUCUUAAUGGAUUGAUUCAAAACAUUUGGGUUGAGUUGAAUUUGUGGAGAACCAAGGAAGAUGUUCCACGUGUUCCACAAGGUUGGAUUUCCAUGAUUCAAGCUUUUGAAUAAUCUAGAAGAAUCUCACAAAAAGAACAGCUCACAAAUUCCGUGGAUUGAGUGGAGUUUUCUAAAUUGGUGAUUACCCAAUUACCUUUUCUAGCUAUUUGUGAAUCCUAGGCAAUAUAUUUAGGGAUUUUCUAGCUACCUAAUUCGUGGACCUCUUUGUACUUAAAUAUCCAUUAGCUUAUUGAAAAACAAUGUAGAUUUCAUUCAUAAUUUUGUGAGAGAAAAUUAUCUUUGGUUCUUUUAGAACUCUUUGAACUUAUCGGAACAAUUUCUGCAUAUGCAACAACCAUAGAACAUAUAUGGAUACUUAUUCAUGAUCUACAAUAUGAAAAGAGAGUUUAUCUUUCUUUACUUUUUAGCAAUGUGACACUAUGUGGACCUAAUCAAAUUGAUGAUUGUUCCCAUAUUGCAUUAAAAAACUAAAUAUUUCUCUAAAAUAGUUAUGGCUUAUUAAUCUCCUAUACCCUUUGAAAUUAUCAUAUGUAGCACUUUAAUGCUAAUGGGCUUGCCCUAGUAAAAAAGAAAGCUUGAAGGAUCUUAUCAUGCAUCUCAAUGGUGGUUGGAGUCAAAGGCUUGUUAAGAAGAAAUUGAAAUGCAAUAAGUACCCCAUUUUGUUUAUUUAAUAGAUGAAGUCAAAUAAGAAUAAUUGGGAAAGUCAAAUAGUUGAGCUUGGAGAUGAAGCAUAGAUAUUGCUUUUAAUUGCUUGAAGAUGAAUUCAAAAAAGUGUUUGAUGUUUCAUCAAUGAAAUGACUUGAUUUCAUCAUCAAGAGAGGGAUUGAAAUAGACCUAGUAAACGUUAAGUCAUAUUGGUCAAUAAGAAAAAUCAAAGAAUUGAGAGGUUUCAUCGAACAAUUCCAAUUUAUAUGAUGGUUCAUAUUUAAAUAUUCCUAUUGGUGUGAACUUUUCUAUGAACUCUUGAAAGGAGGUUGGUUUUAGAUGAGGGUGGGGAAAGGUGAUGUCAAUAUACAUUUUUAUAUUUAAAGGUAGAAGAAGAAAUUUUCCACUUUCCUAAAUUCUCUCCUUGGCUUUAUUAUGACUCCCUCUAAACCCUUCAUCCUCUAACAUCUCAUUUGGCUUUAUUGGUGAAGUGAGGAUUCAAAGGUUUAAGAGUAGUUGCUUAGCCCUUGUCAAGAAAUGUUUUUAAAAACAAUGUUUGAGAAUAGUUCUUAAAAAAUCUAUUUAAUUAUUUUCAAAAACAAAAUUCUAUUUGAAAACCUAUGUAUAACACAAAAAUUCUCAAAAAGAUUUUUAUAUUUUCAAUUGUUUCUGGUAAUACUUCACAAAAAAAUAUCUCAAUUUUUUACUAUUUCUUUUAAAUAACAUGUUUUUAAAAAUAAAUUAUCAAAAAACUGUUUGGUAAAGCAGUUAUCAACCAUACUUUUCUAAGUUAAAACACUAUCUUAAAAAAAAAAGAACAAUUCUAAAACAAGCCUUACAUUUCUUUUGUGUCUAUUUUUUAAUUUAACACUAGAAACUUUGAUUGUGUGAGGGUUUCUUUCUUCAAAUUGGAUUCAUAUUUUUCUUCCUCGCUUGACAAUGAUGAAUGGUGUCUUUGACACAUUUCCUUCUUAACAAUGACAAAUGUCUUCUCCCCACUUCUAGCUAAUCAGAGAGACUAGAGGAAAAAUAGUUUGUUUCAGGGAAACCUUAGUCAUCCUAAUGUUACUAAAGUCAUCCAAAAGAAAAUGUAGCGUAUGAUUAGGCAAAUUUGUUCCUCACUCGAACUGUAAUAUGAUCAUCCUUAGCCCUCAAUAGAUUUGGAUUUGAAUGGAUUACGUUUAGAUUAUGAAUAUCUACUUCUCAGAGUGUUCUAGUGUAGAUAGUUUUGUGUCAUCAUGGAAUCCUUUUCCUAGUAGACUAAUGGUGCAAUAGAAGUAUUAUGUGUGGUAGCAAGGGAAGUAAUUCUUUCAACUAACCUAUUUUCUAUGCUAACAAAUAGUAUGGCAUUCUUCUUUCAACUUCAAGAUAUGAGAGUUUUUGGUCCUCUUUUUGCUAUGAAUUUCCUGUCUCUAGUUGUUUAAUUCCAAAGCAAACAAAAACAAAGGCAAAAGGCCACCAGACCUGUCUAGAGCAUCACAUUUAAUAUUUAUUGGUCACCUUCAUCUCUUAGGAGCAAACAAGUCGUUACAUCAGACAUUUGGAGCCAUAAAUGAUAAGUAUGAACCAUUUGUGUUUGUCUAAGCUUUAUGUCAUGACUCACCAUAAAUAAUGUCCAAUGUACAUAUAAUCAUAUAUACAUUAAUGCUCUUACCAUGAGAAACCCAUCCCGAUGACUAAGACCAAUCAUGUCUCUAUAACAAAAUAAGGUUUAGAACUAAUGAUUAUAUUUCAGGUAUGAUUAGACAAGACGAUUUCCAAGGUGGCAAUCAUAAAAAUAAAUCAAGCCAAAGAGAAAUCAUUAAGAAGAAGAAGACCUCAAAGAGAAGUGUUUUUCAAGACCCAACCUUCAUAAGAUCUCUUUGUAAAGUUGUUGGCGCACUAAGAUUUUCAUGCAUUACAUUCUUUACUUAUGCACUAAAAUCAUUCAAGAGUUAUUUUAUUUUAAAUAUUUUAAAAUUGGAUGAUUUCAUGUUUUCAACUAAAACCUUGUGUCAAAUGUUUUCCCAACUUGUUUAAAAGAUUUUAAGUUGAAAAAAUUGGUUGUUGAGCCAAAAAUGGCUCAACCGAUUGAACCAGAUGAGGAAUCGAUCGACUCCCAACUCAACUGGUUGAGGGGUACAAAAAAACAUUCUCUCUCUUCCAAAACGGUUGUGCAACCGGUUGAGGUCCGGUCAAUGGGCGAUCGAGGUCCAACGGUCACCUGCCAAACAUUAAAUGCUAACGACUAGUCAAUCGAUCUACCCCCAGCUCAACCAGUCGAACCCCUAAUGGCUAGUUUGGUUUUUUUCCUCUAUAAAAAGGCUCCAAUCUUCAUUGUUUUAAGAGCUUAACCUUUAUUAAUCUUUCUUGAAUAUAUUUGAGCCUUAGGAGAGUGUUUUUGAGUGCACCAUUGUUCUAAAACUUGCAUAUCAUUAGUGCCUCAUUCAAUCCUAGUUUUCUUGUAACAUUUAAACCUUAAAGUUUUGUACUAGGAUUUUGUGAGAUUCUUUAUUAUCUUCAUUUGUAAAUCUUUGAGAGAAAGAAUCUAAGUAUGAGGUAUCACUUAGGAAUUCUCAAGUGUGGGGUAUCACUUGAGAGAUUGUUCAAGAGUGGGGUAUUUUUUUACGUUUGAAAAUGGUGGAUUGGAAUCAUAAUCUAAUUGUAUUGCUUGAAGGCUUGGUUUAGAAGCCUUGAAAUAGUAGAACCUCAAACUUGGGAUUGAAGCUAGAGGAGAGUGAACGUAGGCCGGGUUGCGUUGAACCAUUAUAAAAAUCUUAUGUUUGCAUUUUCUCUUCCCUACUCUCUUAAUUUAUAUGCAAUUUUUUUUAUAUUGUUUUAUUAUAUAUUUACAUAUAAUUAUAUCUUGUAUUCACAUAAUUUAAAUUUACAAAAAGAGACCAUCACCCUAUUCAUCCCCCUCUAGGCUGAUUACUAUAGGUUGGAUUAACCUAAUUUUUCUAACACAUUAUCCAAAGCAACCAUGACGUUAUUAUCUUUUGAACUCUACUUCUAUUAGCAGCAGCAUUAAAAGUAAUAGCCUAAUGUGUGCAACAAAGUCUUCAGGUUAGUUCAGGCACUAUCUACUCCAACAUAGAAAGUGGGAAAAAAUGUGUGCUACAACCUUCCCACUUAGUUGAGGCACUGUCUACUCCUUAAUUCUGAACCAUUCAGUCCAAACGGGCAUCCACCUUACACUUAGGUAAGGCAAAGCUUCUCAAUAUUAUCUAUGUAAUGUGUGGUGUGUGGUAAAGAGCAUGCCAAACUUAAUAGCUAAAUCAACCCCAUUUUCAUGGGGCUAGAUUUACUCCCGCGUGAUUUUCAAUGAACAAAUAUGCAUCAUAACAACUGGCCAAAGAGAUGGGUUUUUUCAUACUCAGAACUAUCAUAUAUAAGACUUCGAAGGAGCUUUCACAUUUUAUAUCAUCGACAACUGUCUAUAGUUUCCAUAUUAGGAUGGCACAUGUAUGGAACAUGAAUUCGACCUGUGAGUGUUCUAGUGUGUGUAGUUUUGAGCCCUUUUGGAGAAGUGAUUCUUAGUUAUAAGAAGCACUCACAGAAAGUGUGACCAGGGUAUGUAUAAAUAUCCAUGUUCUGAACAGAGAAAACUGUGAAAACAGAAUAGAAAACCAUUUUUCUCUCUCCGACCCUCUUUCUUUUCACUCUGGUACUAUCCAGUCAUGGGAUUCUCCCUUCGCCCUCAAGAUAUCAUAGUUUUUGGGCUUCUUCUGUCUACAAUCUGUCUGUUGUUGGCAACAGUACUUAAUGCCAAAGGGAACAAGAAGAAAGGCGAAAGGCCACCAGAGCCGUCCGGGCGAUGGCCUCUUAUCAGUCACCUUCAUCUUCUAGAAGCAGACAAGCUGCUACAUCGAACACUUGGAGACAUGGCUGAUAAGUAUGGACCCAUCUUUUGCGUUCAUCUUGGCCUCAAAAAAGCAUUGGUGGUUAGUGGCUGGGAAGUAGCGAAGGAAGGUUACACUAUAAAUGACAAGGUAUUCGCCACUCGACCAAGACCCUUAGCAAUAAAGCUUAUGGGCUAUGAUCAUGGCUCGUUUGUCUUUGCUUCUUGUGGACCAUACUGGCGUGAUGUGCGGAAGCUAGCCAUGGCUGAGCUGCUGUCAAACCGCCAGCUUGAGAUGCACAAGCAUGUCCAGGACUCAGAAGUCAAGAUCUUAAUAAAAGAGCUUUAUGGGCAAUGGGCAAGCAACAAGGACGGCCCCGCUUUAGUGGAGAUGAAGGAAAGAUUUGGGAACUUGGCACUGAACGUAGUGGUGAGAGCAAUUGCUGGGAAACGGUAUUUUGGGACCCAUGCCUGUGGUGAUGAGCCAAAACGGGGCAAAAAGGCCUUUGAGGAUUUCAUUAUUCUAGUGGGGCUGUUCAUGGUCUCGGAUGCCAUCCAUUUUCUCGGCUGGUUGGACACGGUGAAAGGGUUUACCGCUGAAAUGAAGAGAGUAGCUAAGGAGGUGGAUUAUGUGCUUGGAAGCUGGGUGGAGGACCAUCGCCAGAAUAGGCUUUCUGCGAACGACAAUGGGGCUGAGCAAGACUUCAUACAUGCCAUGCUUUCUGUCAUAGAUGAUGGCCAAUUCUCUCGUCGUGAUCCUGACACCAUCAUUAAGGGCACUUGCUUGGUAUGUCCCUGCUACUUCCAUAACCUGAGCAUGAAAUGAAAAGAAAGAAAAAAAAAAAGCACCAUCUACUAUCAUAAUUUCUACAACUUUUUCCGCCCAAUUUCCUAAACCCUCCUCACAUUUCUAUAAGGAUUCAUCAAAUCCGGUAUAGCUUUAUCAUCUGUAUUUAUCAUGACAAACCAGGCGGGGUGAUCAAAUUUCACUUAGAUUCCUUAUUCACGGUUUGUUUUAUCAUUCUGCUAAACAUGAUAUUUCACUACUGAUAAGUAAACUUUGCCUGAUCACAUAUUGAAGUCGACAUCAUAUGUUGAUUGCAGAACCUCAUAUUAGCUGGCUAUGGAUCAACAUUUAUCACUCUUACAUGGGCCCUCUCUCUCCUAUUGAACAACCAUCAUGCGCUAAAAAAAGCAUAAGCAGAGCUGGAAAUCCAUGUGGGAAAGCAUCGCCAAGUGGAUGGAUCAGAUAUAAAGAACCUAGUCUACUUGCAAGCCAUCGUCAAGGAAACAUUACGACUGUACCGUCCUAGGCCACUUUCCCUGCCACGUGAGGCCAUGGAAGAUUGCAUUGUGGCUGGCUUUCACAUCCAAGCUGGGACGCGCCUUUUGGUUAAUCUCUGGAAGUUGCAUCGUGACCCCAGAGUCUGGUUAAACCCUUUGGAGUUCCAACCAGAGAGGUUCCUGACAAAGCAUGCAGGUUUGGAUGUUAGGGGUAGAAAUUAUGAACUUCUACCCUUUGGUUCAGGUAGAAGGGUAUGCCCAGGAAUCUCAUUUGCACUGGAGUUGACGCAUCUGACGCUAGCCAGACUGCUUCAUGGUUUUGAAUUGGGAGCGGUUGUAGAUUCACGGGUGGAUAUGACUGAAAGUCCUGGGUUGACUGCCCUCAAAGCAACCCCACUGGAGGUCACAAUUGUUCCAAGGCUACCUUUCGAGCUCUAUAGUUAUGAAGUAGCAUAGAAAGCAAAUAAUACUCUUAUGUGAGCCGGAGAGUCCCCUAAUUAGCCCAGUGCUUUAGUUUAGGGUAUAUUUAUGUUGGUGUGACUGACUUUGAAUUGUCGCGGUGUAAUGGGUGUUCUCCUUUCUCAUCUUCUCCUCAAUUUUCAUCCACUUGGAUAGUAAUAAAUUUCCAUCUAUGAGUAUUUCUUUUUGCAUACUUAAAAUAUCUUAAGCCUGUUUUUGAGGGGGAAAAAACCAUGUUUGAGACAAAAGAAAUAGAAAAUGCAUGGUUUUAUGUUCUACGUAUUUUAACUAUUUUUAUUUAUUUUUAAAAAUAAAUAUAAAAAUGACAAAAUAAAUAAAUAAAUAAAGUACUAACAUAAAAGUUAUUUAAAAAACAUAAAAAAAUAUUUCAAGUUCUAAAAUAAAAUUUUAAUCAUAAAACAUCAAAAACAAUUUUGAAAAACAAUUUUGAAAAACAAUUUUGAAAAACAAUUCUCAAAUAUCAUUUUUCAUAACUAUUUUUUAAAACAUUUCUCAAAUACAACCUUAAAUUUUGAACUCCUUCCAAAACGAAGUUUCCAUGAUGCUGCAACUUAUGCUUCUUCAUCAUUUGGAGUGCCUACUGUUGAGGCCUCGCGUCCUUGGUGAUCCACGUAGUUGCCAAAUGGGUGAACGCACGAUCUCAACCAAUAUAGAUUCUUGAUUCAAUCGUACUACCUGCAAAAGGCGUCCGGACGAGGUGUCCGGACGCACCCUCCGAUGGUUUUGUCAGCCAUGAUUAGAGAAAUAGAGAUAAAUCAGUUGGUCUUUUACCAAGUAUAGCAAGCUUACUUUCCUCUUUGUGUGAAGGUUCAUAUAUAUAGUAUCAGAAGCUUUGUUUCUCUCUUUAAUCGUAGGGAGAUAUUUUGUGUUGUCAUGAUGACACUAGGUGGUGGCAGGGUCAUCAUCACCCUACGGGCGGCUGACAGAUAUCGUGGUAGUUGCUGCAAUUGUUUGAAAUAGUGGGAAGUGAUCGUAGGAAGUGACUUGCCGUCACUUCAUUCUUGUCCUUUCACCCUGCAGAUGGCGGAAUGUGGGUCAUGGCAGGCUGUUGUGAUAACGUGUAAGACUUGCUUACUUCAGUCAAUGAUCCGGACAAACACACCCGGAUAGUGUAUGUCGGUCGUCCGGAUGUGCUGUGGCAGUCGUCCGGAUGUUAUGUUUGUGAGUGUCGUGUGCCUUUCCUUGAGAGAGUCCGGAUAGGAGAAGCGCGCCACGUGUACUCUUGGGGAAAUCCGGAUGAGGCUGAUCCAGAUGAGAAUGUGUGCCACGUGUUAUUAUGAGAUGUGUGCCACGUGUGGGGAGGGGUCCCUACACCUACUCUUGACUUAUUAACACAUGAUAAAACAAUUGAUCCUGAUUUUCAUAGAAAAAUCAUAUGGAUUAAUUGGGAAAUAGUUAACUGUACAAAGUUGCAGCCUGCAGGCCCUCAUGAUCGACCUACACUUAGCAUUUUCUUUCCCACAAGAUGAAUACAACAUUUGGCAGCAAGCAUAGGAUCAUCAUGAAUGACCUAUUGAACUCAAUAUUAUAAUAUCUUAUAUUAACUGAGCAUCCAACCCACCACCACAACUUAGACAACUUUAAAAAAAUUAGAAUCCAAUUACUAUAUUAUUGGUAGAAGACUGGAAUCAAAUGCUCUAAAUUAAUUUCCCUUAAGCGGACAAGAGGUUUUACAUGUUCACAUAUAUGCCAUACAAUCUCAUGGAACACUUUCUAAUAUAACUAUCAGAUUCCAAAAAUACAUUUGGCAAUGUUUUUACUAAAAGUGGUUUUUGUAAAAGUAUUUUUUCUAAUAGUCUUUUUCAGUGAAUCAUUUAUUAAGAAUCAUCUUGGCAACCGUCCUAGGAAAUGCUUUUAGCAUAAAAAAAAAGUUUUUAAAAAAACAUCACAUAACCAUAAUGGGCCAAAAUGGGCUUCUUUAGAAACUUAAUAUUAAAAGUGGGCUUCUUCCCAAACUAUUGUUCAAACUAGUCCCCAUCAAUUCACAUAACCAUAAAAACCAUCUUUUUUUAUACUAUUUUUGUUUACUUUCUCAGCUUUCCAUCCCAUUCUCUAUUCCCUGUGUAAUUUUUUUCUUCAAAACCCUAGCCCCACCAAUGGGCCACUGUGAAAGAGACAUUGUUGGAGCUAUAAAGUAUCAAGGUUGAGGUUGGUCCCAAUCUUCUUUUUGGUUUGUUUUAUGUAAAGUUUUUGGCACUUUCCCAUUUUUUUCCCCAUCUCAAAAUCUCGGUUUUCAGAAAAUUUAUUUAUUGUUUCCCAUUGCUUUUGUUUUUCUCUUUUGUUUACGUCCUUCACGACUAUUUUAGCAUACAGAUUCGUGAUUCUAAUAUAGAGGUUAUGUAAGAUAAAAUGGACAGAUCCUUCGUAGAAGGAUGAGUCCAUAUCACCCGAGGUUUGCUUUACCACAAGCUAAAAUAAAUGCCUGGUGUGGACCCGCAUCUUUCACGUGCGCCCCCACUCGAUCGGCGAGACUCGCUUUUUAUUUGUGAAAAAUUAAUUUUAGAAAAGUUGGAGUCGCCACUUAUUUUAUUUUUAUUUUAAAGGGAAAAUAAAACAAGAAAGAAAAACCCUAAAAAUGUGACUCCAUAAUUUUUGGAAAAAGCAUGUCUUUGAAAAACCCGAGUCUAAGUCCGGGGAUCAGGUUACCUAUUGGGAAGGUACCUCUAGGAGGUAGCACCCCUCUAAGCCCUAAAGAGGUCUCUACUGACUAAGUUAAGGGAAGCGUAGCAAUUAAAUGGUUGAUCAUGGAUACUUAAGUAGGCUAGGUGAUUCCAAAAACAUAGCAUAUCAAACAAGAUCAAAUCACAAUUAAGGAGAGUUAAAAAUGCGUACCUGGACAGCUUCCUAAACGCUAUCAUAAAACAUAAGAGAUUAAUUUGGAGAUACAUCAUACAACAUUUGUUUUAUUCAAGCAAAUCAGGCAUAUAUCAAGACAUCCAAGAAUCACGUCAAAUAUGGAUAGGGUCAUCAAUGACAUACAAGUAUAUAGAGUUCUAAAAAAAAAUAGAUGAGAAGAGAGCAUACCUGGAUAGCAAGCUAGUACUCCUCUAUGGGAAUCAAAAGCAUCUCAACAAUAAAUACGAAACGAAUUCAUGUAUAUCAUCAAGAAGAAUAAAAAAUCAACAUAUCAAACAAACAAUAUUGAAGAAGGUAUCAUGAAUGUCGGGCCCCCACCAAAGCCCUAAUUAAUUUCGCAUGAGUUGAUUCCAUGAAUUCCAUGACUUGGAAUUAUGGAGUUUGUUCAUGCUUAAGAAAAUUGAGAAAAAUCAAGAAAAUCAUUUGAAAAUCAAAUAAAAUAGUGAAAAUGCAUGCUAGAAGGAAAAUGGCAGCAAGAGUGUGUUAGAAUAUGGAUUUUAUACCUAGAAAGGACCUAAGAUGAAUUUUUCAAAGCCGGGAAUGUUUAGUUGAACAAUGGUUCAAAAAUUCAAUUUAAAACAGUAAAUUCCCAAGCAAAGAAGCAAGAAAAGGGGAAAGUGUGUGUAGCAAGGUAGCCAUAAUGGACUGGAGCCUAGGAAUGAGAUUUGAGACUAUCUUGCUGGUGUUGAAUCCCCAAAUACAUUCUGCCAUUUCUCUCUCUUGGCACUUUCUAGGGCUUCUUGGCGCAACCAACUUUCCCUAUCCAUGUUUUCCUUGGAUCCAUGAGCUCAAAUUGAAGCAGUUAUUGAAUGGAGAUUCUGGUGGGCAUUUGAUGUCAAAGAUAUUGCUGGAAGAGAGCUUGAGGGCUUCAUUUAAUCAUGGGCAACAGUGGGAACUGACAGGAAAUGACAAUUCCAGCUCUUGCUUAAUUUGGGGCGACUGCAAGUAUUAGUACUCAAGUGCCUGCUACAAUUUUCUCCUUGAUCAUCAAAAGCAAUGCUGAGCUUAGUACGACUUUCAGGAUCUAAGCUUGCAAUUCCUUAAAGAACCUCGGUCCCCUUUCUCUUCUCCAAAUAACAUAGAGAGCACCAUGUACUGUUUUGUGGGAUUUCUGUAGAGCUUUCUUGUCUUCAUCAUCAUUUGAAACUGCUGUUCGAAUCAUGAUCUUACACCUAAUUGCUGAAUAUGUAAAAAAAAGUAGCAAUACUCUUUGAAACUGCAACCAACAUGAAAACUGAGGGGGGAGAAAGGGUUUAUGGGGAUGAGCCUUUAAGUGAAACCUCUGAAUUUGAAACUUGUAUCUGCUCCUUUAUUCUUUUCUCUGUUUCAGAAUUUUGUUUAUCAUUCUCCUUAGUGAGGUGUUCUUUUUGUGCCAUAACUCCUUCAACAUCAGGUUCAUUUUGAGUGAUGUUCUUGUCAAUCUGGUCAAAUGUUGCAGGUCCCAAUGCCUAGGCAGUUCCUUUCUCAAACUCAGAAAAAUAUCCAUAUUAAUCUGCAUUCUCAUCGUCCACAUUAUCCAGAGACUCUGUGUUAUCUUCCUGCAGAUCAGAAGACAACUCCGGCUCCUUCUCUCCACUCUUCAAUCGCAUCCUCAACAUUAUGGUAAAGGUUGGCUUGGGUUUUCCGGAUGGAUGAAGAAUCUUGCUAAGGCAAUUGAGUUUUGGAUUGAUCAUUGAUGAGUUUCCCGUCCAUAGAUGAGUCACCCACCAAUAUCUCCAUCUCAGAAGUAUCAUUGGGAGGUAAGCCAUUUACAGGUGCAAGGUUAUUGUGAAUAUUACUGCUAUUAGAGUUCUGGUGCCGUUGUUUCUUAAAUCUGCAGCCUGCAUGUCAUCCUUUAGUUGUGUCACAAAUUCUGUAUUGAGCACAUGAUCACUAGUGAAGUCAAAAUUUCCAGAUCUCAAGACAUCUUCCCCUGGUGCCUCUAAAUCCAUGUCAGCUUUCUCUUCAUUACUCUUCCCAGAUCACCCCUCUCAGAAUUUCCAUCCACUUGUCCAGAUUCUGCCUCUUCUAGAUUUUCAUUCCUGGGAGAAGUUUUACCACGGUUUGAAUUGGUGCUCAUACUCUGAAGUUGGAAUUAUAGGUUGAGCAUCUCUGAUUUCAUCUUUUCUACCUACAGAUUAUGAUGACAUUUCUGCUCUCUAGAUUCAAGGAUAAACAGCGACUGUACAGUCUUCCAAGCAGCUCUUUUCUCCUUCAUUAAUGCCAAGCAACCAAUGAGUGACCUCAAAAAGCUCUCCAAUCUGCCAGUCCAUCUCUUGCAUGGAUUAAAUUAUCUGUAGUGGGCAAAUACAUCCCCAUCUCUCUGACAAGUGCCUCUAAAAUCAAAGAAGAAGUUUGACCGGUCAAUCAUAAAUAAUUUUAGUGCACUUCUUCUCAGGAAAUAUCUUCUGCUAAAUAUUUGGUGAAGGGAAGACAUCAGCCAGCUUCUAUCAUUUUCUUUGAUCUCUAAUUUCUGAACUGCAAUCCAACCCAUCCCCAUUGCACUCAGUAUUAUCAACUAUGAAAUUGAUUCGUCUUGUUGUUAUUUGAGAGAUUCUUCGUACAACCCUUAGUGGUCGGACCAUUCAUGAAUGAAGCUUAAGAACAAUUCUUUCAUCAAGUUCACUUAGAACAUAUCUAGGGGCGACUGCUGAUGGACCUUGGACCACAUCUUGGUUAUUAGCAAUUGGAGUAUCUAUUUAUUCUGUUGAUGCUUGCGGGGGCUGAUCAGUCAUUCCAGAUGACUUUGGUUGAUUCUUCCUAUUCUGCUCCAUAUCAAUUGCCUCACUCUCUGCCAAAUUAUCAAUAUUUUCUCGUUCAUUCUCUUCAUUUAUUCCUUCCAUUAAGAUUGCUUCUGCUGCAAGUCCAAGCUUCCUGCAGGGGGAAAACCACUGGCUUAAGUUAUCCCUUCCUCUUCCACUGACAAUAAAAACUAUAUUUUUCUUGUCCCAGCAAAGUGUGUUUAGAAUUGAAAUAACCUCCUGACUUGGAGCCUUGUUGAUGGAAUUUUGGGGCAUCACAGUGCCAUCAUAGUCCAACAGUAUGGCCCUACUCUUAGCCCUACAGUAGGCCGAAACAAUAGCCUCUAUUGAAAGCUUUCUAAAAUUAGGAUCAAGUGCUACAACUCUGAACCCAAAACUUAAACCAAUUCCCCAGCAUCUUCUCCUAAAGAGCUCUGAGCAGGUUCUCUCCAUAUCUUGCAAGAAGCUUCGUGACCAAUAAGCCACAUCAUGGGUGCUAACAUACCGAAAAUGCUUCUCAUGUCGCAGGAGUUGCUCUGAUUGAGACAUUGAAAUAGCUUCAUUCAUUGCCUCAGCAGUUGCUUCGACAUUCCAUGGAUUCACACAGAUAGCCCCACUAAGUGAAGGAGAGCAUCCAAUAAAUUCUGAUAGCACUAGCAUGCUCUUCUUGGGCCCACUCAAAUCCGAACUUGAUUCAGAAUCAUCUGUUCCUUGUCUACAAACAAUGUAUUCAUACGGCGUAAGGUUCAUCCCAUCCCUGACAGCCGUGACAACAACACACUCAGCAAUACUGUAAUAGGCAAUUCUCUCACUGAUUGAAACUGGUCUGUCAACAAAAACUAUUGGUUCAUACCCGGGCUCCCCAAAUUCUUCAUUGAUUCUUCUGCAGCUUUCCCUUAUUUCAGCUUGUAUUUCCUCUAAAUCUGCUCCUUUACCUCUUGCAGGGUUUGCAAUCUGAACCAACACGGUCUUUCCUUGCCACUUUGAGUGUUGCUGAAGCAACUGUUCCAUUGCCAAUAGCUUCAAAUUAAUACCUUUAAAAAUGUCCAUAUCAUUAACACCAAGCAACACCGUUUUCCCUUCAAACUGCUGCUUGAGCUCUCCUACCUUCUUCUCCUUAUCUGCAAGCUUCAUCACUGAAGCAAUCCGGCCCAUAUGAAUCCCAACAGGCAUAAUCUUGAUCCCCACAGUCCUUCCAUAAUAUUCCAACCCUAUAUAGCCCCUCUUUGACUGAUACUCCAAACCCAACAUCCGACUGCAACAAGAAAGGAAAUGCCGAGCAUAAUCAAAUGUGUGGAAACCAAUAAGGUCUGAGUUAAGCAAAGCCUUAAGAAUUUCUUCUCUGACAGGAAGAGUCCUGUAGAUCUCUGAAGAUGGAAAUGGACUAUGAAGAAAAAACCCCAUUCUUAACUGGUUAAAGUGCCUCCUCAAGAAAGUUGGCAAUACCAUCAAAUGGUAAUCAUGAAUCCAAACAUAAUCAUCAUCUGGGUUUAUCGCCUCAAUAACCUUUUGUGAGAAUAACUUAUUUGCCCACACAUAUGCUUCCCACAUAGACCGAUCAAACCGACCUCCAUGAUCAGCUGAAAAUGGCAACAUGUAAUGGAAAAGCGGCCAUAACAACUUCUUGCAGAAUCCAUGAUAGAAUUUCUCUAAAACAUCAUGAGGCAGAAAAGUAGGGACACAUUUGAAUGUCUCCAACAGAAUCUGGGAUACUUCCUCUUGUUCCGUCAAGUCAACAUCAACCCUCAAUGACCCAACAUACAGAACUUCCAUGUCUUCUGGCAAACCCUCCUUAAGUUGCAGAAGCAAUGAGUCUUCAUUCCAACUAAAAACCCAGCCUCUAUCAUCUGCUCUUCGGUUAGCUUUCACAGGCAACUGGUUUGCCACUAUAAUCAACCGAUCUUGAGCAACUGAAGAGGGGUUAUCAGACGACACACUAUUAGCCUGAUCAUCAUCAAGUUCAUACACAUUGCCCGGAACCGUCAUUACCCUCGGAAGCCGCUUCCGUUCUCGACCGAUUGCCGGAAAAUUCCCAGUAGCUAAAUCUAAAAGAUUGGUAUACGAUCUUGACAUCAUUUUUACACCAGCCUCAAAAGCCCAAGAUUCUUUUUCUUUUUAAAUGGACAAUUUCACCCAAUCUGCAGAACCACAAAACAAUCAAAACCCUAACCCUCUGUUUCUGAAUCAAUGAACAAUUGAAUCUUCUCUUGUUAAAGCUUUGAUCUUUAGAGUCAAAUGCAUGUCAAUUCUUGGGCUUAGAACUUUUCUGAAGAAGCAAAGAUUGCUUCUCUUUUCUGAUUCCACUCUGUUCUCAGUGCAUGCUGAAAGUCCCCUCUUCUCUAUGCCUCUCCUCCAAACCCAAUGGAUUUUAAAUUUUGGGCAGUCUUGGCUGCAAUCGCUGGGCUUCCGGCUUUCCUCUCACCUCUAAAGACAACUCCCCAGAUAAAAAUCCUCUUUUGCCCGGUCACUCCUUCUUCCUCCUUCCUUCCGAAAUCCUCCCAUGCCUUUUUUUCUCCCCACUUUUUUUUAUAUGGCAGCCCACUCUUGUAGAAUAUUUUACUUCCUUUUUUUGUUAUACGCGUGGAUAUGGGAAGUCUACAUAUGUGCAGCUUACUUGGAGAUUUUCCAAGGAUGCAGCCCCUCUCUCAUUUGGUAAGUAAUCAGAUUCUCUUUAAUCUUCUUUCCAUAUGCUCCCGGAUGUGCCUCAGCCGUGAUGUGCCCACUUUCUAUAUGCAGCCGUGUACGUCAAAGAUCUUCUCCACUGUGUGCAUUCAAAUCUCAUGCCAAAAUAAAAUAAGAAUUAAAAGCAGUAGAGGUUAUGAAAUUGAGAAUUAAAACUAAUAAAAAAAUAUAUGCAAUCAAAAACAAUAUAUCUAUCAUAGCUACACACAAACAAAUUAAGACAUCAGUUUACGCAAUUAAUGACAUCAAUCUCAUGCAAUAUUCUAUAAAAUAAAUAAAUAAAACAAAUAACUAACUAAAUGUUAAUAAAAUAAGUAGAUAAAUAAAUGAAUAGGAAAUCAAGUACAUACAAGUGUUAAAAAAAUGCAAAUCAUGCAAAUUAUGUAAGUCAUGUAGGAAUUACCGCAACGGUGACAUGAGAGGGCUAAGAUACCUAAGUGGAUCUAGUGAACCUAAAUGGGCCUAGAUGUGCCUGAAUGAGCCUAGGUGAAUCUAAGUGGGCCUAGGGUGGUGCCUAAUGGGUCAAGUGUAUCUAAAAGCUAUCCCAAAAAAAGCAAGAAAAGCCUAAGUCUAAGUUAGGGCUGCCAAGGGUCACAAUAAGGGGUAAGAUAAUCCCCUAACCAAAGUCCCCGAGGUGACUCAGAAAAAGGUAAGUUGUACGAGUAGUAAUGGACCACCAAGGAACUAUUUUGAAGCACUGAAAACGAACUUAAAGUCAUGUGCUAAAAGGACAAAAUUGAGGGUCUACACCUGGGUGUUGGAGGAAAUAGCCUAAAAAAAAUAAUGGGUAAAUAUUAGUGCGAGUAAAUUUCAUCAAAAAAAUAUUUUUUUCUUCCUCCCUAUUUUUAAACAAACAACAACUUUCUAAUGAGCAAGCAGACUAGAAUCAAAGAUGAAUGAUAUUCUCAUUGACUAUUUAGAUAUAUACCAUGUACCAUUCCUAGAACCCCCACAUACAUUUUUAUUCUCACGAUUAGUACAGUCACCCAUCUCUUUAGACCUACCAUUAGUGCAACACCCUACUUUUUCAGACCUACCAUCAGUGCAACCCUCUACCUCUUUAAACCCACCAUCAGUACAACCCUCUAUUUCUUUAGACUUACCUUCAGUUCAGGCCCCUACUUCUUUAGACCCACCAUCAACACAACCCUCUACUUCUUCAGACCCACCAUCAGUACAACCCCCUACCUCUUUAGACCUACCUCCAUUACAACCCCCUAGUUCUUCAAACCCACCAUUAGUGGAGAUUGACACAUCUACUCAGUUAGAUUUACUGUCAGCCAUUCCAAGGGGUAGGCAAGGCCUACAUCAACCUAGAUUGCUACCUCCACCACCACCUCUAUUUCCAGCUCCAGCCCCAUCACAGACAGAUGUUCUUCAUGUGUCACAUGUAGUACCUGCUAUAGUUAGAGAAGAGUGUCCAAGAAAGAGAGUACCAGUUACACAUAGGUUUUCUCCUUGUGGAGACAUGUGAGAUUAUAUAUGUUUUUUUUUUCCCACUAUAAUAAUGUUUACUGGGUAUUUUUUAUGACUUUGAUUAAAUUACUAAAAAUUACAUUUUGUAGUAGACUUCUUCUAAUUAAUUUCAUUAGCUAAUUUUGUCAAAAAAUCUAUAUAUGACAAAUGUGGAAUUUGUCAUAAUACAAAUAAAUUAAUAUCUUAAAAAACAACAAAUUAAAUAUCUUAAAUUAAUAAAUUAUACAAUUUUAUAUAUUAUUUAUAUGUUAUAUAAGUUUAUUAUUUUAAUAUUAUUAAUUUAUUAAUAAAUAAAAUAUUCAUUUAUAAUAUCUUCUAUUUAUCAAUUUAUAUUUGUUGAAGUAAUACUAUAUUCUUAAGUUUAAAUAUAAAUAAUUUAUUAUUAAAGUAUAUAUUUUUAAUUUUAAUAAUAAAUUGUAAUUUAAUAGUUUUUAAUUAAAUUUGAAAGUAAAAACAAAUUAUAAUUGAAAUCUUAGUUAGCAACUACUGCUUAAAAGUAUGUUAUUAUUUCGAUAAAGAUAAAUUUUUCAUAAUACAAAUAAAUUAAUGUCUUAAAAAAAACAAAUUAAAUAUCUUAAAUUAAUAAAUGAUACAAUUUUAUAUAUUAUUUAUAUGUUAUAUAAAUUUAUUAUUUUAAUAUUAUUAAUUUAUUAAUAAAUAAAAUAUUUAUUUAUAAUAUCUUCUAUUUAUUAAUUUAUGUUUGUUGAAGUAAUACUAGAUUCUUAAGUUUAAAUAUAAAUAAUUUAUUAUUUAAGUAUAUUUUUUUUAAUUUCAAUAAUAAAUUGUAAUUUAAUAAUUUUUAAUUAAAUUUUAAAUUAAAAAAAUUAAUUGAAGUCUCAAUUGACAAUUGCAAUUUUAGUUCAAAAAUGAAGCCGUAGUUGUCAAUUGAGACUUCAAUUUAAAAAUGAAUCAUCAAUUGACAACUGCAGCUUUAGUUCAAAAAUGAAAUCUUAGUUGCCAAUUGAGGCUUCAGUUUAAAAAUGAAGUCUCAAUUGGCAACUACGGAUUUAGUUCAAAAAUGAAGUCUCAAUUGUCAAUUGAUGUUUCAGUUCAACAAUGAAACCUCAAUUGAAAACUGUGGUUUUAAUUCAAAAACUAAAGCCUUAGUUGAUAACUGCGGCUUUAGUUCAAAAAUAAAGUCUUAGUUGUCAAUUGAGGCUUUAACUAAAAUGAUGAAAAAAAAUAUUUUUUAUAACAUGGCAUCUACGUGGGACCAAAGAGACCAAUUUGAACAUAAAUUUCAUAAAGUUGUUAGAUCCUUUUUUAAAAAAAAUAAAAUUGGUCAAUUUGACCCAAAACUCCUUUUUCAGGGUUGUUCAAAAUUCAAAAUCAGUUAGCUGAAGAACAGUAAGGAAAAGAACAUAGCUGAAUUUGCAGAAAAGUUUUUUUUUUUUCAUUUUCCUUUUUCUUCUAAGGAUCUUGGAAUCCUUUUCCUAGUAUAGACAGAACAUUAGAGGUAUAUAUAUGGUAGUGGGAAGUGAUUCUUCCCCAUAAAACAUUUUCUUUUCUAUUAAGUCAUGGGAUUCUAUCUUCAGCUUCAAGGGAUCAUAGUUUUCUAGCCUUCUGUUGCUAUCAUCUGUUUGUGGUUGAUUAAGGGCAAAGGGAACAGAAACAGAGGCAAAAGGGCACCAGAACCAUCACCGGCAUGGCUUUAAUCGGACACCUUCAUCUUGUACGAGCAGGCAAGCCCCAACAUCAAGCAUUUGGAGCCAUGGCAGAUAAGUAUGGACCAAUCUUUUGCUUUCACAUUGGCCUGCGCAAAACUUUGGUGGUUAGCAGCUAUGAAGUAGCAACAGAAUGUUUAACUACCAUGGACAAAGCAUUUUCCACUCGACCUGAUCCUUGGCAGGAAAGCUCAUGGGCUAUGGCCAUGCCAUGUUUGGCUUCUCUCCCUGCGGGCCAUACUGGCGUGAUGUAAGGAAGCUGGCCUCGGUUGAGCUCCUCUCAAACCGCCAGCUUGAGUUACUCAACCAUGUCCGGGACUCAGAAGUUAAGCUUUUCAUCAAAGAGCUCUACGGGCAAUGGAUACAAAAUGGGGACAGGCCUGUCUUGGUCGAGAUGAAGGAGAAGUGUUGGCACCUGGCAGCAAAUGUAAUGGUGAGCGCAGUAGCUGGGAAAUUUUGGCACCGUUACAAAUGACUAUGAGUCAAGACGGUGCCGGAAGGCCCUUGGCGAUUUGUUAUAUCUUUCGGGGAUAUUUAUGGUUUCUGAUGCAAUCCCCUUCCUUGGCUGGUUGGGCACUGUGAGAGGAUAUACGGCAAAAAUGAAGAGAACAGUUAGGGAGGUGGAUCAGGUGCUGGGAAGCUGGGUGGAGGAGCAUUGCCGGAAGAGGUUCUCUGGAAGCAUGAACGAGGCUGAGCAAGACUUCAACCAUGUCAUGCUGUCUGUUAUUGAGGAUGGUCAGUUCUCUGAUCAUGACCAUGACACUGUCAUUAAGGCUACUUGCUUGGUAUGUUUCUUCUUCUUUCCUUGGUCAAAUUCCAUGAACCUCCACACACUUAACAGCAAACCUCCAUCAUGAUUGGUUUUGUCCAGCUGUUACACUUGCUAUUUCAGGACUGAUGAUUAACUCUCAACUUUCUUUGAAAAAAUUUCUGGGAAUAAUGAAAACUAUGAUAAACUUUUAAAUUGUUCUACUAACAGCCAGACAUACGGUUUUUUAACACACGCUGAUCAAAGAAGCCAUAUCACCAGCUCAAAAGACCAGCAUGGAUGUAAUGUUGAUGCAAACUCUUAUAAUAGGCGGCUCUAAUUCUACGGUGAUCACACUGACCUGGGGCCCUCUCUCUGCUAAUGAACAAUCCCAGCACUCUAAAAAGAGCACAAGAUGAGUUAGACAUCAAAGUGGGAAAGCAUCGCCAAGGGGAUGGAUCAGAUAUAAAGAACCUAGUCUACUUUCAAGCCAUCGUCAAGGAAACAUUACGACUGUACCCUCCUGGGCCACUUUCCCUGCCACGUGAGGCCAUGGAAGAUUGCACUGUGGCUGGCUUUCACAUCCAAGCUGGGACGCGCCUUUUGGGUAAUCUCUGGAAGUUGCACAAGGACCCCAGAAUUUGGUCGGAUCCUUUGGAGUUCCAACCUGAGAGGUUCCUAACGAAGCAUGUGUAUUUGGAUGUUAGGGGUCAAAAUUUGGAAUUUCUGCCAUUUGGGUCAGGCAGAAGGGUAUGCCCAGGAAUCUCAUUUGCGCUUGAGGUCGUGCAUCCGACUUAUUUAAGAUCAUACAUCAGUUGAUUAUGAUCAUCUUCAUCGAUCAAAUAGAGUUCAUAUGUUGAUGCCUAUGUCGUUAUUUGAUUUGAUAAUUUUUCUUGCUUCUGCUUCAAAGUUUCUUGUUUGUGUUGAGCCUAGCUCAUAUUUUUUAGUCAACUCAGGGUAAGGGAAAAACACAAAUGGGAUUUGUGUUUUUUUUUUUUUUUUUCCACCAGCAGAAUGGUCUUAUUUGGAAGCUUGUACAAACAUAGCUUUUUUAUAUAACUAUGGGGCUAGCCACACUCCACAUGAUUUUCAAUGUACAAAUAGGCAUAAUAACAACUAGCCAAAGAGAUGGUUUUUUUCAUACUCAGAACUAUCUUAUUUUAGACUUCAAAGGUGCUUCAUAUUUUCUACCAUGCAUUGAGAGCCGUCUAUGGUUUUCAUAUUAGGAUGGCACAUGUGUGGAACAUGAAUUCCUACUUGUGAGUGUUCUAGUGUAUGUAGUUUUGAGCCAUUUUGGAGAAGUGAUUCUUCCCCCUGAUCCAUUCUCUCUGGUACUAACUAGUCAUGGGAUUCUCCCUUCAGCCUCAAGAGAUCUCAGUUUUUGGGCUUCUUGCUACAAUCUGUCUGUUGUUGGAAACAGCACUUAAUGCCAAAAGAAACAAGAUCAAGGAAGGCAAAAGGCCACCAGAGCCGUCCGGACAAUGACCAAUGGCUGACAGAUUUUUUUUCCUUUUUUUUUUUAAAUUUAAGCAAUAAGCUUUGAUGAUCUGAAAGUUUUUUGCUUCUUCAAAUUGGAAUUAUAUGUUUUUACAUUGCAUUCAUAUCUGAUACUCGUAAAGUGCAUCUUCUUCUUUUUCUUCUUGUUUGUUGUUUGAUUAUACUUUAAUCUUCAUAGAAAUCGACAUUUUCUCCCCCAUCAACUCUAGAGCUAAUCAGGAAGGUAGAACAGUUCUUGGUUUGCAGACCUCAGAAAAUCAAUUAGCUAAACAAAAACAUAGAGAAGAAAAAGAGGAGCUAAAUUUGUUGAUGUUGUGACAAACUCUCCCACCUUCUAUUUAGCGAGAAGUGAUAUGGGAAGUGAUACUGAAUCAAGUUUACAUUGCUGGUUUGUCGUGUGGUUGUGCACGAGAUUACUAGUCAUCGUCCUCCAUGCAGAGUGAGGUGUGCAUGAGAGAAUGCUCUAAUAUCUUCCUUCAUCAGGCGAUUGUGCCUACAUAUGGUUCCUUUUUAUGCCUGGAACUGGUACUUUUAGUCCACUGAACCUGUGUUAGUACCAGAAAUAACAACAUGACGAUACCUAUCAAGAAAAAUAUAAGUGACCAAGUGAGUAGACCGGCUCCCUAAGGAUUCCUCGUAGGUCUGGCAUACUUAUAUUAGACUUUCAGAGAUAAAUAAGUAAAGAGAACUUGAAACACUACGUAACAUCGAUCAAAUCAUAUUGGAGAUGAGCUUGUAAGUCUAUGUAUUGUGUGGUAGGUAAAGAGGAGGCACAACUUGGGCUGAAAGCACCCGAACUGAACUUUCCACUAACUCAUUUUCUCUUGAGCGGCUAAAAAUUGGAUCAUCAAGAGACUGCCUCAAAACCUGACCUUAACCAGUAUUAAAAUAUCAUGAUAUUUUGACAAUAUAUCGUUAAAAAUCGUGUAUAGGUGGAUCUCGACACGAAAUAUAGGGAAGAAAUAUUGGCACCUCGAUAUUUCGAUAAUUUAUUGAUUUUUCACCAAUAUUUUGAUUGGUCAAACUUCAAAAAAAUUCAAAUUUUCUACUGCUACUGAGGGGAAUCCAACCCUAGCCAAAAUGUUCACCAACCACUGAGACAUCUUCCAUUAAUAUAUUAAUUAAAUAUUAAAAAUCAUAUAUAUAUAUAUAUAUCAUUAUUUAUUUUAUAUUAUUUAAUACAAUUAAAUAAAAUGGAUUAUAAAUUUAAUUUUAAUAUUAAAUAUAUUUUUUAAUAAUCAAAUAUCACAAUAAUAUUCAAUAUAAUUUAAUAAUAAAUAUACACUUAUAAAAUAUAUAUUUAUUUAUUCUUAUAUAUAAUAUAAUUAUCAAAUAUGAUAAAUUAUAUUAUGUAUAAAAAAAUUUAAUAAAAUAAUUUUAAAAUAUCUAUUAUACUUUUAAUAUUUUUAUUUUUGAAAAAAAUCACUUUAAUCAAUUUUAUGUUUAUCAAAUAUUUUAUAUUUUAUAUUAAAAUAUCUAUCAAAAUAUAUUCAUAAAAUAAAAUUAUCAAUAUAUUUGUUAUUAUGAUACUUUCAUCCUUAUCCUCAAUCAGACUUCCAAAAAAGGUACCUCAGUGCGAAUCUACCUUAAGAUCGGGCAAAAUGGGAAACGUGGGUAAAAUGCGAAUCUACCAACCCAUGGGCCAUGGCACUUGCGGAAAAGGCUGUCAGCCCGGGACCACGCUUGUCAGCAACGUCAACGACAAAAUGAAAAGUUAAAAAGGCAAUGAACUAAAAAAGGAAAGGAGGAGGAUGGUAAUCCUUCAUUGACAAGAAAGGAAACGGAGAAGAACUAGAUUUUUGUAUCUCCAUCUUCUAAUGGGAUUCUCUCUUCAGCUUCAAGAUGUCACAGUUUUCGGCAUUCUUUUUGCAAUUAUCUGUCUGUGGUUGGUUAAUGCCAAAGGUAACAAGAACAAAGGCAGAAGCCCACCAGAGCCCUCCGGGGCAUGGCCUGUAAUGGGUCACCUUCAUCUUCUAGGAGCAGAUAAGCAAAUACAUAGGACAUUCGGAGCCAUGGCUGAUGAGUAUGGACCAAUCUUCUCCAUUCGUCUUGGCCUUCGAACUGCUCUGGUGGUUAGUAGCUCGGAAGUAGCAAAAGAAUGUUACACUACCAAGGACAAGGCACUCGCCACUCGACCAAGAUCCUUAGCAGUAAAGCUCAUGGGCUAUGACCAUGCCAUGUUUGCGUUUGAACGUCACGGUCCAUACUGGCGUGAUGUGCGGAGGCUAGCCAUGGUUAAUCUCCUCUCCAACCGCCAGCACGAGAUGCUCAAGCAUGUCCGGGACUCAGAAGUCAAGUUUUUCAUCCAAGAGCUCUAUGGGCAAUGGGUAGAAAAUGGAGGCAGCCCUGUUUUGGUGGACAUGAAGAAAAAGUUUGAGCACCUGGUAGCAAAUUUGACGAUGAGAACAGUUGCUGGGAAACGGUGUGAAAAUGGCGAGUCAAGAUGGUGCCAAGCCCUAGGUGAUUUCAUGAAUCUAAUGGGGCAAUUUAUGGUUUCUGAUGCAGUACCCUUCCUUGGAUGGUUAGACACAGUGAGGGGAUAUACAGCAAAAAUGAAGGGAACAGCUAGGCAGUUGGAUCAGGUUCUUGGAAGAUGGGUGGAGGAGCAUCGUCAGAAGAGGCUUUCCGGAAGCAUCAAUGAGGCUGAGCAAGACUUCAUUCAUGCCAUGCUGUCUGUUAUAGAUGAUGCUCAGUUAUCUGCUCAUGACCAUGACCAUGAUACUGUCAUCAAAGCCACUUGCUUGGUAUGUUUCUACUACUUCAUAACACCACCAUCCUCAUGAGCAUCUGCAACUUCAUCAAUACCUUGAUAAUACUCGUAUUACUCCAUCAUGAUCUAUUUUUUCCUUCUGCUAUACAGUAUUUCAGGACUAUUGAAGUAACUCUGUUUCUUUCUUUGACAAAAAUUGCCGAGACCAUUCCCUAAGGAAACAGCAGACAGAAUUCAUAAAUUAGGCAGGGAUAACAGGAACUGGGAUAAUUUUUUUUUACCCGGAUUCCCCAGUCAUGAUUCUUCUGCCGACACGCUAGACAUACUAUUUCACAAAUGAUGUAUGGACUUUUUUCUUUAAUCACAAGUUCAACAUGGGUGUAAUAUGUUGAUGCAGACUGUCAUGUUGGCGGGCAAUGAUACAAUAGCGAUCACACUCACCUGGGCCCUCUCUCUGCUAAUGAACAACCCUCGUGCACUAAAAAAGGCACAAGAAGAGUUGGACUUCCAUGUGGGAAGGAAUCAGCAAGUGUACGAAUCAGAUAUAAAGAAGCUAGUCUACUUGCAAGCCAUUAUCAAGGAGACCUUACGACUAUACCCUGCUGGGCCGCUUGCACUGCCACAUGAGGCCAUGGAGGACUGCACUAUUGCAGGCUUCCACAUCCAAGCUGGGACUCGCCUUCUGGUUAACCUCUGGAAGUUACACCGCGAUCCCACAAUUUGGUCGGAUCCUUUGGAGUUCCAACCUGAGAGGUUCCUGACAAAGCAUGUGGGUUUGGACGUUAGGGGUCAACAUUUUGAACUUCUACCAUUUGGGUCAGGCAGAAGGAUGUGCCCAGGAAUCUCACUUGCUCUGGAGAUCCUGCAGCUGACACUAGCCAGAUUACUUCAUGGUUUUGAAUUGGGAGUGGUUGCAGAUUCACCCCUGGAUAUGACUGAAGGUGUUGGGCUCGCUAUGCCUAAAGCAACUCCGCUGGAGGUCACCCUAGUCCCAAGGCUACCCUCCGAGCUAUACCACUAAAGUAGUAUCCUAAUGUGUGCAACAAAAUCCCCUGGUUAGCCCAGGAAGGGUCUACUCCACUGGAGGUCACUCGGGAUGCAUAUCUGCCUAAAUAAACCUCGAUGAAAAGCCUCACAUCUUAGGAUGUUACAUCACUUGCCGUCCUUGCAUAUCUACUCAAGCUUUCUUAAUCAGGAUACUUUCUAGGUACCUUGUGUUUGUAAUUUAACUGGAACAUGUUAAAAUUAGGAGUCUUGGGUCUAUUUUGGGAAGGUUUUUAAAAAUAAUUCUUAAAAAUAUAUAUAUAUUUUUAAACUAUUUUCAAAAAUUGUUUUAUCAUAUUUUCUAAAAUAAAAAUAUGUUUGAAAUUUUAGAAAGUUUUUAACAUGUUUUUUUCUUUUUUUAAUUUUCAAAUAUUUUUUUUUAAAUGAAGUUUCAUCUCCAAUGCUUUAUUUUCAACCAUUUCUAAAAAUUAAUUAAAUACGUUUUUAUGUUUUUUUAAUUCUCAAAAAUAAAAUAAUUAUUCUUAAUAACAAUUUGUAAACAUAACUUAAGCUUUUUAAAAAAAAAAAUAGAAAUGUUGAAUUUAAAGUGUUCAAGAAUAAUAGGUGAGUGAAUGGAAUGAGUGUGGCCUUUAAAACUCAUCAUUUGUGACAUGAUUUAAGAAAUUGUUUGAUAGAGGUUUCAAAAAGCGUUUAUAAUCUUUUUAGAACUUAAAAAUAUUUUUUUUGAUAAAAAAUUUUAAAUAUUAAAAAUAUUAAAAAUACAUUUUAAAAUUACUAUCAAACGAAUUUUAAAAAUGUGUUUGUCAAUGUUUUUACUAAACAUGAUUUUUGUGAAAGUAUUUUCUCUAAUAGUCUUUUUCAGAUAAUCAUUUAUUAAGAGUUAUUUUGACAGUAAUCCUAGAAAGUGCUUUUACAGUAAAAAAGAGUUUAAAAAAAACAUGGAAUGUUUAAUAGAAUUUAGGAAAUACUAAUCAAAAUUCUAAAAAUGCGUCAACAUGAUUUUUGUGAAAGCAUUUUCUCUAAUAGUUUUUUUUUCAGAGAAUCAUUUAUUAAGAGUUAUCUUUGCAGUGAUUCUAAGAAGUGUUUUUACCCUAAAAAGAUGUUUUUUAAAAAAAACAUUGAAUGUUUAACAGAAUUUAAGAAAUACUAUUCAGAUUUUGAAAAAUCAUUUUUUAGAAAAACACUUGAGAUGAUUUUCUGAAAAAUAAUAUUUUAUAAGAAAACAUUAUUAUUAAAGAAAUUUUGAAUAUAAAUACUUUCAAGCGCAUUUUCACUAUUGUUUUAAGAGUGUUUGAAAGUAAUUAUAGAAAGUAUUUCUAAUAUCUUUAAUACUUGAAAGAUAAAAAAUUUUAAAUGUUAAAAAUAUUAAAAAUACUUUCUAAAAACACUAUAAACAUGUCCAAAGAAUUACAGGUGAUUUUUUAACUUUUUAAAACCCUUGUCUAAAUUUUAUCUAGUUUUAUUUUUUUUUUUUUGGUCAAAAAUAUUUUUUUAAGCUAGAACAAGAAGUACUCUAACUUUAAAGAAUCCUUACCCAGCCGUUAACGUUUUAAACACAGUAGUUACUAGGCCCUACUCUCAUGCUAUUGUCUAAAUAAACAGGAGCACUUUUGUUACUUAGUGCUGGAACGCAUUAGAACUAUAGACAAAACAGAAGAUUCCAUGGUUUUAUUUAGGCACCAAACCCACUCAUUCAAGCAUAUUUAAAUUUAAAUGCAGCCGUCCAUGAAUAAACAACAGACCCAUUACCAAGAAGGUGAUCAUCCUUUUUCAGGGUUGGUUCUUCAAAAUUCAAAAUCAGUUAGCUGAAGAACAGAAAGGAAAAGAACAGAGCUGAAUUUACAGAAAAGAAAUUUUUUUUUUCUUUUUCUUUUCUAAGGAUCUUGGAAUCCUUUUCCUAGUAUAGGCAGAACAUUAGAGAUAUAUAUAUGGUAGUGGGAAGUGAUUCUUAUGUUGAAACUCCAUUUUGCUUGUAUCCAAUUAUUAGACAGAAAUUGCAUGUUGAAUCAUAUGAAGAAAUUAUGUCAAACAUUUCUAUAGAAAGGAACAUACUGAACUAACCUGAUUCCAUUUUGAGUGUUGAAUGAACAAGGUAUGGAUCUUCUAAGGCUGUGGAGGGCAUCACCUCCUUCUGGAUUCUCUCUGACGAUGGGAGUGGGAGAGAAAACAAGUCUGUUCUUAUUUCAAAUUAUGUGAUUCGAUUGAACAGACACUUAGCCUUUGGUUUUAUACCCUCCUGCCUUAGGACCAUACCCUUUGGCUAUUAGGCCUCACGAGUCUUAGGCCCAUCAUCUAAGGCUCGUGAUGGCAAUGGACUCUACACAUAAGGUGACCCAUACUAUGUAAAACUGAUACAAAAUAAAUAUCAAAAGGGGAAUAGCUUAGUCAUAUAACAUUGUUAAAUAUGUGUGAGUCCAUAUCUUAACAUCUUCUCCCUAAAACAUUUUCAUUUCUAUUGAGUCAUGGCUUCAGUUUCGAGGGAUCAUCGUUUUUGGCCUUCUGUUUGUGGUUGAUUAAAGCCGAAGGGAACAAGAACAAAGGCAAAAGGGCACCAGAACCAUCCAAGGCAUGGCCUUUAAUCGGACACCUUCAUCUUCUAUGAGCAGGCAAGCCCUAACAUCAAUCAUUUGGAGCCAUGGCAGAUAAGUAUGGACCAAUCUUUUGCUUUCAUAUUGGCCUGCGCAAAACUUUUUUGGUUAGCAGCUAGGACCCAGCAAAAGAAUGUUUCACUACCAUGGACAAAGCAUUUGACACUCGACCCAGAUCCUUCGCAGGAAAGCUCAUGGGCUAUGACCAUGCCAUGUUUGGCUUCUCUCAUUACGGGCCAUACUGGCAUGAGGUAAGGAAGCUGGUCUCGGUUGAGCUCCUCUUAAACCGCCAGCUUGAGUUACUCAACCAUGUCCGGGACUCAGAAGUCAAGCUUUUCAUCAAAGAGCUCUACGGGCAAUGGAUACAAAAUGGGGACAGGCCUGCCUUGGUCGUGAUGAAGGAGAAAUGUUGGCACCUGGCAAUGAAAAGAAGAAGAAUUGGCUGAAUUAAUAUUAUUGAUGUUGAAGUGUGUAUUUAUACAAGGAGGUUUGAGAUCUUUUUCUACAAGUCAGACAUCAGCUUACCAUAUUCUAAACUAUCCAGCUAUAAGUCAAGAAUUACAAUAGGAAAACUAACAUAUACAGAUCAUCUAUUCUUAAUAUGGAAGAUUUAGGAAGAUUGACUUUCCAACACUCCCCCUCAAGUUGGAGAGUGGAUAUCCUACACUCCCAACUUGCGAAUCAUAGGAGCAAAAAUCUCCUUUCCCAAUGGUUUAGUCAGAAUGUCUGCAAGUUGGUGCGCUGAGCUCACAUGUCUUGUAAUAAUGGAACCAUCUUGGAUCUUGUCCCUAAUAUAGUGACAAUCCAUCUCAAUGUGUCUAGUACGCUCAUGGAAAAUAGGGUUGGCUACAAUGUGCAACGCUGCCUUGUUGUCACAAUACAGCAAGGCAAGUUCCUGAUGUAAAACACCCAAAUCUUUCAAAAGGUACCGAAGCCAUGUCAACUCACAACAAUCUCCUGUCAUUGCACGAUACUCUGCUUCGGCUGAAGAGAGUGACACUGUUUUCUGUCGCUUUGAUCUCCAAGAAAUCAAUGAAAGUCCAAGGAAUACAUAGUAGCCUGUAGUGGACCUUCUAGUAAGUGGACAACCUGCCCAAUCAGAAUCACAGUAGGCUCUCAAUCUGAAAUCAUUAUUCGAAGAGAAGAACAUACCCUGACCAGGUGCAUUCUUGAGAUAACGUACAACUCUGAACGCUGCUUCCAUAUGAGCCUUUCUCGGUUGAUGCAUAAACCGGCUUAACACAUGAACUGCAUAAGUGAUAUCUGGCCUCGACACAGUUAGAUAUAUUAACCUUCCAACCAAUCUCCUAUAACGACCUUGAUCCUUGAGCAAAUCGCUCUUAUCAGACAAUUUCAAUCCUCGUUCCAUAGGUGUAUCAAUAGGGGCAGCGCCCAAUAAUCCUGCAUCCUCAAUAAUCUCUAAUGCAUACUUACGUUGGAAAAUAAAAAUACCAUUUUUAGAAGCAGAAACUUCAAUGCCAAGAAAGUAUUUUAAAUCACCCAGAUCUUUGAGAUGAAAAUGACUAUGCAGAAAUUUUUUUUGUUGUAGCAAUGCUCACAGGAUCAUUUCCAGUAAUCAGAAUAUCAUCAACAUAUAUCAAGAGGGCAGUAAAGGACUUGCCUUAUUUUCUAGUGAACAAAGAAUAAUCGGCUCGAGAUUGUGCAUAACCGGCAGAUUGAAUAGCUUCUGAGAACUUGGCGAACCACUGGCGAGAAGCUUGUUUCAGACCGUAGAGUGAUUUAUGAAGGCGACAUACCAAGUUUUCCUCCCCCUGUUGCCGAAGCCCUAGCGGCGGAGACAUAUAUAUUUCCUCAUGUAAGUCGCCAUGAAGAAAAGUGUUGUUAACAUCCAUUUGAUGAAGAGACCAGCCAUGGGCUGCGGCCAAUGCAAGCAAGCAGCAGACAGAUAUGAUCUUGGCGGUGGGGGAAAAGGUAUCCUGAUAAUCGACACCUUCUAAUUGAGUAAAGCCUUUCGCUACCAAUCGUGCUUUGUAACGCUCAAUAGACCCAUCUGAACGGUGUUUAAUUUUAUACACCCAUCGACAGCCAAUUGGUGUCUUGCCAGCCGGAAGUGGAGUGAGAGACCAAGUGCCAUUAGCUUGGAGAGCCUGCAAUUCAGAACGCAUUGCCUCCUGCCACUCAGGAUGAGUGGCUGCUUCCGAAUAAGACCUAGGUUCAGUGACAGCACUAUGUUGAGCAACAAAAGAUCUAUAUGCAGGCUUAUAUCUGUGAUAAGAAACAUAAUUGGCCAGUGGAUAUCUUGUACCUUUAGUUGGACCUGGAAUCAAGGAAGACGAUUGAUUGGAGGAAACGUGGGAGCAAACAUAAUCGUGGAGCUUGAUUGGCAGGGCGAUAUGGCGGUUGGAGCGACGGAGCGGAGUGGCUGGUUUGGGUGAGUGUGUUUCUGGUGAAAAGAUGGGUGUCUCAGCUGGAGGAGCGGACGAGAUGGAUGCAAACGGUGGCACCGGAGAAGGCGAUACUAGAGUUGUAGAAGGCGGUGGUGAAGGGUUUGGAUCAAUCUGAGAAGAAGGUUCGAUAAUGAGUUCGGAAGGUCGAGAAGGAGAGGAAAAGUUGUCAUUUUUUGUGGUGGGAAACGGUGUGCUUGUGUGGUUGGAAAGAAGAGGGGAAAGUGCAUGAGAAGUAGAGUCAAGGGAGGAAGAGAUGUCAUGGGCCACCAAGGGGAUUGGACCAGAAUUAUGGGUCAACGAAGGGAGAGUAGAGUUGGGCUUGAGAGAGACAUAAGGAAAAAUAUCUUCAUGAAAUUUGACAUCUCGGCUAGUAAAGACCUUUUUGGUUGAUAAAUCAGAUAAUUUGUAUGCUUUCUGACCAACAGGAUAACCGAUGAAAAUGGAUGGCAUGGCACGGUAAUCAAAUUUGUGAGAGGUGUGAACAUUGGUGGCAUAGGCUAAACAUCCGAAAACACGGAGAUGGGAGUAAGAAGGUGGUUUUGAGUAAAGCAAUUCAAAAUGAGUUUUGAAAGACAAUACUGGUGAAGGUAACCGAUUGAUGAUGUGUACGGCAAUGAGAGCACACUCCCUCCAAAAUUGAGUGGGAACUUGAGCAUGGAAUUUCAAAGCUCGGGCUACUUGUAAAAUAUGACGAUGUUUGCGUUCCACAACCCCAUUUUGUUGAGGCGUGUAAACACAAGAAUGUUGAAAGAUGACACCAUUAUCUUGAAAAAAGGAACGAAGUGAGGUAAAUUCUCUACCAUUGUCACUUCGAAAAGUUUUAAUGCGAAAUUCAAAUUGUGUGAACACAUAGCUGAAGAAACGUUUUAAAAGUGAUUGUGCUUCAUCUUUAUGUCGCAUUAAAAAUAUCCAAGUGAAACGUGUAUAAUCAUCGACAAUAGUGAGAAAGUAAUAGGCACCAAACAGAGAAGGGUGUCGAUAACGACCCCAAAUGUCACAAUGAAUAAUCUCAAAAGGUUUUGUAGAAGAAAUAGCACUAGUACCAAAAGGUAAACGACUUUGCUUAGCCAAGUGACAUAUAGAGCAAUCAUUAUUGGACUGAACAGAAAAAUUCAAAAAAUUCUUGGCAAUGAAACUCAAACGAGAAGGUGAUACAUGGCCUAAGCGACUGUGCCAGAGAUCGGUGGAAGAGAUGGCGAGAUUGCAAGCUGGUUGGUUUAUGGAUGAGGAAUGGUUGGUUAAAGAUUUCUCCGUCACUAGUGCCACCAAAUAGUAUAGUCCGUCACGUUGUUUACCCAAACCAAUCGUCCUUCUCGUAGCCAGAUCCUGCAAAAUACACCAAUAAGGGAAAAACGUCACUGAACAAUUUAGACCUCUUGUCAAACGACUAACUGAUAUUAAAUCAACUUUGAAUGUAGGCACAGAUAAAACAUCAUGCAGAUAAUAAACGGAAUUCAAAGGCAAAGUCCAUUUCGUAACAAUAUUCGUUUUUUCUCCACUAGGCAACAAUACGGGCGGUAACGAGCAAUUUUUAUCUUUAUGCAAUAGCUUAGAGGAUGAAGUAAUAUGAUUCGUCGCCCCACUAUCAAUAAUCCAAUUGUGGGAAGCGACUUUGGACAAACCUGGCUUUGUUACCGCAUUCACUUUGGAACUAGAGUUUUCAUCUUGGUUAUUAAGAAGUGACAAAAGUUGCUUGAGUUGGGCUUCUGACAAUGCAACUGCAGGUUUCCCUUCAUCUGCCUCAGAAACUUGGUUAGCCGCAGAAAAACUUUUAUUCCGAUUUGAGUUUGAGCCUAAGUUCAUUCUUGUUUUAGGAUGGUCUGGUGGGUAUCCAUGUAGUUGAAAACACUUUUGGACCCAAUGACCCAUAUCUCCACAAUACGAGCACUGGAGGCAUCCUCUUCUAGAACCCAUGCGGCGCCGAUCUUGAUCAAAAAAUGGUCUACCAUCUUGUCCUUGAGAAGAUCGAUUCAGCCGAAAAUUUUGAGAACCAGAGGGGCGAUCAGUCGGUUCCAUCCUUCCUGUGUUCGAUCGAUCUAUUCCGUCCUUCCAAGUUGCCGAAGACUUGCCGUUGCUGCGCACGGCCAUAGCAGCACUUGCGGCAGAUUCCGCUGCUGCGUUCGUCGAAGUGAGAAGGCGUUGCUUUUCUUCUUGAGAGACAGAGGAGUAUGCUUGGCGAACAGAAGGGAGAGAAUUCAUCAGGAGGAUUUGCCCGCGAAUAACACUGUAAGAUUCAUUCAAACCCAUCAGAAAUUGCAUCAAUUUUUGUUGAUCUUGUUGUGCCCCAUGUGAUGCAGCGUUGUAGGAAGCCAGUUCAUCCCACAAGCCUUUCAAUUUUGUGUAAUAGGCAGAGACAGAGAGUUGCUCUUGUCGAAGACAAGCAAUAUCUCGCUGAAUUUCAAAGAUGCGAGGCGCAUUGCUCUGAGAGAAUCGCUCACAGAGAUCUUCCCAAACUUCAUGAGCAGUAGAAUAAUAGAUUACACUGUCCGCAAUUUCUGGAUUGAGAGUAUUGACGAUCCAGGAGUGAACCAUGUCAUUACACCGUGACCAAGUCGCAUAACCUUCAGGAUCAAUUUCUUCUGAAGGAGCCUUGAUCGAGCCAUUAACAAAACCCAAUUUGUUCUUGGAAUUUAAAGCUAAAAUCAUAGCCCUUUUCCAAGCCGAAUAAUUGUCUCCAUUCAAAGAUUUGGAAAUCAAAACCAAACCUAGGUGAUUUGAAUGGUGAGUGAAAUAGGGAUUGGAGAGAUCUGCCUUUGAGAAAUCCGUAGGAAUCUCUGAUUUUGCUAUGAUGAUUGAAGAAAAGAGAUGCUACACGAGAGAUUAGAGUGCAGCAAUGAAUCAGGAUUUUAGUCCUGCUCUGAUACCAUGAAAAGAAGAAGAAUUGGCUGAAUUAAUAUUAUUGAUGUUGAAGUGUGUAUUUAUAUAAGGAGGUUUGAGAUCUUUUUCUACAAGUCAGGAAUCAGCUUACCAUAUUCUAGACUAUCCAGCUAUAAGUCAGGAAUUACAAUAGGAAAACUAACACAUACAGAUCAUCUAUUCUUAAUAUGGAAGAUUUAGGAAGAUUGACUUUCCAACAGGCAACAAAUGUAAUGGUGAGCGAAGUAGGUGGGAAACGGUAUUUUGGCACCGUUACAAAUGACUAUGAGUCAAGACGGUGCCGGAAGGCCCUUGAAGAUUUGUUAUAUCUGUCGAGGAUAUUUAUGGUUUCUGAUGCAAUUCCCUCCCUUGGCUGGUUGGAGACUGUGAGAGGAUAUACGGCAAAAAUGAAGAGAAUAGCUAGGGAGGUGGAUCAGGUGCUGGGAAGCUGGGUGGAGGAGCAUCGCCGGAAGAGGUUCUCUGGAAGCGUGAACGAGGCUGUGCAAGACUUCAUCCAUGUCAUGCUGUCUGUUAUUGAGGAUGGUCAGUUCUCUGAUCAUGACCAUGACACCGUCAUUAAGGCUACUUGCUUGGUAUGUUUCUUCUACUUUCCUUGGUCAAAUUCCAUAAACCUCCACACACUUCUGUAUGGAAACAGCAAACCUCCAUCAUGAUUUGUUUUGUCCUGUUAUACUUGCUAUUUCAGGACUGAUUAUUAACUCUCAACUUUCUUUGACAAAUUUUCUGGGAAUAAUGAAAACUAUGAUAAACUUUUAAAUUGUUCUACCGACAGCUAGACUCACUAUUUUUUAACACAUACUGAUCAAAGGAGCCAUAUCACCGGCUCAAAAGACCAACAUGGAUGUAAUGUUGAUGUAGACUCUUAUAUAGGCGGCUUUGAUUCAACAGUGAUCACACUGACCUGUGCCCUCUGUCCGCUAAUGAACAAUCCCAGCACUCUAAAAAGAGCACAAGAUGAGUUAGACAUCAAAGUGGGAAAGCAUCGCCAAGUGGAUGAGUCAGACAUAAAGAACCUAGUCUACUUGCAAGCCAUCAUCAAGGAAACCUUAAUUACGACUGUACCCUGCUGCACCGCUUUCAGUGCCACGUGAGGCCAUGGAGGAUUGCACCGUGGCAGGCUUCCACAUCCAAGCUGGGACGCGCCUUUUGGUUAACCUCUGGAAGUUGCACAGGGACCCCAGAAUUUGGUCGGAUCCUUUGGAGUUCCAACCUGAGAGGUUUCUAACGAAGCAUGUGGAUUUGGAUGUUAGGGGUCGAAAUUUUGAAUUUCUGCCAUUUGGGUCAGGCAGAAGGGUAUGCCCAGGAAUCUCAUUUGCGCUUGAGGUCGUGCAUCUGACACUAGCCAGACUGCUUCAUGGUUUUGAAUUGGGAGUGGUUGCGGAUUUACCAGUGGAUAGGACUGAGGGGGGUGUUUGGUACACAGGAAUAGGGAGUGGGAAUAGACAUCUCAUUCCUUUUCUCCCUUAUUCCUAUGUUUGGAUAAAUGUUAAGAAGGCAGAAAUGAAAUAAAAAAUUAUUCCGGCAGAAAUCAAAUCCAACUUAUGAGUCGGAUUUGCAUUCAUUAAAAGUAGGUGGUAUUCUGAUUUAUUAAACCUAUUUGAUAAUAUAAAAUAACCUAAAUUACUAUUUUACCCUCUUAUCUUGUUUUUCAAACCCGAUGUUUAUCUUCUUUGUAAAGGUAGAAAUCCAUUCAUCAUCCACUUCUUAUCUUCUUUGCAAAGCUAGAGACCCACUCAUCAUCCAAUUCUCUGCAAGAAGUGAUUCUUCCAAAUUGAAUCAAUUAAACCUUCCACGAUAUUUAAAAAAAAAAAAAUCAAUUUCUAAUUUAUAGGGUUUUGGAUGUUCAUUUUGAUUGUUGGAUCUAAGAUUCUUCAUUGUUUGCUACAACUAGGUUCUAAAAACUCCCUUCUACAUCUUCGAUCAGGUUUACUUUAUUUUCUCUUUCUUCUUCUACUUCUUUAUAUGUGUUUAUUCUUUCUCUAUAAAUCGAUUAAUUUUUUAUUUAUUAAUUUAUGUUUGGAAUCUUUGAUGUUUCUUUAUCUUGUAUUAAUGGAAACUGGAGAGAAAAAUUGAAAUGGUUGGAAAAAGAUUUUUCGAUUUCACGUGUUUAUAAUAUUGAAAAAUUUUAAUGGUUAGGAAAAAAAUAAAAAGAAAAAAACAAAACUUUUGGUUUUUUAAUAAUAAAUUUGAAUUCUUUUAUUUCCUCUUUUGAAAAUAGGAAAAACAUUUGCUAGCUUUGAGAAUUUAAAUAUUAUAAUAAAUAAUUUUUUUUUGAAAAAUAUAAUUUUAGAACUACUUAAGCAUGACAAAUUAUUCAAAUUUUUAAUAAAAAUAAUAAUUGAAUAUUUGUGCAUUAGGGUUAUACAAUUUUUUAUGGUUAAUUUUUUAUUUAUUGUAUUAAUGGAAACUGGAGAGAAAAUUGAAAUGGUUGGAAAAGAUUUUUCGAUUUCACGUGUUUAUAUAUUGAAAAUUUUUAUNNAGGAAAAAAUAAAANNNNNNNNNNNNNNNNNNNNNNNNNNNNNNNNNNNNNNNNNNNNNNNNNNNNNNNNNNNNNNNNNNNNNNNNNNNNNNNNNNNNNNNNNNNNNNNNNNNNUGAAUAUUGUGCAUUAGGGUAUACGAAUUUUUAUGGUUAAUUUUUUUAUUUAUUGUAUUAAGGGAAACUGGAGAGAAAAAAUUGAAAUGGUUGAAAAAAGAUUUUCGAUUUCACGUGUUUAUAAUAUUGAAAAUUUUUAAUGGUUAGGAAAAAAAUAAAAAGAAAAAAACAAAACUUUUGGUUUUUUAAUAAUAAAUUUGAAUUCUUUUAUUUCCUCUUUUGAAAAUAGGAAAAACAUUUGCUAGCUUUGAGAAUUUAAAUAUUAUAAUAAAUAAUUUUUUUUUUGAAAAAUAUAAUUUUAGAACUACUUAAGCAUGACAAAUUAUUCAAAUUUUUAAUAAAAAUAAUAAUUGAAUAUUUGUGCAUUAGGGUUAUACAAUUUUUUAUGGUUAAUUUUUUAUUUAUUGUAUUAAUGGAAACUGGAGAGAAAAAUUGAAAUGGUUGGAAAAAGAUUUUUCGAUUUCACGUGUUUAUAAUAUUGAAAAUUUUUAAUGGUUAGGAAAAAAAUAAAAAGAAAAAAACAAAACUUUUGGUUUUUUAAUAAUAAAUUUGAAUUCUUUUAUUUCCUCUUUUGAAAAUAGGAAAAACAUUUGCUAGCUUUGAGAAUUUAAAUAUUAUAAUAAAUAAUUUUUUUUUUGAAAAAUAUAAUUUUAGAACUACUUAAGCAUGACAAAUUAUUCAAAUUUUUAAUAAAAAUAAUAAUUGAAUAUUUGUGCAUUAGGGUUAUACAAUUUUUUAUGGUUAAUUUUUUAUUUAUUGUAUUAAUGGAAACUGGAGAGAAAAAUUGAAAUGGUUGGAAAAAGAUUUUUCGAUUUCACGUGUUUAUAAUAUUGAAAAUUUUUAAUGGUUAGGAAAAAAAUAAAAAGAAAAAAACAAAACUUUUGGUUUUUUAAUAAUAAAUUUGAAUUCUUUUAUUUCCUCUUUUGAAAAUAGGAAAAACAUUUGCUAGCUUUGAGAAUUUAAAUAUUAUAAUAAAUAAUUUUUUUUUUGAAAAAUAUCACUUUUAGAACUACUUAGCCAGACCAAUUACUCCAAAUUUUUAAUAAAAAUANNNNNNNNNNNNNNNNNNNNNNNNNNNNNNNNNNNNNNNNNNNNNNNNNNNNNNNNNNNNNNNNNNNNNNNNNNNNNNNNNNNNNNNNNNNNNNNNNNNNNNNNNNNNNNNNNNNNNNNNNNNNNNNNNNNNNNNNNNUUUGAAAAAUAUAAUUUUAGACUACUUAAGCAUGACAAUUUAUUCAAAUUUUUAAUAAAAUAAUAAUUGAAUAUUUGUGCAUUAGGGUUAUACAAUUUUUUAUGGUUAAUUUUUUAUUUAUUGUAUUAAUGGAAACUGGAGAGAAAAAUUGAAAUGGUUGGAAAAAGAUUUUUCGAUUUCACGUGUUUAUAAUAUUGAAAAUUUUUAAUGGUUAGGAAAAAAAUAAAAAGAAAAAAACAAAACUUUUGGUUUUUUAAUAAUAAAUUUGAAUUCUUUUAUUUCCUCUUUUGAAAAUAGGAAAAACAUUUGCUAGCUUUGAGAAUUUAAAUAUUAUAAUAAAUAAUUUUUUUUUGAAAAAUAUAAUUUUAGAACUACUUAAGCAUGACAAAUUAUUCAAAUUUUUAAUAAAAAUAAUAAUUGAAUAUUUGUGCAUUAGGGUUAUACGAUUUUUUAUGGUUAAUUUUUUAUUUAUUGUACUAAUGGAAACUGGAGAGAAAAAUUGAAAUGGUUGGAAAAAGAUUUUUCGAUUUCACGUGUUUAUAAUAUUGAAAAUUUUUAAUGGUUAGGAAAAAAAUAAAAAGAAAAAAACAAAACUUUUGGUUUUUUAAUAAUAAAUUUGAAUUCUUUUAUUUCCUCUUUUGAAAAUAGGAAAAACAUUUGCUAGCUUUGAGAAUUUAAAUAUUAUAAUAAAUAAUUUUUUUUUUGAAAAAUAUAAUUUUAGAACUACUUAAGCAUGACAAAUUAUUCAAAUUUUUAAUAAAAAUAAUAAUUGAAUAUUUGUGCAUUAGGGUUAUACGAUUUUUUAUGGUUAAUUUUUUAUUUAUUGAGUAUAUAAUAGAAACUGUAGUCUUAAAAUUUAAUGGGAAAAAAACUUUCAAAUUUUAUUUUUUUUAAAUAAAAUUUUAAAUAAAAAAAAUAUUUUAAAUUAUAUGUAAGGAUAUUAUUGUAAAUUUAUUUCUUUUUCAUUUCCAUUCCUAUCAUUAUCAAAUAUUUGAAUGGAAACAAAUAAUCAUUCCAAUCUUGCAUUCCUAAGUUUAUCCAAAUGCUAGAAAUGGAAUCAUCAAAUUCAUUCCAUUCCACUAAGAAAUAGGAAAGGAAACAAAAUAUUAUUCUCAUUCUCUAUUCCGACGUGCCAAACACUCCCUGAAGGUUCAGGGGUGACUCUUCCCAGAGCAACCCCGUUAGAUGUCACCGUUUUCCCAAGGCUACCUUCCGAGCUCUACGGUUAUUAAGCAAGCAUGCAUGAAGACGGAAAAGUCUACUCCAAAUGUUAUCUUCUAAGCUGUAUUGUGAUUAAUUAGGCAUAAGAAGUUACAGCCCAAUUCACAAACUCCCCUCACAAGCCCAGGCGGUGUCGUCUACAAAUGUUUGGACUCAGGAGAAUAUGAUUAAAUCUGCUCUUGUUAUGCAUGUGUAGCUCAUUCUGAAUGAUUUGUCAACUCAAAACCUUCAAUAUCUUUCUACUGCUGCUUCAUGCAGAGUCUACUUGGUUGCCUAUACCCCGACUUAUUUAAGAUUAUACAUCAGUUGAUUAUGAUCAUCUUCAUCGAUCAAAUAGAGUUCAUAUGUUGAUGCUUGUGUUGUUAUUUGAUUUGAUAAUUUUUCUUGCUUCUGCUUCAAAGUUUCUUGUUUGGGUUGGGCCUAGCUCAUGUUUUAAGUCAACUCAGUGUAGGGGGAAACACAAUUGGGAUUUGUAUAUAUAUAUAUAUAUAUAUUUUUUCCACCAGCAGAAUGGUCUUAUUUGGAAGCUUGUACAAACUUAGCUUUUUUAUAUAAAUAUUUGUGUUUGCAGUUUCCUGAUAUGGAUAAGUAUGACACGAAAGAGAGAGGAUUUUCCCACCCAAUCUCAUGCACAUUUCUGAUAAGACUUUGAAUGGCCACGACGUUCGCAACUUGCCAUCAAAAUAAAUCCAAAAUUUCAUGCAUGAACACAUGGAUGCAUUCAAGCCGUUGUGGGAUCAUUUCAUAGUUAAGUUGCUAUUCUCUUCUAGCCAAAGAAUUAGGAGGAAUUAAUAACCACGUGUUUGGAAUGAGUCAUAAGUAGUGGUAGAAGAAUAAAAGUUGAUGUAUUGAUUUUUGCUUUCGCUAGUGUUAAGGACCUUUAGUUUCAACGACAUAUGCUGAAAGUUUGUUAGAUUGAUUUGUAUUUAUUGCUCAUGAACAUGGAUAAAGGAUAUGACAUUUUUUUAACCCAAAUACUUUUAAUCAAUUGUUGUAAAACACGAAUCUUUGACUGGACCUAUCAAUUUCUGUGGGGCUAGAUACACUCCCACGUGAUUUUCAAUGAACAAAUAUGCAUCAUAACAACUGGCCAAAGAGAUGGGUUUUUUCAUACUCAGAACUAUCAUAUAUAAGACUUCGAAGGAGCUUUCACAUUUUAUAUCAUCGACAGCUGUCUACAGUUUCCGUAUUAGGAUGGCACAUGUGUGGAACAUGAAUUCGACCUGUCAAUUUUCUCAAUGUAAUCACCUUUUAUUUAUAUUUUUUCUCUAUGUAAUCCCGUUUUAUAUAUUUUUUUUACAUCUAAGAAGCACUCACAGAAAGUGUGACCUGGUAUGUAUAAAUAUCUCUGUUCUGAACAGAGAAAACUGUGAAAACAGAAUAUAUAGAAAACCAUUUUUCUCUCUCCGACCCUCUUUCUCUUCACUCUGGUACAAUCUAGUCAUGGGAUUCUCCCUUCGCCCUCAAGAUAUCACAGUUUUUGGGCUUCUUCUUGCUACAAUCUGUCUGUUGUUGGCAACAGUACUUAAUGCCAAAGGGAACAAGAAGAGAGGCAAAAGGCCACCAGAGCCGUCCGGGCGAUGGCCUCUUAUCGGUCACCUUCAUCUUCUAGGAGCAGACAAGCUGCUACAUCGGACACUUGGAGACAUGGCUGAUAAGUAUGGACCCAUCUUUUGCGUUCGUCUUGGCCUCAAAAAAACAUUGGUGGUUAGUAGCUGGGAAGUAGCAAAGGAAUGUUACACUACAAGUGACAAGGUAUUCGCAACUCGACCAAGAUCCUUAGCAAUAAAGCUCAUAGGCUAUGAUCAUGGCUCGUUUGUCUUUGCUCCUUAUGGACCAUACUGGCGUGAUGUGCGGAAGUUAGCCAUGGUUGAGCUGCUGUCAAACCGCCAGCUUGAGAUGCACAAGCAUGUCCAGGACUCAGAAGUCAAGAUCUUAAUAAAAGAGCUUUAUGGGCAAUGGGCAAGCAACAAGGACGGCCCCGCUUUGGUGGAGAUGAAGGAAAGAUUUGGGAACUUGGCACUGAACGUAGUGGUGAGAGCAAUUGCUGGGAAACGGUAUUUUGGGACCCAUGCCUGUGGUGAUGAGCCAAAACGGGCCAAGAAGGCCUUUGAGGAUUUCAUUAUUCUACUGGGGCUGUUCAUGGUCUCGGAUGUCAUCCCUUUUCUCGGCUGGUUGGACACGAUGAAAGGGUUUACCGCUGAAAUGAAGAGAGUAGCUAAGGAGGUGGAUUAUGUGCUUGGAAGCUGGGUGGAGGAGCAUCGCCAGAAUAGGCUUUCUGCGAACGACAAUGGGGCUGAGCAAGACUUCAUACAUGCCAUGCUUUCUGUCAUAGAUGAUGGCCAAUUCUCUGGUCGUGAUCCUGACACCAUCAUUAAGGGCACUUGCUCGGUAUGUCCCUGCUACUUCCAUAACCUGAGCAUGAAACGAAAAGAAAAAAAACCACCAUCUACUAUCAUAAUUUCUGCAACUUUUUCUGCCCAAUUUCCUAAACCCUCCUCGCAUUUCUACAAGCAUUCAUCAAAUCCAGUAUAGCUUUAUCAUCUGUAUUUAUCAUGACAAACCAGGUGGGGUGAUCAAAUUUCACUUAGAUUCCUUAUUCACGGUUUGUUUUAUCAUUCUGCUAAACAUGGUAUUUCACUACUGAUAAGUAAACUUUUCCUGAUCACAUAUUGAAGUCGACAUCAUUUGUUGAUUGCAGAACCUCAUAUUAGCUGGCAAUGACACAACAUCUAUCACUCUUACAUGGGCCCUCUCUCUUCUACUGAACAACCGCCAUGCGCUAAAAAAAGCACAAGCAGAGCUGGAAAUCCAUGUGGGAAAGCAUCGCCAAGUGGAUGGAUCAGAUAUAAAAAACCUCGUCUACUUGCAAGCCAUCGUCAAGGAAACAUUACGAUUGUACCCUCCUGGGCCACUUUCCCUGCCACAUGAGGCCAUGGAAGAUUGCACUGUGGCUGGCUUUCACAUCCAAGCUGGGACGCGCCUUUUGGUUAAUCUCUGGAAGUUGCAUCGUGACCCCAGAGUCUGGUUGGACCCUUUGGAGUUCCAACCAGAGAGGUUCCUGACAAAGCAUGCAGGUUUGGAUGUUAGGGGUAAAAAUUAUGAACUUCUACCCUUUGGUUCAGGUAGAAGGGUAUGCCCAGGAAUCUCAUUUGCACUGGAGUUGACGCAUCUGACGCUAGCCAGACUGCUUCAUGGUUUUGAAUUGGGAGCGGUUGCAGAUUCACCGGUGGAUAUGACUGAAAGUCCUGGGUUGACUGCCCCCAAAGCAACCCCACUGGAGGUCACCAUUGUUCCAAGGCUACCUUUCGAGCUCUAUAGUUAUGAAGCAGCAUAGAAAGUAAAUAAUACUCUAUGUGAGCCAGAGAGUCCCCUAAUUAGCCCAAUGCUUUAGGGUAUAUUUAUGUUGUGUAACUCACUUUGAAUGGCCUGUGUAGUGGGUGUUCUCCUUUCUCAGCUUCUCAUCUCAAAUUUCAUCCUCUUGGGUAGUAAUAAAUUUCUAUCUAUGAGUAAUUCUUUUUGCAUUACUUAAAAUAUAGACGACAACUGCACUGCACCAACAACAGAAGGCUGUUGAACCAAGAUCACUCAAGAAUUGUGCAACUAGUUAGGAAGUGUAGUUUGAACUGUGCAAAUAGUUAGGAAUCUGAUAGUGGACGCUAUUUGCCUUUUAACUUCUUGUUGAGGGUAUUUGUUGACUUUUAUUUUUGAGAAAAAAAAAAUAAUUUGGCAAUCAAAAAAUGGGAAAUGGUAUUUGUGUUUUGAAAAAUAGAAAUUAGGAAAUUGUUUAUGAGAAUAUCUUUUAGUCGAUUUUAUUUAUUUUAAAAAAUUAUUUUAAAAAAUAAUUAUACAAGUAUGAAAAAUUAUUAAAAAUGAAGCACUAAUUAAAAAAUUAAAAAUGGUUUUAAAACAUUUCAAUGUCUAAAACAUACUUUUAUUCUCAAAAUAUCAAUACUGAUUUUUAAAAAAUUAAGAACUAUUUUCAAAAACACUUUUCAAACAAAAUUGUAAUUUAUCAACCCUUCCAAAGUCAACAUAUGUUGCUGCUGCAGUAUAUGCUUCUUCAUCAAGUAAAGUUUAUUUUGAAUAUCUGCUAUUGACUUGUUAACAUAUUAUAAAACAAUUCAUCCUAAUUUUCAUAGUGAAAUCACAAAGAUUAAUUAGAAACUAAUCAUCUGUAUAAGGUUGCAAGCCCUUAUGAUCGAUCCAAACUUCGCAUUUUUCUUUCCCACAAGGUGAAUAUAGCUUGUGGCAAUAAACAUAUGAUCGUGAAUGAACCAUCGAAUUUCAUAUUAAAAUAUCUUAUAUUAAUAGAGCAUCCAAACUGAUGAGGGCAUAACUAACCAACGAAAUGCAGAUCCUAUUCAAGUUCCAAUUGGUCUGGUUACAAGGGCUCGAGCUAAAAAGUCCGAGGAAAAUUUCAAUAGACUGAUUCAAAACAUUUGGGCUGAGGUAAAUUUGUGGAGGCCUAAGGAAGCUACUCCAAGUGUUCCACAAGGUUGGAUUUCCAUGAUUCAAGCUUUUGAAUAAGCUAGAAGAAUCCCUCAAAGAGAACAGCUCACAAAUUGCGUGGAUUUAGUGGAGUUUUCUAAAUUGGUGAUUACCCAAUUUUGAUUCAUCAAGGAGAAUGGCUAGCUAAAUUUAAAGCAAUCAUUUUAAGAUAGCUAAAUUAUCUUUUUUAUUUAUUAUUAUAUUUUAUUGCUGAGUUGUAUGGUUUGCAUGCCAAUUUAGAUACUUUCCUUAUUGGCCUUCAAUUUUCAGAAUUAAACUUAGGAUGUUUUAGUUUCCUUUUUCUAGCUAUCUACGAAUCCUAGGCAGGAUAUUUGGAGAUUUUCUAGUUGCCUAAUUCGUGGACCUCUUUGUACAUAAAUAUCCAUUAGCUUAUUGAAAAACAAUACAAAUUCCAUUCAUAAUUUUGUGACAGAAAAUUCGUUUGGUUGUUUUAGAACUCUAUGAAUUUAUCAAAACAAUUUUCGUGGCGUUCUUCUUCGACUUAUUAAUCAAUCCUUCCAUAAUUGAUUAUGACAUCUUCAUUAUAUCAAGGUUAUUGCUUCCAUAUGAGCAACGGGUCGCAGUUUCAUAUAAAUCGAUUUCUAGACGAUCUUGGAGUCAUUCUUGAUCCACAAGUUUCACAAUUUCUUGGUGUGGAUUGUAUCACAAACCAUCACAACUUAGAAAGCUUAAAAGCAGUUAGAAGCCUAUCUACAUGUUAUUGGUGAAAGAUUGGAAUCAAAUGCUCUAAAUGCCCUUUAAGUGGCCAUGAGGUUUUACAUAUUCACAUACUAUAGAAUAUUUCAUGGAUGAGCUUGCUUGAAGUCAUCAAUGGAUUCCUUCUAUGAGAUGAGAUAAGAAGAGCUCAAUUUGAUGGUAUCCAACAUAGGACAGGUGGACAUCAUUGUGAUUUGUCCUAUCUUUUAAGUAAAUAUCUGCAUAUGCAAACCAUAGAACAUAUAUGGAUACUUAUUCACAAUGUACAGUAUGUAAAGAGAGUUUAUCCCUCUUUACCUUUUAGCAAUGUAACACUAUGUGGACCUGAUCAAAGAGAUUAUUGUUCCACCCAUAUUGCACAAAAAAAAUCAAUAUUUUUCUAAAAUAGUUAUGGCUUAUUAAUCUCCUAUACCCUUCAAAAUUAUCUUAUGUAGCACUUUAAUGCUAAUGUGCUUUCCCUAGUAAACAAAAGCUUGAAGGAUCUGAUCACACAUCUCAAUGGUGGUUGGAGUCAAAGGCUUGUCAAGAAAGGGAUUGAAAUAGACCUAGUAAAAGUUAAGUCAUAUUGGUCAAUAAAAAAAAAAAUCAAAGAAUUGAGAGAUUUCAUUGAACAGUUGCAAUUUAUAUGAUGGUUCAGAUUUAAAUAUUUCAAUCGGUAUGAACUUUUCUAUGAGCUCUUGAAAGGAGGUUGGUUUUAGAUGAGGGUGGGGAGAGGUGAUGUCAAUAUACAUUUUUAUAUUUAAAGGUAGAAGAAGAAAUUUUCCACUUUCCUAAAUUCUCUCCUUUGGCUCUAUUAUGACUCCCUCUAAACCCUUCAUCCUCUAACAUCUCAUUUGGCUGCACCAACUUCCACUUGCUUUUAUUCUCCCUUUAAACUCUCGACACCCCAAUAUCUCACAUAAUUGUCUCUUAAAAUCGAUAUCACCUCAAUUGCUUUUAUUACAUCCAGGCACGAGUUCUAUCAAGUGGUGAAACAGAUGGAACAUACAGCAAAGUGAGGAUUCAGAGGUUUAAGAGUAGUUGUUUAGCCCUAGUCAAGAAAUGUUUUUAAAAACAAUGUUUGAGAAUAGUUCUUAAAAAAUCUGUUUAAUUAUUUUCAAAAAUAAAAUUUUAUUUGAAAAACAAAAAUUCUCAAAAACAUUUUUAUAUUUUCAAUUAUUUCUCAUAAUACUUCACAAAAAAAUAUAGAAAAGUAGCUCAAUUUUUUACUUUUUUUUUUUAAAUAACAUGUUUUUAGAAAAAAUUUAAAAAAAAACUGUUUGGUAAAACAGUUAUCAACCAUAUUUUUUUAAAAUUAAAACACAAUUUUAUUUUUUCUUUUUUUAAAUGAACAAUUCUGAAACAGGCCUAACAUUUUUAUUUUUAUUUUUAUUUUUUUGUCUAUUUUUUAAUUUGACACUAGAAACAUCGAUUGUGUGAGGGUUUCUUUCUUCAAAUUGGAUUCGUAUUUUUCUUCAUAGCUUGACAAUGAUGAAUGGUGUCUUUGACACACUUCCUUCUUAACAAUGACAAAUUCCUUCUCCCCACUUCUAGCUAAUCAGAGAGACUAGAGGAAAAACAGUUUGCUUCAGGGAAACCUUACUCAUCCUAAUGCUACUAAAGUCAUCCAAAAGAAAGUGUAGCGUAUGAUCAGCUGGCAGAUUUGUUCCUUACUCGAAGUCUAAUAUGAUCAUCCUUAGCCCUCAACGGAUUCGGAUUUGAAUGGAUUACGUUUUUCUACUUCUGAGAGUGUUCUAAUUUAGAUAGUUUUGUGUCAUCAUGGAAGCCUUUUUCUUGUAGAUUAAUGGUGCAAUAGAAGUAUUAUGUGUGGUAGUGAGGGAAGUAAUUCUUUUAACUAACCCGUUUUCUAUGCUAACAAAUAGUAUGGCAUUCUCCUUUCAACUUCAAGAGAUGAGAGUUUUUGGUCCUCUUUUUGCUAUGCAUUUUCUGUCUCUGGUUGUUUAAUUCCAAAGCAAACAAGAACAAAGGCAAAAGGCCACCAGACCUGUCUGGAGCAUCACCUUUAAUAUUUAAUUGGUCACCUUCAUCUCUUAGGAGCAGAUAAGUCGUUACAUCAGACAUUUGGAGCCAUAAAUGAUAAAUAUGAAUCGUUUGUGUUUGUCUAAGCUUUAAGUCAUGACUCACCAUAAGCUAUGUCCAAUGUGCAUAUAAUCAUAUACAUUAAUGCACUUAUCAUGAGAAACCCACCCCGAUGACUAAGAACAAUUGUCUUUAACUAGAAAAUAGUGUACUAUAGCCUUCAAUAGAUUGCCUAAGUUCAUAAUUAAACCAAUUAUAAAUAAGUCAUCUACUUGUAAGAAACUCAUAACUUAGAUCUUCUAUAUAAAUACAUUCAAUUCAUAUACAAUGUUAGAUAUUCUAGACAAUAAUGCUUAUAAAAUAUAAUAUAUGGAGUAAGGAUAGAUAAAAGUGAAAUUAGAAUAUCAUUAAAUAAAUUAUGAAUUUCAAAUUUGUUAUAUCAUAUCAUACUUUUAAGGGUUUUAUCCUAACAUCACUUGUCUUAUUGAUAAGUUCAUUAUGAUAGUAAGGUUCUUGGAUUAAUACUUCGUUUAUCACAUGUUGAUUGUUGAAAUAAUAACGUCUAUUGACAAAGCACAAUCUUCCUGCUCAUGAAGGCAACAUGCCAUGCAUGUGACGUUGAUUGUACAGUCUUAUAUUUGGCAGGAUUGAGACAACAGUGAUCACGCCUACAUGGGCCCUUUCUCUUCUGUUGAACAAAAGCUGGCAGGAUUGAGACAACAGUGAUCACGCCUACAUGGGCCCUUUCUCUUAUGUUGAACAAAAGCUGCGUGCUGAAAAAAUAAACACAAGAUGAGUUGGACGUCCAAUUGGGAAAGCAUCGCCUAGUGGAGGAAUCAGCUAUGAAGACAACUUAAUCUACCUACAAGCCAUUGUCAAGUGGAAACAUUACGAGUAUAGCCUGCAAGCUAUUGUCUACUCCAAAUGUUUGGUAGUGUUUAUAGAACCUAAGGAGGUAUGAUCUUCUUAGCUUUUCUGUCAUUAAGCAGAAUGGAAAGUAAGAAAAAAUGUGUGGCACAAACUUCCCCAAUUAGCUCAGGCAGGUUCCCAAUUUUUGGACUUGGAGAACGUGGGAAGCAAAUCUGCUCACCCUCAUUGAUUUGUUUUGUAGGUGGUCUCCUUGCUUAAAUUGAAUUUUGAAUUUCUUAAAUCAUAUCUUAUCUGAUCUGGAAAGUAUUUUAAAUUAUUGAGGUUGUAGUUUAUUUUAUUAUCUACAGAUUAAAAAGAAAGAAAAUUCUCCUCUAACUCCAACCUCCUCUCUAUCUUUUCUACAAGCUAGUUUCUCUACAAUAUAGUGAGUUACACAGGUUCUUUGCCUAACAACUCAAGAUCCCUUAAGCCGAGACAAACUAAAACAUCAAAAGCCCAAGAAACCGGAUAAUAUUAUAACCAUAUAUAAUUUUUCAAAAUAAUUUUCAUUACAUUCUAAUUAAAAAAACUAUCAAGAUAAUCAAUUGGUGAAUGAGACGGCAAAGUGGGAAUUGGAUUGUUUUGAUGCAUGCACUUGAUGGUUAAACAGAAGUUGUUUAGUUAGAAUUUUAUUUUUUUCCUUAAAAUUUGACACAAUAAAUUUUGUAUCUUUGGCUGCCAGUUCCUUCUCCAAAUUGGAGACAUAGUUUGCACAUUGCAUUCAUAGCUAGAUGCUACACUCAUACUCCCUGCAAUUGCCUUACCAAUAGCUUGACUUUGGCUUAUGAUUAGGAAGAAGAUGUGGAUUUUUCGGAAGUGGACAAUCUCUUGACUUUUUCGGCUGAUAACUAUAGGUUUUUGUUUUUAGUCUCCUAAUUUUGAAUGAUUGAAUCCACAGGGGGCUCCACCUCCACCUUUAAAGCACACUUCUCUAAAAUAUGUGUACUAUGUGGUUCUCUAAAAUAUCUAUGUACCAUGUGCUGUGUGGUGUGUAAUUAAAGAGAAGUAAAACUUGAUACCAAAAUCAACACACCACUUGAUUUUCAAUGAACAAAUCGUGUUAUAUAGGACUUGGAAGGAGCUUCAUAUUAUUUAUUAUCAUCUAGAGCUGUCUACACUAAAUUAGGAUGGCACAUGUGUAGAGCAUGAAUUCCUACUUGUGAGUGUUCUAGCGCAUGUAGUUUUGAACCAUUUUCGAAGCCUUUUCCCAUUUAUGGUACCUGAGAAAGGUGAUUCUUUCCACGAACCCAUUUGCUCUGGUACUAACUAGUCAUUAUUGACGUGAGUUGUUGAAGGAGCAAUUAUAGAAAUAAAAAUAUUCUAGUUACCAAGUUAGUUUUAUUUGAUUGCAAAUCAUCCAAGAUUGUAGCCUAGAUUAGUAUGAUUAGUUUCUUCCAAAUUAACUUCAUGUACAGGUUAUAUAUAGCCCUCAUCUGUUGUAUCUUUUGCAUAUAGAAGAAUACCAUUUUUCUUCUCCUCAACAUGGUAUCAAAGUAGAGAUUCUAAGGCCGGCCUUAGAAUUUCUGAAGAAAAAAAAAACAGAAAGAGGAAAAUGGAAACACCUCCCACUGGGGUGGAAAAACACGAAGGGGAGAAUUCAAUUCUCGCAGAUCUUACGACAAGAAUGACUCAAGUACUAAACCACAAUCAAACUCAGAACCAAGUCACAAGUCAUGAACCUGCUACACACAUUGGAAUCAAGUUAGAUGGUACCAAUUAUGCAUUAUGGUCCCAAAUUGUCGAGAUGUAUAUCUCAGGUAAAGACAAGUUGGGAUACAUAAAUGGAGAUCUUCCAUAGCCUCUGCAAACAGAUCCUUCAUUCAAAAAAUGGAUAACCGAAAACGCAGUGGUGAAGGGAUGGCUAAUCAAUUCUAUGGAUCCAAUGUUAGUCAAUAACUUUAUUAGAUUCUCAAUGGCUAAGGCUGUUUGGGAUAAUAUUGCUAUUACGUACUUUGAUGGCACUGAUACAUCAUAAGUAUAUGAUCUCAAAAAAAGAGUAACCAGACUCAAACAAGGAGGAGGAUCUAUCGAGACAUACUACAACAAUUUGCAAGGCUUGUAGAGAGAAAUUGACUUUCGUCGACCAAAUCCUACGAAAUGUGAUAUUGAUAUAUAAAAAUAUAACUCUGUUUUGUAGGAGGAUAGAGUCUACACCUUUUUAGACGGAAUUGAUGAUCAGCUUGACAAGAUCCGAGCAGAUGUGCUGCAGAUACAACCAUUUCCAAUAGUGGAACAAGCUUAUGCACAAGUUCGAAGAGAGGAUUUGAGGCAAUCCGUAAUGAUGAUGAAUGAAGAUACCAUAUCUGGUGGUGUUAUGCUUUCAAGAGGAGGACAGAAACCUCAACACCAUUUAUCUUUUCAAACGCCAUCAAAUGGAAAGCCUAACACAGCCACAAAACCAAAGUCACAAGGAGAAGGAGGAGGCUGCACAGAUUAUGGGAAUACAAAACACACCAAAGAAACAUGUUUCAAACUACAUGGUUAUCCAAAUUGGUGGCAUGAACUCAAGGCAAAGAAAAAACGUGAAGCAAGUGGAGGCGACAAUCCUGGUCAUGUAGCUCUUAUGAGCCUAGAGCCUCAACUAUCUCUUGUACCACAACAAGAAUCUUCUAUCUCCACUAGUGAACAGAUUGCUCAGAAUGACUCAGGUAACCAAGGUUAUGUUUUUUCUUGCUCGAAAACGGGGAACCAUGAUGGCUGGAUCAUUGACUCUGGGGCAACAGACCACAUGACCUUUGACCCUUGUGACUUCUCUAAAGCCACCCAACCGAAACGAAUAUGCAUUGCCAAUGCUAAUGGAAUAACAUAUCCCAUAACAAGGGCUAGAACAGUGGCUCUUUCUCCUUCUUUUUCAUUACCAAAUACCUUAUUAGUUCCAUCACUUUCCAAUAAAUUGUUAUCUAUUGGACAAGUGACUGAGGAAUUGAAUUAUUGUGCUCUAAUGUAUCCUAACUUCUAUUUGUUUUAGGAUAUUCUCACCAAGGAGAUUAUUGGUCGUGGCACUAAAAGGGAAGGGUUGUAUUACAUGGAUGAUUUCAGUUAUGGUCGAGCAAAUAAUAUGCAUUCUGCUGGAAUUAAGGAAAGACAGAUUUGAUUAUGGCACAAUCGGUUGGGGCAUCCCUCAUUUCAGUAUUUGAGAUGUUUAUUUCCAGAUUUAUUUAUGAAGUUUAAUGAGUCAGAUUUUAAGUGUGAAGCUUGUAUUCAAGCUAAGAGUCAUCGGGUACCUUAUUCAAUCAGUUUGAAUAAAUGUGACACUCCUUUUUUUAUUGUUCAUUCUGACGUUUGGGGCCCUGCUCCUAUUACUAUUUAUUAUGGUGUUUGUUGGUUUGUAACCUUUGUCGAUGAUUAUACACAAAUGACUUAGCUUUAUGUGUUGAAGAAUAAACAUGAAGUGUUUGAAAUAUUUCGAUCAUUUCAUAAUAUGAUUCAAACACAAUUUUCUGCUAAACUUCAAAUUCUUCGAUCUGAUAAUGACGGGGAAUAUGAUAAUGCACAAUUUCACAGAUAUUUUCAGGAACAUGGUUUGCAUCAUAAGGCAUCUUAUUCUCAAACACUGCAAUAGAACGGUGUUGCAAAGCGUAAGAAUAGACACAUUUUCGAAAUCACUCGAGCUCUCUUGACUGUUGCUUAUGUCCCUAAAUGAUUUUGGCCAGAUGCAGUAAUGACUGCUGUAUACUUAAUGAACCGACUGUCAUCACGAGUUUUGCACUACAAAACCCCUCUUCAAGUUCUCGCACAACAUGUGACAUUACCAUCAGUUUUAAUGCUUCCUCCAAGAAAGUUUGGUUGUGUUACAUAUGUUCAUAUACACAAGAAUCAACGGACAAAACUUGAUCCAUGUGAUGUCCGUUGUGUUUUUCUUGGCUAUGCAGCUCACAAGAAAGGAUAUCGAUGUUACGAUCCAGUUACAAGGCGACUCUAUACCACCAUGGAUGUCACCUUUAUUGAAUCAGAGAAUUUCUUCACUUCUCAAUCUUCCCGCUCCUCUCUUCAGGGGGAAAUGAUGAGUGAAGAGCAAAAUUGGGAAAAUUGGCCAGGCUUUGAAGAAACUUCAAAUGAUGUAGGGGAGGUUCAGCCAAGAGAACCAAUGGUAACACUGAUAGAUCAAAGAGAAGAAGAUGAAAAUGUUGAGCAUGUCGAAGCAAAAAAACCAGCAAGAGUAGAUCAAAAUGGAGAAGUUACGGAAAUUGAAAGUGAGCAACUCUUUCAUGACCUGACAGUACCACAAUCAGACCAAUCUCCUGAGAAUAUUCAUGAGGUACAAGUUCUAAACUCUCCUCACAAUAUUUCUGUUGGCUAUUAACUACCUUUCAGGUAUAACCGCGGGCAACCACCAAACCGCUAUUCACACGAUCAUGGAACGAGCAAGUCAAAGUACCCAAUUGCCAACCAUAUCUCAACUCAAAAAUUGUUUGAACCUCUCAAGGCAUUGGUUCAUAAAUUAUUUGUAGAUGGUGAUCUUGAUACAGUGAGUGAAGCCAUGAAUAAUCCCAAAUGGAUCCAAGCGAUAGAGGAAGAGAUGAAAGAAAUACAGAAAAUGAUACUUGGGUGCUUGUGCCAUUGCCUGAGGGGAAGAAAACUGUGGGAUGUCGAUGGGUGUUCUCUGUCAAACACAAAGCAGAUGGAUCGGUUGAAAGAUAUAAAGCAAGGCUUGUUGCGAAGGGAUAUACUCAGACAUAUGGGGUAGAUUAUCAAGAAACUUUCUCACUUAUAGAAAAAUUAAAUACUGUGAGAGUACUAAUCUCUCUUGCUACAAACUUGGACUGGCUGUUGCACCAAUUCGACGUCAAAAAUUCCUUUCUCCAUGGGGAUCUUGAAGAGGAGGUGUACUUGGACAUUCCACCUAGUUUUGUUUCUUCGACACAAGAGAAGAUAGUUUGUAAGUUACAAAAGGCAUUAUACGGAUUGAAACAGUCUCCUAGAGCAUGGUUUGGACGAUUUCGCCUUGUCAUGAGAAAACACGGUUUCAAGCAAAGUAAUUCAGAUCAUACUCUCUUCUUAAAGCACCAACGGGGGAAGGUAACAGCUCUAAUAAUCUAUGUUGAUGAUAUGAUAACUACAGGAAAUGACAAGGAAGAAAUCUCUAAAUUACAAGAGCAUUUAGCAACUGAAUUUGAGAUGAAAAAUCUUUGAGGGUUGAAGUAUUUUUUGGGGAUUGAAGUAGCUCGAUCAAAAUGAGGCAUAUUUCUAUCCCAAAUGAAGUACGUGCUUGACUUGUUGUCUGAAAUAGAAAUGCUUGAUUGUAGACCUGCUGAUACACCAAUUGUUCAAAACCAUGGCUUGGGAGAAUUUCCUAACCAGACCCCUACCAAUAAAGAAAGGUAUCAACGCCUUGUGGGAAAGCUGGUAUACUUAUCUCACACACGACCUGAUAUUGCUUAUGCGAUGAGCUUGGUGAGUCAAUUCAUGCAUUGUCCUAGCGAAGAUCAUAUGAGUGAAGUGGUUCGUAUUUUACAGUACUUGAAGUCUUCUCCAGGAAGAAGACUGAUGUUCACGAGAAACCAACAUCUGCACAUUGACGGCUAUAUAGACGUAGACUGGGCAGGGAACAUUACUGACAGAAAAUCUACAUUAGGCUACUUCACAUUUGUGGGAGGCAAUCUGGUCACUUGGAGGAGUAAAAAACAGAAGGUAGUUGCUUUAUCUAGUGCAGAGGCUAAAUUUAGAGGCAUGGCUAAAGGAUUGUGUGAGCUACUUUGGUUAAAAAAAUUAUUAGAGGAAAUUGAUUGUUCAUCUCAUGAAACAAUGAACCUGUUUUGUGAUAAUAAGGCAUCCAUAGCAAUCGCGCACAACCCAGUUCAACAUAACCGCACCAAACAUGUUGAAGUGGAUCAGCAUUUCAUCAAGCAGAAGCUCAAAGACAAGGUCAUUCAGUUUCCUUUUGUGAAGUCAGAAGAUCAACUAGCAGAUAUUCUUACAAAGGCUGCCUCUAGCAAAAUAUUUCACAACUCACUUGACAAAUUGGGCAUUGAUGAUAUCUAUGCACCAACUUGAGGGGGAGUAUUCAAGUGAGUUGUUGAAGGAGCAAUUAUAGAAAUAAAAAUAUUCUAGUUACCAAGUUAGUUUUAUUUGAUUGUAAAUCAUCCAAGAUUGUAGCCUAGAUUAGUGUGAUUAGUUUCUUCCAAAUUAACUUCAUGUACAGGUUAUAUAUAGCCCUCAUCUAUUGUAUCUUUUACAUAUAGAAGAAUACCAUUUUUCUUCUCCUCAACAAUCAUAGGAUUCUCCCUUCAGCCACAAGAUAUCAUAGUUUUUGGGCUUCUUCUUGCUACAAUAUGUUUGUUGUUGGCAACGGUAUUUAAUGCCAAAUGGAACAAGAAGAAAGGCAAAAGGCCACAGGAGCCGUCCGAGCGAUGGCCUAUUAUCGGUCACCUUCAUCUUCUAAGAGCAGACAAGCUGCUAUAUCGGACACUUGGAGACAUGGCCGAUAAGUAUGGACCAAUCUUUUGCAUUCAUCUUGGCCUUCGUAAAGCUUUGGUGGUUAGUAACUGGGAAGUAGCAAAGGAAUGCUACACUACCAAUGACAAGGUAUUCGCCACUCGACCAAGAUCCUUAGCAGUAAAGCUCAUGGGCUAUGAUCAUGCCAUGUUUGGAUUUGCUCCCUAUGGACCAUACUGGCGUGAUGUGCAGAAGCUAGCCAUGGUUGAGCUCCUCUCAAACUGCCAGCUUGAGAUGCUCAAACAUGUCCAGGACUCAAAGGUUGAGUUCUUAAUAAAAGAGAUCUAUGGGAUGGGCACGAAACAAGGAAAGCCCCACUUUGGUGGAGAUGAAGGAAAGAUUUGGGAACUUGGUAAUGAAUGUAAUGGUGAGCGCAACUGCAGGGAAACGGUAUUUUGGGACCCAUGCCUGUGGUGAUGAGCCAAAACGGGGCAAAAAGGCCUUGGACGAUUUUAUGCUUCUAGUGGGGCUGUUCAUGGUCUUGGAUGCCAUCCCUUUUCUCGGCUGGUUGGACACGGUGAAAGGGUAUACCACUGAUAUGAAGAAAAUAGCUAAGAAGGUGGAUUAUUUGCUUAGAAGGUGGGUGGAGGAGCAUCGCCAACAAAGGCUUUCCGCAAAGAAUAACAGAGUUGAGGUAGACUUCCUCCAUGUCAUGCUUUCUGUCAUAGAUGAUGGCCAAUUCUCUGGUCGUGAUCCUGAUACCGUCAUUAAGGCCACUUGCUUGGUAUGUCCCUGCUACUUCCAUAACUUGACCAUGAAAUGAAAAGAGAAAAAAAAUUAAAAAACACCAUCUACUAUCAUAAUUUCUGCAACUUUUUCUGCCCAAUUUCCUAAACCCUCGUAUUUCUACAAGGAUUCAUCAAAUCCAGUAUAGCUUUAUCAUCUGUAUUUAUAAUGACAAACCAGGCGGGGUGAUCAAAUUUCACUUGGAUUCUUAUUCACGGUUUGUUUUAUCAUUCUGAUAAACAUGGUAUUUCACUACUGAUAAGUAAACUUUUUCUGAUCACAUAUUGAAGAUAACACCAUAUGUUGAUUGUAGAACCUUAUAUUAGCUAGCUAUGACACAACCGCUAUCACUCUUACAUGGGCCCUCUCUCUUCUACUGAACAACCGCCACGCGCUAAAAAAAUCACAAGCAGGGAUGGAAAUCCAUGUGGGUAAGCAUCGCCAAGUGGAUGGAUCAGAUAUAAAGAACCUAGUCUACCUACAAGCCAUCGUCAAGGAAACAUUACGAUUGUACCCUCCUGGGCCACUUUCCGUGCCGCAUGAGGCCAUAGAAGAUUGCACUGUGGCAGGCUUUCACAUCCAAGCUGGGACGCGCCUUUUGGUUAAUCUUUGGAAGUUGCAUCGUGACCCCAGAGUCUAGUUGGACCCUUUGGAGUUCCAACCAGAGAGGUUCCUGACAAAGCAUGCAGGUUUGGAUGUUAGGGGUAAAAAUUAUGAAUUGACCCUUUGGUUCAGGUAGAAGGGUAUGCCUAAGAAUCUCAUUUGCACUGGAGAUGACGCAUCUGACACUAGCCAGACUGCUUCAUGGUUUUGAAUUGGGAGUAGUUGCAGAUUCACCAGUGGAUAUGACUGAAGGUCCUGGGUUGACUGCCCCCAAAGCAACCCCGCUGGAGGUCACCAUUGUUUCAAGGCUACCUUUCGAGCUCUAUAGUUAUGAAGCAUCAUAGAAACUAAAUAAUACUCUAUGAGCCAGAGAGUCCCCUAAUUAGCCCAAUGCUUUAGGGUAUAUUUAUGUUGUGUAACUCACUUUGAAUGGCCUGUGUAGUGGGUGUUCUUCUUUCUUGUCUUCUCGUCUCAAAUUUCAUCCACUUGGAUAGUAAUAAAUUUCCAUCUAUGAGUAAUUCUUUUUGUGUUACUUAAAAUAUAGACCACAACUGCACCAGCAACAAAAGGUUGUUGCAACAACAGAACUCAACAAAACCAAGAUCACUCAAGAAUUGUGCAAGUAGUUAGCAAUAUGGUAGUGUAGUUUGAACUGUGCAAAUAGUUAGGAAUCUGAUUGUGUAGUUUGUUAUAGCUGAAACUAUAAGUAGCAUAGUAGAGAACCUCUCCUGAACAUGUAAUUCUUCAUCUCAAUAUACAGAAACUAAAUUUGCAUUCUCCUGAUACAAACUUACAUGGUAUCAGAGCCACCCCUCUUCAUAUUUCCCUUAGUCUUCUCGGAUACAAGCUAAAGCUGCAAAUUCGUCCUCAACCAUAGCUCAAUCAAUGCAGAUGUUGAAUCAGGCACUGCCCAUUAAACUUGAUAAAGAUAAACUACCUGCAUUGGAAAACACAAUUGGAGAAUGUGAUCUUGGCAAACGGCUUUGAAAACCACAUUGAAGGUUUGACAGUCUAUCUUUCAAAAACAACAAGCAAUGGUGAAACGAAUCCAAAGUUUAUUCUUUGGCGAAGAUUUGACCAAAUGAUCCUCAGUUGGAUCUACUCCUCACUUACUCCAGAAAUUAUGGGUCAAAUAAAAGUGUAUCAAACCUCCCAUGAUGCAUGGUCCGCUUUGGAAAAGAUCUUCUCGACUUCAUCCAAAGCUUGGGUGAUGCAAUUACAACUAGAAUUGCAAACCACGAAGAAAUGAUCUCUCUCAAUGAUGGAUUACAUUCUCAAGUUGAAGAAUCUGACUGACCACUUAGCUGCCAUUGGAGAACUGGUACACAACAGAGAUCAUAUUCUGAAACUGCUUGGAGGGCUUGGUGUAGAAUACAAUUCCAUUGUGGCGUCUCUUAUAGCAAGAGAAGAUGAAGUUUCACUGCAUACGGUGCACAAUAUUCUGUUAACCUAUGAACAGUGCCUGAAUCUUUAGAAGUCAACAGAAAACAAUGUAAUCUCUACAAAUCUCACUACCACAUCGUCAAAUCACCACAACAACAGAAGGAAUUCCAAUUGAAAUUCCUCAAGAAACAAUAGCAGAAUAGUCAACUCUGAACGCAACUCUCAUGGCAAUAGAAACUUGGUCUCUCAUAAUCGCCCACAAUGUAAACUUUGUAAAAAGUCUGGACAUACUAUGGUCCAAUGUUAUUAUCGUUUCGAAUAAACUUCCAAGGGGUAAAUACCCACUCUGAAUCUAAGCCCCAUUCAACUAACAGAAAUCGAGAUUAAGCCCAUGUCAUGAUUGCAUCUUCUAUUAACAUAAAGAGUAAGGAAUGGUUCUUUGACACUCGCGCCACCCAUCAUCUUUCUCAAACUACCACCUCUCUGGACAAUAUACAAUCAUAUAAUGGCAAUGACAAGGUGACAAUCGGGAAUGGUACACAAUUUCCCAUUCUUCAUACGGGUACUAAAAUUUUUCAGUUUCCUUUUAAAGUGUUUCAAUUAAAAAGAGUUCUUCAUGCUCCUCAUCUUGCAACCAAUCUUGUUAGUGUCGCUCAUUUCUGUGCUGACAACAAUACAUUUGUUGAGUUUCAUCCUCGGUUCUUUCUUGUCAAAGAACAGGUUACCAAGAAAGUUCUUCUCAAAGGUCAUCUCGAACGAGGAUUGUAUAAAUUUCCUACCAAUUUUAGCUCCACUGCAGGCUUGUUCUCUAGCCUCAGCAACUUUUCAUCUUUAAAUUCCACGAUUGAGCUUUAGCAUUCUCAACUUGGUCAUCCUGCUGAAGAUAUAAUGAAACAUGUUCUGAACAACUGUAAUAUUUCUUAUCAAUGUAAUAAACACCAAAUCUAUUAUGUCUAUCAAUAUGCCAAAAGUCACAAGUUGCCAUUUUCGUUGUCCAUGUCAAGAGCAUCUCAUCCUUUAGCACUUGUUCAUGCUAAUUUUUGGUUGUAGUUUCACCCUUAAAACAGAGAUUGGCUAUAAAAAAGAAAAAAUGGAAGAGUAACACCUAGGAAUAGAGGAGUUAAAAACAGUCCACCAAAAACAGAGGACCUUUUUUCUUUUCUUCACUUUGUAUUCUCAGUUAUGUUGUUUUUGUUGUACAGUAUGUAGUUUUGAAACCAAAUGCAAAGAGAUUUAACUUGAGUAAACCUCUCCACAUGGAAGCAUGACAACCACUCAAAACAUAAAAACAAAAAACUUAUUUUUUACAUAUAUAACCUAAACACAGCAUAGGCACAUUAUGUUACAUUCUCCCCCCUAAUGUGAUGUUCCUCCAUACCAAAAAGCUUUCGGAAGUGAACCCAAAAGUUUCUCAACAAUUCUUUUAUCACUAAUUUCUUCGCCAUAUGACUUCAUCUGAUUUACUAAUCUAAAAGAAAACUCAUUUAGAAUUUCAUUCUCCUUCAUUUUCAUAUUUUCCAACUCUCUUCUUAAAGCUUGAAGCUUAAUUUUUACAUAAAAAACAAAAAACUUAAUUUUUACAUAUAUAUAUAUAACCUAAACACAGCAUAGGCACAUUAUGUUACACUAAUAUCUAGGCUCCUGCACCCACUUUGUCUACUUCCGAUGCAUGAUUUUUUCUGCUACUCAUAGAUGAGUUCUCAAGAUUUUCUUGGCUUUAUCCACUGCACACCAAAGAUUAAGUACUUACAAUGUUUAUAAAAUUUCUCACUUUAGUGGAAAAACAACUUAACUUCAAAAUUAAGAGCCUACAAUCAAAUAACGAUGGUGAAUUCAAAGAAUUUUCUUCCUAUCUUGCUGCUCAUAGCAUUGAACACAAGUUCUCCUACCCAUACACACCUGAACAGAAUGGGAGAGUCAAGCAGAAAUUGAGACAUGUUAUAGAAACUAGUCUUGCUUUUCUAGCCAAAGCCUCCUUACCUCUCUCUUUCUGGUUGUAUGUUUUUCAUACUGCCAUAUUCCUCAUCAACUAUCUACCUACCAAGGUACUUAAAUAUCAAUCUCCAUUUCAAACUCUUUUUGGGAAAAUUCCUAAUUAUCAUUAUCUCAAGACAUUCGGUUGUCUUUGCUACCCAUACAUUAGACCAUACAACAAGCAAAAACUGCAAUAUUGUUCUACUCCAUGCAUCUUUCUUGGCUAUAGAAACAAUCACAAAGGAUACUUAUAUUUUGAUCCAAAAACUACCAGACUUUAAAUAACUAGACAUGUUAUUUCUCAUGAAUCAAUCUUUCCAGCUCUAUCACCUUCAACUUCUUCUAAUCCUAGUUCUUCCAUUUACACUCAUGCAUUUCUUCCCAUAAACAUGUCCUAUUCUCUUGCUUUAUCUUCUCCUGACGUUCCACAGCAUAAUCCCACACCUUUGUCUUCACCACUUCACUCAUCUUCUGACCACACCCUUCAAACUAUACUUAACAAUGCUCCUCAGCAUCCUCCUAUUAUGAAUAAUUAUCAUAUGAUAACGCGUGCCAAGGAUGGCAUUGUAAAAAAGAAAGCUUUUUUGUCUCACAUGCCCACUAAACCAGCAACAUUUUCUCAAGCUAUCAAAAGUUUCUACUAGUCCAAGGCUAUGUAACAAGAGUAUGAUAUUCUACUCAAAAACAAAACAUGGAAUCUAGUUCCUGGUCCUUCAAAUGCCAAUAUUAUCGACUGCAAAUGUUUGGUCAAAAUUUAUCCAAACAUGAUGGAGAUCUUUCCAUGAUGUCACACUAUAUUGGCACAGUUGGUGCUCUUCAAUACCUCACAUUCACGAGACCUAAUAUUUCAUUUGUUGUCAACAUAUCAUGCCAGUUUAUGAGUAGUCCCUCCAACACACAUUGGCUUGUUGUAAAGCGCAUCUUACGUUAUCUUAAAGGCACUACAUCUUAUGGUCUUUCCAUGCAACUGUCUCUCUUUGGACAUUUAAGCAUACACUGAUGCAGAUUGGGCUUUUUGUACAAAUGACAAAAGAAGCACCAGUGGCUAUUGUAUUUUCACUAGGCCAAAAUUGGCAGCAAGUAGAAAGUUGUUUCAAGAAGUAGUGUGGAAUCUGAGUAUCAUGGCAUAACUGUUGUCACUUCCAAAAUUGCUUGGAUUCAAUCUCUACUCACCGAGUUAUGUCUUUCUCCUUCAGCACCACCACUUCUGUGGUGUGACAACCAAAGUGUUGCACAUCUUGCUGCCAAUCCCAUAUUUCAUGCUCAAGCAAAGCAAAUUGAACUCGACCUUCAUUUUAUUCGUAAUAAAGUCCUUCAAAACCAACUUAGUAUUCGGUAUCUUCUCUCUUUCAACCAAAUCAUUGAUAUCUUCACUAAACAUAUCUCAAGCUCUCGGUUUUUUUAGCUUUCAAACCAAACUCUUUAUUGUUCUCAAACCUUUGUUCCCAAACCUGCGAGCUUGUGGGGGGAUGAUAGGCCACAACUGCACCAGCAACAAAAGGCUGUUGCAACAACAGAACCAAGAUCACUCAAGAACUAUGCAAGUAGUUAGGAAUUUGGUAGUGUAGUUUGAAUUGUGAAAAUAGUUAGGAAUUUGGCAGUGUAGUUUGUUACAACUGAAACUAUAAAUAGUAGAGAAGAGAACCUCUCCUGAACAUGUAAUUCUUCCAAUCAAUAUACAUAAACUAAAUUUGCAUUCUCCUUAUACAAACUUAUACUCCUUUCUCAUCUUCUCAUCUCAAAUUUCAUCCACUUGGAUGGUAUAUCUAUGAGUAAUUCUUUUUGUGUUACUUAAAAUAUCUUAAGUUUGUUUUUUAUAAAAACAAAAACAGGUUUGACACUAAAAAAAAAAAUAGAAAAUGGUUUUAAAAUAUCUACCUCUUUCAACUAUUCUCACUUAUUUUAAAAAAUAAAUAUAAAAAUAUGUAAAAUGAUAAUAAAUAAAUAAAUAAAGUACUGACAUAAAAUUUAUUUUUAAAAAUAUAUAUAUAUUUAAAAACAUAAAAAAUAAAUUAAUAAUAUUUCAAAUUCUAAAAUAGAAUUUUAUUCACAAAACAUCAAAGAACAAUUAUUAGAAACAAUUCUCAAAUAUCAUUUUCAUAAUUGUUUUUUAAAACACUUCCCAUUUCUCUAUAGUUUUUUUUUUAGAGAAUUAUUUAUUAAGAGUCAUCUUGCCAGUGAUCCUAACAAGUGUUUUUAGUUCAAAAAAAGUUUUUGAUGACAGAAUUUAGGAAAUACUUUUCAAAUUUUGAAAAAUCAUUUUUUAGAUAAAUGCUUAAUAGAUGAUUUUACGAAAAAACAAUUUAUAAGAAAACACUGUCAAUAAAAAAAAUUGAGUAGAAACACUUUCAAAUACACUUAAAAUGUUUUUUUAAUAAGUAUUACAAGUGAUUUUUUAACUUUUUAAAACCAUUGUUUAAAUUUUAUCUAAUUUUUUUUUCUCAAAAAUAUUUUUGUACGUAAGCUAGAACUAGAAGUACUUCUAACUUCAAAGAAUCUUUACCCAGCCGUUAACGUUUUAGACACCGUGGUUACCAGGCCCUUCUCUCAUGCAAUUGCUUAUAUAAAAACAAACACUUUUGUUACUUGGUACUAAAGCGCAUUAGAACUUUAGACAAAACAGAAGAUUCCUUACUUUUAUUUAGGCAUCAAACCCACUCAUUCAAGCAUAUUUAAAUUUAAAUGCAGUCGUCCAUGUAUACACAAAAGACCCAUUACCAAGAAGGUGAUCAUCCUUUUUCAGGGUUGGUUGUUCAAAAUUCAAAAUCAGUUAGCUGAAGAACAGAAAGGAAAAGAACAGAGCUGAAUUUGCAGAAAAGUAUUUUUUUUCUUUUUCCUUUUCUAAGGAUCUUGGAAUCCUUCUCCUAGUAUAGACAGAACAUUAGACGUAUAUAUAUGGUAGUGGGAAGUGAUUCUUCCCCAUAAAACAUUUUCUUUUCUAUUGAGUCAUGGGAUUCUAUCUUCAGCUUCAAGGGAUCAUAGUUUUUAGCCUUCUGUUUGCUAUCAUCUGUUUGUGAUUGAUUAAGGGCAAAGGGAACAGAAACAGAGGAAAAAGGGCACCAGAACCAUCACGGGCAUGACCUUUAAUCGGACACCUUCAUCUUCUACGAGCAGGCAAGCCCCAACAUCAAGCAUUUGGAGCCAUGGCAGAUAAGUAUGGACCAAUCUUUUGCUUUCAUAUUGGCCUGCGCAAAACUUCGGUGGUUAGCAGCUGGGAAGUAGCAAAAGAAUAUCUCACUUGAUGUUAAAAAUUGGAUACAAUAGAGAAAAGAAACACUCUCAAACACUCUCUUGAUACAAUAAAACUCUCAAAGUUACAAAAUAAGAACAAGAAGAAGAAGAACACAAGAAAGGCUCAAACAAGUUCUUGGAAUUUUGUCCAAAGACUCUAUUUCCUCCCACCACUAGAAAUCUUUAGGGAACUAAUGGAAAUAGUCUUGGGAUUGAUCAAGCCUUUUCACUUUUCUGCAUAAGAUUUCAAAAAGAAGAAAAGUCAUAUAUAGCACUCUUAGGGUUGAAAAAUGGUUACAAGGAUGAGAAAAAACUCAUUGUCUUCCUCAAUCUCUUCAUCUUUGUAACAUUCAAAAAUUAAAUCAUAUGUUUAAUUCACACAUUAAACAUGAUUUAAUCUCAAAUGUGUAACUCUCUUACACUUAACCUCUUAAGUUUUAUAAAGUUACAAAGAUGAGAAGACUCAUUGUCUUCCUUAACCUUUCAAGUUUUGUAACAUUUCAAAACUUAAUCAUGUGUUUAAUUCACACAUUAAAAGUGUAACCCUUCUUACACUUUAUUUUCAAAAGUUAUUUUUCAAAAGUGUAACUCUUCUUACACUUUAUUUUUAACCAACAAUAUAUAUAUAUAUAUAUAUAUAACAAUCCCCCACUUGGUUAAAAAUAAACAUCAACCCUUAUAACCUCAACAAUGAAAAUGCAUAAAAUAAAAUAUCUUUCGAUUUGAAUUUUACCUUAGUGUAAUUGUCACAAAGCUCCGUUGAAAUCCCAGGUUGCUUGUAGCAUUAAACCAGUUAUUCCUUGUAACGAAACCGGUAACAACACACACACUUCCACUAACCACAUGAGUGCCCAUUAUUUUCUUGCUUAGCACUUUUAUGGCCAUGUGCUCAAUCCAUUCAUGAACUUUCUUGAAAGAAACUCCAACUCUCAUGAGAGGCGGCACCACCCCUAAGUUCACAUAGGUGAAAUUCUUCCAGCAUCCUUGUUACCUUUAAGAUGCUUGUCACACAUAGACUGAAUUUCAUUAAAAGCUUUAAGCUUAACCCUCCAACGGUAACAACCAGCAUUAAUCAUCACAGAUGGAACUCACAUGUUCUAAUGCUGCCACAACCCACUUAUCAAUGACUUGUUUUUACCUAUUGAACUUAAGACUAGUCAUUUCGUAGUAUUAAGUUAGGUUACCAUCAUUGGUGAAUUUUAUUUAAGGAGUUUUAGUCACAUCCCUCUAGAUGUUAUCCUUACUAAAUCUCUUGUAAGAGGCUUAGUAAAAGGAUCCGCCAAGUUUCCACUUGACCUCACAAAUGAGAUUGAGAUGAUUCCAUAUUGAAUCAAUUGUCUCACAUACUCAUGUCUAAUGCUUAUAUGUCUAGACUUCCCAUUGUACACUCCACUGUACGCACGAGCUAGAGUGGCUUGACUGUCACAAUGUAUCGACACUGUUGACACAUUAUUUGCAGUAAAAGGGAUGUCCAUCAUGAGAUCCCUAAGCCACUCAGCUUCUUUUCCAAUUGCAGCUAGAGCUAUAAACUCUGCCUCCAUGGUUGAGUGUGAUAUACAAGUCUGUUUCUUGGAUCCCCAAGAGACAACCCCACCACCAAGUGUAAACACCCAACCUGUGGUAGAUAAAUUAUCUCCCACACUCGAUAUCCAGCUUGCAUCUGAAUACCCUUCAAGUAUAGCAGGAAACUUUGAAUAUUGGAGGCUUAGUUCUUUGGUAUUCUUUAGGUAACCAAGAACUCUACCAAUAGCUUUCCAAUGUUCCACGCUUGGAUUGCUAAUAAACCUACUUAGUUUACUAACUGCAAAUGAAAUGUCAGCCCUAGUACACUGAGCAGCAUACAUAAGACUUCCAAUUGCACUUGCAUACUCAAGUUGAGCCACAGAUCUACCAUCAUUCUUUUCAAGUUUUAUACUUGAAUCAAAUGGAGUAUUAGCAUCUUUAAUCUUGAGAUGAUUAAAUUUGCUAACUACUUUCUCAAUAUAGUGGGUUUGGUUCAAAGCAUAACCCCCACUAUUUCUUUUCACUUUGAUACCCAAUAUAGUAUCAACUUCUCCAAGAUCUUUCAUCUUGAAGGUUGAGGAUAGAAACCUUUUCGUUUCUAUUAUUCCUUUCAUGUCAUCACUCAAGAUUAACAUGUCAUCCACAUAUAGACACACUAUGACCAUAUAGUCAUCACAAGUCUUAGAAUAUAAGCACUUGUCCACAUUGUUGUGUCUAAAUCCAUCCGAAAGAAUAGCAUGAUCAAAUUUUUCGUGCCAUUGUUUGAGAGUUUGUUUUAAACCAUAUAAUGAUUUGACAAGUUUACACACUUUGUUUUCAUUCCCCAGUGGAACAAAACCUUCCGGUUGUUCCAUGUAGACUUCCUCAUUGAGAUCCCCAUUCAAGAAUGCCGUUUUGACAUCCAUUUGAUGAACAAAUAGAUUAUGAAUUGAUGCCAAAACAAACAAUAUCCUAAUUGAUGUUGUUCUAGCCACCGGCAUAGGUAUCAAAAUAAUCAAUACCUUCUCUUUGUUUAAACCCCUUAGCUACUAAUCUAGCCUUAAAGGUUUGAAUCAUGCCAUCGUUGUGAUAUUUCCUUCGAAAUACCCACUUGCACCCUAUUGGUUUAGAUCCUGGUGGAAGGUCUACCAAUUCCCAUGUUUGGUUGGACAUAAUUGAAUCCAUUUCAUCAUUGAUAACCUCUUUCCAAAAAGCAACAUCUCUAGAAGCCAUAGUUUCUUUGUAUGUUUUGGGAUCCUCCUCUAUUUGAAGUACUAUAGGAAUUUUUCUUAUAAUAUCUUCUCUAUUUCCUUCUACUAAGUAAAAGGAAAUUCUUUGAGAGUCAAUCUCAUCUGAUCCCAACACUUUCUCUUUUCUAGCUCUUUGGCUUUUCCAAGGCACAAUGGGUUGCUCAACAACCUUUGAAGGUGUCUCCUCUAGAGACUCUCCAACACUAGUAGGUACUUGAGAAUUGCUAUCACUCAACAAAUUCUCAAAGAACUCUACCUCUCUUGAUUCAAUUAUCACAUUAGACUCCAAGUCUAAUAGCCUAUAAGCUUUGCUAUUUGAGGCAUAGCCUACAAAUGCACACUUAAUGGCUCUUGGACCCAAUUUUGUUUCAUGUGGAUCCGUUUUCUUGCAAUAAGCAAGACACCCCCACACUUUGAAGUAACCUAUAUUAGGCUUCCUUCCUUUCCAUAACUCAUAUGGAGAUAUCUCAUUUUUCUUCAUAGGAAUUCUAUUAAAAUAUGACCCCUACAUAUGAGCUCAUCCUCCUCUCUCUUCUUCCUUGCCGCCACCACUUGAGGUGUGUCAUUUUCCUUUGGUUCCGGUAACGGUGCCAAGGUAGGAUCAAGGAUGUAGAAAAUCUUGAGUGCUGUGAGAAGGAAUCUCACCUUGUCUUGCCACCUAGUGAAGUUGGAACCAUCAAAACGAUCCAACCUCACAAGGUCUUGGUUCAUAAUCUUGAUAAUCUCUCCUUCCAUUGAAAAAUAGAGUCUUUGAUUGAUGUUAAAAAUUGGAUACAAUGGAGAAAAGAAACACUCUCAAACACUCUCUUGAUACAAUAAAACUCUCAAAGUUACAAAAUAAGAACAAGAAGAAGAAGAACACAAGAAAGGCUCAAACAAGUUCUUGGAACUUUGUCCAAAGACUCUAUUUCCUCCCACCACUAGAAAUCUUUAGGGAACUAAUGGAAAUAGUCUUGGGAUUGAUCAAGCCUUUUCACUUUUCUACAUAAGAUUUCAAAAAGAAGAAAAGUCAUAUAUAGCACUCUUAGGGUUGAAAAAUGGUUACAAGGAUGAGAAAAAACUCAUUGUCUUUCUCAAUCUCUUCAUCUUUGUAACAUUCAAAAAUUAAAUCAUAUGUUUAAUUCACACAUUAAACAUGAUUUAAUCUCAAAUGUGUAACUCUCUUACACUUAACCUCUUAAGUUUUAUAAAGUUACAAAGAUGAGAAGACUCAUUGUCUUCCUUAACCUUUCAAGUUUUGUAACAUUUCAAAACUUAAUCAUGUGUUUAAUUCACACAUUAAAAGUGUAACCCUUCUUACACUUUAUUUUCAAAAGUUAUUUUUCAAAAGUGUAACUCUUCUUACACUUUAUUUUUAACCAACAAUAUAUAUAUAUAUAUAUAUAUAUAUAUAUAUAUAUAUAUAUAUAUAUAUAUAUAUAUAUAUAUAUAUAUAUAUAUAUAAAUAUAACAUCACUACCAUGGACAAAGCAUUUGCCACUCAACCCAGAUCCUUGGCAGGAAAGCUCAUGGGCUAUAACCAUGCCAUGUUUGGCUUCUCUCCUUGCAGGGCAUACUAGCAUGAUGUAAGGAAGUUGGCCUCGAUUGUGUUGGAUUGUGAAGCUUGAACCAGUUUUAUUGCUCUUCGCUCGGGAUGUCGGGAGUCGAACUGCCCGAUCAACUCAUGAGGGUCAAAUGGUUGCAAAGUUUGUUGACAAAGGUGAGAUUCAAACAUGUGAUGAAUGUUUUGUAUAGUGAUAGCCAAAGUGCAAUACAUUUUGCUAAGAAUUCAGCAUUUCAUUCUAGGACUAGACAUAUAACAAUUCUUUAUCACUUUAUCAGGCCUUUGCUUGAAGAUGGAAUGUUAACACUUGUGAAAAUACACAAUAACAAGAAUCCAACUUACAUGUUGACCAAAGCACUGAUAGUAGAGAAUCUAGAGCAUAUAACGCUUUCUGUAGCUUACAAACAUGUUGGGGAUGAGAUGUGCUAACAAAUCCAGCUGGUUGGGAAAGAUAAACAGUUUCUACAAUUUCUCCAUUGAGGAAGGCAUUGUUGAAAUCAAUUUGUCGAAUCUCCCAAUUAUAUGUUACAGCCAAUGUAAAUACAACUCGCAUAGUAGAGGAUUUGAUCACUGGACUGAAAGUAUUAGUAAAUUCCACACCUACAUAUUGUUGAAAUCCUUUGGCUACUAGUCUGGCCUUGAAGCGUUGGAUGGUACCAUCAAAAUUAUAUUUGACACAAAAAAUCCAUUUUCUAUCUAUGACAUUCAUGGAUGGAUGAAAGAGAACCAAGGUCCAAGUAUUUUUUACUAAGGCUUGAUAUUCUUCAACCAUAGCUGUGUGGCAGUUGGGAUUUUUCAAUGCUUGACUAACAGUGGUAGGAAGUUGGUCUGGGGGUGAAAUGGAAGUAGACAGGUAUGUAAUAUGGUCUGGGAGUAGUUUGGGUUUAAAUUUACCCACUUUUGAACGAGUAGUCAUGGGAUGAAGAGAAGAAGCUGAAAUAGGAGGUGAGGGAAUAGAAGGGGACACUGGUCUUGAUGCAGCGGGACACAUGGAAGGAUGAGAAAAGGUAUGUGACAUGGUUUGUAAAAGGGGUAUAGAGAAAGAUGUGGAGGAAGUGUGUAGGGUAGGACUAGAAUCAUUCAUUGGUAGAGAUGAAUAGGGAAAUGUUUUUUCAUAAAAAAAUAAUGCUUCUUGAAAUGUAAACUUUCCUGGAAUGAUGUAAAUAUAGGUAUCCUUUAUGGGAGAGACUAUAUCCAAUAAAUAUGCAUUGAGUUGACUGAUAUUCUAGUUUAUGGUUUUUGUAAGGUCGGAGAUACGGAUAGCAAGCACAGCCAAAAGUCUUCAAGAAUAAAAAAUUAGGUGAGGACUUAAACAAGAGUUCAUAGGGAGUCUUACAAUGGAAAACCGGAGUUGGUAGUCUAUUGAGAAGGUAAGUUGUUGUAGAGAAGGCAUGCCACCAGAAAGUAAAUGGCAAUUGAGACUUAGCCAAUAAAGUCAAUCCAAUUUCUACAAUGCUUCUAUGCUUUCGUUCCACCUUCCCAUUUUGUUGAUGAACAUGAGGACAAGGAUGACGGAAGAGGAUGUCUUUCUUCUACAGAAGAUAUUGAAGGGGACGAAACUCUCCACCCCAGUCUGUUUGUAGACACUUAAGUUUGGUGGGAAAUUGUCGAUCUACCAAUGCUAUGAACUGCAAGACAAUUGAUGUUGCUUGGGACUUUUGUUGCAUGGGAUAAAUCCAAGUACAGUUUGUAAAAGCAUCUACAAAUGCAAUGUAAUAUUUGUACCCAUCACAUGAAGUUGUAUGUACAGGACCCUACACGUCCGAAAAAACUAGUUCGAAUGGAACUUGUGUUUUAUUAAUAGUGGUAGAGAAUGAAAGCUGUUUUGCCUUGCCUAAAGGACAAGUAGUACAAAAACCGAGUUCGUUUUGGAGCUUGGAAUUAAUGCCUAAUCUGUCAAGUACUAGAGACACAGUUUUGUUGCAUGGAUGACCCAAUCUUUGAUGCCACAAGUGUCCAACACCCAUGUUGCUGUCUUCUACACAUCUUGUAGACUCAAUUUUAUUUAUUUGCAGGCUAUAUCCAACAGAUGGAGCAGCUGGUUGUUUGUUGAUAGUAGAUGGAGUAGUAGCUAGAUGAGGUAGGAACACAUUUGUAUCUUCAGAGAAACCUGCAAACUGCCGGUUAGAUGAGACCUUGGAAAUAUCCAACUGAUAUAGGCCUUCCUUAAGGUUGCCUUGGAGUAAUAUCUCUCUGGACUUCUUGUCCUUAACAAAACAGCAAUGAGAGUCAAACUCAAGGAUAACAUCAUUAUCUUGAGUGAAUUUAGCUACAUUGAUCAGAUUUUUAGUGAUCUGAGGUACAUGAAGUACAUUGGUAAGAUGCAAUGACUUGGAAGAUUUACAUGAAGGAAAAGAAGUAUGACCAACACUAGAUAUAUCUAGUGUUUGUCCAUUGCCCACCACAACAUUACCUGUGCCAGAGUAGUGAUCAAAGACAUCAUGAGUAUUGGAAUCAGUGGUCAUGUGGUGAGUAGCACCAUUGUCAACAAACCAUGAAGUGUUUGAAUCAAGAUCCGGAGUAAGAAUAUAGGCACGAGGAGAAGUGUUUGUUGAAUCCUGUUGUUGGUGUGAAUUUUAAAUUGGAAGUGAUGGUAUCAGUGGCCUUGUGGAAUAAUAUUGAGGCUGACUUUGAGGCUGUAUUUGUGGUUGUAGUGGAGGUGGCCGAAGUUGAGGUUGUUGCGGUUGAUGAAGAGAUGGAAACUGUUGAUUUUAUGCACAUGGUGGAGAUUGGAAGUACACAUCAAAACGGUGGAAGCACUUCAUAGCAGUGUGUCCCAUUUUUCCACACAAUUGACAAACAAUUCUUAAAGUUUGUGGAUUAUGUACAUUUCUAUGACGAAAAUUCCUGUUGCUUGAGCCUCUAAACUGUCCAUCAUUAGUGUUAGAAUUUUGAACACCUCCAACUGUAAUAUGUGCUGCUGGUGAACGUCAAUAACAAAGGCUGUUGAAAGUUGCUCAAGACAAAUUUCAUGACUUUGUAGCAGAUAAUGGACUUCUUGUAGAGAGAUUGCCUCAGAUCUAGAUGUAAUAUUCACAACAAUUGUUUCAAAUUCUAGUCCUAAUCCACCUAAAAUGUAAAGAAUUAAAUCUUCAUCUGGUAUAGGUUUUCCAGAGGCAGAGAGCAUAUCUGCUAUGUUUCUCAUUUUUAGCACAUAAUCCUUUAUGCUUAGAGCACAUUUCUUUAAUGAUUGUAGCAUGAAACGUAGUUGAAGAGUUCUUGCCUUUGAAUUAGAGACAAAAAGUUUUUAAAAGAACACUCCAUACUUUGGCUUAUGUUUGACAAUUAACCACAUGACCAUACAUGGCUUCAUAUGGAAGCAAGAAUCCAACUCAAAAAGAAUUGAUCUAAAAUCACCCAUUGAUCAUAUUCUGGAUUGGAUGCAGGUUGAGAUGAAUUAACUGAUGUUGAUUGAGAGAAUCUUGGAGGUUUUGGUAGCUUACCAAUGAGAAUUUGAUCCAAUUGAUGUGCUCUAGCUGCUGGUAAUACCUAAGAUCGCCAUAUUGUGUAAUUGUUCAUCUCUAGCUUCACCGAGAUCGGAUGAAGCAUAGAAGAACUUUGUCCCUUAAGAAUUGAGGAAACUUCCAACGAGUUUCUUGCCGGAGAUUGGAGUCCUUGUGAGGACAUCUCUGGUGCAGAGAAAUCGAUGUGAUCAAUCACCAUUUUGGAUGUGUGUCAAUGGAGCUCUGAUACCAUGUCUGGUUGAAGAAAAAUAAAGAAAACAGGAUUGUAGCAGAAAACAGAGUAUGAAGAAGAGAAAAAACAGAGUAUUAGAAAUUCUGGAACUAAAAAACGUGUUCUUGCAUUCCACUCUUCAUCUGAUUGAUUUACAUAUGUUUUUAUAUCAAAACUUAUAGACUUUAACUCUGGUUACCAAUUAACCGUAGUUACUAACUGACCAUAGUUAUAGUUACAGGGGUUAGCUAACUUCCUAACUGAAUUUGGUUAGCUUAACAGGCUAUGAUGAUGGCUCGUUUGUCUUUGCUCCUUGUGGACCAUAUUGGCGUGAUGUGCAGAAGCUAGCCAUGGCUGAGCUGCUUUCAAACCGCCAACUUGAGAUGCACAAGCAUGUCCAGGACUCAGAAGUCAAGAUCUUAAUAAAAGAGCUUUAUGGGCAAUGGGCAAUGGGCAAUGGGCAAGCAACAAGGACUCCCCGCUUUGGUGGAGAUGAAGGAAAGAUUUGGGAACUUGGCACUGAACGUAGUGGUGAGAGCAAUUGCUGGGAAACGGUAUUUUGGGACCCAUGCCUGUGGUGAUGAGCCAAAACGGUGCAAAAAGGCCUUUGAGGAUUUCAUUAUUCUAGUGGGGCUGUUCAUGGUCUCGGAUGCCAUCCCUUUUCUCGGCUGGUUGGACACGGUGAGAGGGUUUACCCCUGAAAUGAAGAGAGUAGCUAAGGAGGUGGAUUAUGUGCUUGGAAGCUGGGUGGAGGAGCAUCGCCAGAAUAGGCUUUCUGCGAACGACAAUAGGGCUGAGCAAGACUUCAUACAUGCCAUGCUUUCUGUCAUAGAUGAUGGCCAAUUCUCUGGCCGUGAUCCUGACACCAUCAUUAAGGGCACUUGCUCGGUAUGUCCCUGCUACUUCCAUAACCUGAGCAUGAAACGAAAAGAAAAAAAAGCACCAUCUACUAUCAUAAUUUCUACAACUUUUUUCGCCCAUUUCCUAAACCCUCCUCACAUUUCUACAAGGAUUCAUCAAAUCCAGUAUAGCUUUAUCAUCUGUACUUAUCAUGACAAACCAGGCGGGGUGAUCAAAUUUCACUUCGAUUCCUUAUUCACGGUUUGUUUUACCAUUCUGCUAAACAUGGUAUUUCACUACUGAUAAGUAAACUUUGCCUGAUCGCAUAUUGAAGUCGACAUCAUAUGUUGAUUGCAGAACCUCAUAUUAGCUGGCUAUGAAUCAACAUUUAUCACUCUUACAUGGGCCCUCUCUCUUCUACUGAACAACCGCCAUGCGCUAAAAAAUGCACAAGAAGAGCUGGAAAUCCAUGUGGGAAAGCAUCGCCAAGUGGAUGGAUCAGAUAUAAAGAACCUAGUCUACUUGCAAGCCAUCGUCAAGGAAACAUUACGACUGUACCCUCCUGGGCCACUUUCCCUGCCACAUGAGGCCAUUGAAAAUUGCACUGUGGCUGGCUUUCACAUCCAAGCUGGGACGCGCCUUUUGGUUAAUCUCUGGAAGUUGCAUCGUGACCCCAGAGUCUGGUUGGACCCUUUGGAGUUCCAACCAGAGAGGUUCCUGACAAAGCAUGCAGGUUUGGAUGUUAGGGGUAAAAAUUAUGAACUUCUACCCUUUGGUUCAGGUAGAAAGGUAUGCCCAGGAAUCUCAUUUGCACUGGAGUUGACGCAUCUGACGCUAGCAAGACUGCUUCAUGGUUUUGAAUUGGGAGCGGUUGCAGAUUCACGGGUGGAUAUGACUGAAAGUCCUGGGUUGACUGCCCUCAAAGCAACUCCACUGGAGGUCACAAUUGUUCCAAGGCUACCUUUCGAGCUCUAUAGUUAUGAAGCAGCAUAGAAAGUAAAUAAGACUCUUACGUGAGCCGGAGAGUCCCCUAAUUAGCCCAGUGCUUUAGUUUAGGGUAUAUUUAUGUUGGUGUGACUGACUUUGAAUUGCCGGUGGAGUGGGUGUUCUCCUCAAAUUUCAUCCACUUGGAUGGUAAUAAAUUUCCAUCUAUGAGUAAUUCUUUUUGCAUUACUUAAAAUAUCUUAAACCUGUUUUUGAGAAAAAGUAAAAAAUAAAAAGCCAUGCCUGAAACAAAAAAAAAAAAAAAAAGAAAAAAAGAAAAAGAAAAAGCAUGGCUUUAUUUUAACUAUUUUCAUUUAUUUUAAAAAAAUAAAUAUAAAAAUAUACAUGAUAAUAAAAUAAAUAAAUAAAUAAAGAACUAACAUGAAAGUUAUUUAAAAAAAAUUAAAAAUAUUUCAAGUUCUAAAAUAAAAUUUUAUUCAUAAAACAUCAAAAAACAAUUUUAAAAAACAAUUCUCAACUAUCAUUUUUCAUAACUAUUUUUAAAACACUUCUCAAAUACAACCUUAAAUUUUGAACUCCUUCCAAAACCAAGUUUCGAUGAUGCUGCACCUUAUGCUUCUUCAUCAUUUGGAGUGCCUACUCUUGACUUAUUAACACAUCAUAAAAAAUUGAUCCUGAUUUUCAUAGUAAAAUCAUAUGGAUUAAUUGGGAAAUAGUUAACUGUACAAAGUUGCAGCCUGCAGGCCCUCAUGAUCGACCUGCACUUAGCAUUUUCUUUCCCACAAGAUGAAUACAACAUUUGGCAGCAAUCAUAGGAUCAUCAUGAACGACCUAUUGAACUCAAUAUUAAAAUAUCUUAUAUUAACUGAGCAUCCAACCCACCACCACAACUCAGACAACUUUAAAGAAAUUAGAAUCCAAUUACUAUAUUAUUGGUAGAAGAUUGGAAUCAAAUGCUCUAAAUUAAUUUCCCUUAAGCGGACAAGAGUUUUACAUGUUCACAUAUAUGCCAUACAAUCUCAUGGAACACUUUCUAAUAUUACUAUCCAACGGAUUCCAAAAAUGCAUUUGUCAAUGUUUUUACUAAAAAUGGUUUUUGUAAAAGUAUUUUCUCUAAUAGUCUUUUUCGGUGAAUCAUUUAUUAAGAAUCAUCUUGACAGUGAUCUUAGGAAAUGCUUUUAGCCUAAAAAAUGUUUUUAAAAAAACAUCACAUAUUUGAGAAUUUAAGAAAUAUUUUCAAAAUUUUCAAAUUAAUUUUUAAAGAAAUACUUCAUAAAUGAUUUUCCGUAAAACAAUUUAUGAAAAAACAGUCAUUAAAGAAACUAUGAGUAGAAACACUUUCAUACGACCCUCGGUGUUUUUCUAAAAAUUAUUAUAUCUGACUUUUUUAAAAUCGUUGUCUAAAAGUAUUAUAGCUGAAGAACAGUAAGGAAAAGAACAGAGCUGAAUUUGCAGAAAAGUUUUUUUUUUUUUCAUUUUCCUUUUCUAAGGAUCUUGGAAUCCUUUUCCUUGUAUGGACAGAACAUUAGAGGUAUAUAUAUGGUAGUGGGAAGUGAUUCUUCCCCAUAAAACAUUUUCUUUUCUAUUGAGUCAUGGGAUUCUAUCUUCAGCUUCAAGGGAUCAUAGUUUUUAACCUUCUGUUUGCUAUCAUCUGUUUGUGGUUGAUUAAGGGAAAGGGAACAGAAACAGAGGCAAAAGGGCACCAGAACCAUCACGGGCAUGGCCUUUAAUCGGACACCUUCAUCUUCUACGAACAGGCAAGCCCCAACAUCAAUCAUUUGGAGCCAUGGCAGAUAAGUAUGGACCAACCUUUUGCUUUCAUAUUGGCCUGCGCAAAACUUUGGUGGUUAGCAGCUGUGAAGUAGCAACAGAAUGUUUAACUACCAUGGACAAAGCAUUUUCCAUUCGACCAGAUCCUUGGCAGGAAAGCUCAUGGGCUAUGACCAUGCCAUGUUUGGCUUCUCUCCUUACGGGCCAUACUGGCGUGAUGUAAGGAAGCUGGCCUCAGUUGAGCUCCUCUCAAACCGCCAGCUUGAGUUACUCAACCAUGUCCGGGACUCAGAAGUUAAGCUUUUCAUCAUAGAGCUCUACGGGCAAUGGAUACAAAAUGGGGACAGGCCUCUCUUGGUCGAGAUGAAGGAGAAGUGUUGGCACCUGGCAGCAAAUGUAAUGGUGAGCGCAGUAGCUGGGAAAUUUUGGCACCGUUACAAAUGACUAUGAGUCAAGACGGUGCCGGAAGGCCCUUGGCGAUUUGUUAUAUCUCUCGGGGGUAUUUAUGGUUUCUGAUGCAAUCCCCUUCCUUGGCUGGUUGGACACUGUGAGAGGAUAUACGGCAAAAAUGAAGAGAACAGCUAGGGAGGUGGAUCAGGUGCAGGGAAGCUGGGUGGAGGAGCAUCGCCGGAAGAGGUUCUCUGGAAGCAUGAACGAGGCUGAGCAAGACUUCAACCAUGUCAUGCUGUCUGUUAUUGAGGAUGGUCAGUUCUCUGAUCAUGACCAUGACACUGUCAUUAACGCUACUUGCUUGGUAUGUUUCUUCUUCUUUCCUUGGUCAAAUUCCAUAAACCUCCACACACUUAACAGCAAACCUCCAUCAUGAUUGGUUUUGUCCAGCUGUUACACUUGCUAUUUCAGGACUGAUGAUUAACUCUCAACUUUCUUUGACAAAAUUUCUGGGAAUAAUGAAAACUAUGAUAAACUUUUAAAUUGUUCUACUAACAGCCAGACAUACUGUUUUUUAACACACACUGAUCAAAGAAGCCAUAUCACCAGCUCAAAAGACCAACAUGGAUGUAAUGUUGAUGCAGACUCUAAUAAUAGGCGGCUCUGAUUCAACGGUGAUCACACUGACCUGGGCCCUCUGUCCGCUAAUGAACAAUCCCAGCACUCUAAAAAGAGCACAAGAUGAGUUAGACAUCAAAGUGGGAAAGCAUCGCCAAGUGGAUGAGUCAGACAUAAAGAACCUAGUCUACUUGCAAGCCAUCAUCAAGGAAACCUUACGACUGUACCCUGCUGCACCGCUUUCAGUGCCACGUGAGGCCAUGGAGGAUUGCACCAUGGCAGGCUUCCACAUCCAAGCUGGGACGCGCCUUUUGGUUAACCUCUGGAAGUUGUACAAGAACCCCAGAAUUUGGUCGGAUCCUUUGGAGUUCCAACCUGAGAGGUUCCUAACGAAGCAUGUGGAUUUGGAUGUUAGGGGUCAAAAUUUUGAAUUUCUGCCAUUUGGGUCAGGCAGAAGGGUAUGCCCAGGAAUCUCAUUUGCGCUUGAGGUCGUGCAUCCGACUUAUUUAAGAUCAUACAUCAGUUGAUUAUGAUCAUCUUCAUCGAUCAAAUAGAGUUCAUAUGUUGAUGCUUGUGUUGUUAUUUGAUUUGAUAAUUUUUCUUGCUUCUGCUUCAAAGUUUCUUGUUUGUGUUGAGCCUAGCUCAUAUUUUUAAGUCAACUCAGCGUAAGGGAAAAACACAAAUGGGAUUUGUGUUUUUUUUUUUUUCCACCAGCAGAAUGGUCUUAUUUGGAAGCUUGUACAAGCAUAGCUUUUUUAUAUAACUAUGGGGCUAGCCACACUCCACAUGAUUUAAAAUGUACAAAUAGGCAUAAUAACAACUGGCCAAAGAGAUGGUUUUUUUCAUACUCAGAACUAUCUUAUAUUAGACUUCAAAGGUGCUUCAUAUUUUCUAUCAUGCAUUGAGAGCCGUCUAUGGUUUUCAUAUUAGGAUGGCACAUGUGUGGAACAUGAAUUCCUACUUGUGAGUGUUCUAGUGUAUGUAGUUUUGAGCCAUUUUGGAGAAGUGAUUCUUUCCCCUGAUCCAUUCUCUCUGGUACUAACUAGUCAUGGGAUUCUCCCUUCAGCCUCAAGAGAUCACAGUUUUUGGGCUUCUUGCUACAAUCUGUCUGUUGUUGGAAACAGCACUUAAUGCCAAAAGGAACAAGAUCAAGGAAGGCAAAAGGCCACCAGAGCCGUCCUGACAAUGGCCUCUUAUCGGUCAUCUCCAUCUUCUAGGAGCAGACAAGCUGCUACAUCGGAAACUUGGAGACAUGGCUGACAAGUAUGGACCAAUCUUUUGCAUUCAUCUUGGCUUUCGUAAAGCUCUGGUGGCUAGUAGAUGGGAAGUAGCAAAGGAAUGCUACACUACCAAUGACAAGGUAUUCGCCACUCAACCAAUGGCUGACAGUUCUUUUUUUUUUUUCUUUUUUUUUUUUUUUUGAAAUUUAAACAGUAAGCUUUGAUGAUCUGAAAGUUUUUUUCUUCUUCAAAUUGGAAUUAUGUAUUUUUACAUUGCAGUCAUAUCUGAUACUCGUAAAGUGCAUCUUCUUCAUUUUCUUCUUGUUUGUUGUUUGAUUACACUUUAAUCUUCAUAGAAAUUGACAUUUUCUCCCCCAUCAACUCUAGAGCUAAUCAGGAAGGUAGAACAGUUCUUGGUUUGCAGACCUCAGAAAAUCAAUUAGCUAAACAAAAACAUAGAGAAGAAAAAGAGGAGCUAAAUUUGUUGAUGUUGUGACAAACUCUCCCACCUUUUAUUUAGCGAGAAGCUAUGAGAAGUGAUACUGAAUCAAGUUUACAUUGCUGGUUUGUCGUGUGGCUGUGCACGAGAUUACUAGUCAUCGUCCUCCAUGCAGAUGAGGUGUGCAUGAGAGAAUGCUCUAAUUAAUAUCUUCCUUCAUCAGGCGAUUGCGCGUGCAUGUUGGGGCUCUUUGCUUACAUAUGGUUCCUUUUUAUGCCUGGAACUGGUACUUUUAGUCCACUGAACCUGUGUUAGCACCAGAAAUAACAACAUGAAGAUACCUAUCAAGAAAAAUAUAAGUGACCAAGAGAGUAGACCGGCUUCCUAAGGAUUCCUCGUAGGUCUGGCAUACUUAUAUUAGACUUUCAGAGAUAAAUAAGUAAAGAGAACUUGAAACACUAAGUAACAUUGAUCAAAUCAUAUUGGAGAUGAGCUUGUAAGUCUAUGUAUUGUGUGGUAGGUAAAGAGGAGGCACAACUUGGGCUGAAAGCACCUGAACUGAACUUUCCACUAACUCAUUUUCUCUUGAGCGGCUAAAAAUUGGAUCAUCAAGAGACUGCCCUACCUCAAAACCUGACCUCAACCAGUAUUAAAAUACGUGAUAUUUUGACAAUAUAUCGUUAAAAUAUCGUGUAUAGGUGGAUCUCGACACGAAAUAUAGGAAAGAAAUAUUGGCACCUCGAUAUUUCGACAAUUUAUUGAAAAUUUCACCGAUUUUUCACAAUUUAUCGGUAAUUUAUUGAUUUUUCACCAAUAUUUUGACUAGUCAAUAUUUUUCACAAUUUAUCGAUAAUUUAUUGAUUUUUCACCAAUAUUUUGACAGGUCAAACUUCAAAAAAAUUCAAAAUUUCUACUGGUGCUGAAGGGAAUCCAACCCUAGCCAAAUGUUCACCAACCACGGAGACAAGUUUGCCCAUUGUUAUAUGUUUAGUACUAAAUAUAUAUAUACUAAAACUUAUUAUAUAAACAUAAUAUUUAAAGAAUGUUUUAAAGAAUAAAUUAAUUAUAAUUAUUUCAUAAUUAAAUGAAAAAAAAUUAAUUAAUUACCAAAAAUAUAAGAUUUAUCUUGAUAAUUUUCUUCCAUUAAUAUAUUAAUUAAAUAUUAAAAAUCAUAUAUAUAUAUCAUUAUUUAUUUUAUAUUAUUUAAUUUAUAUUAUUUAAUACAAUUGAAUAAAAUGGAUUAUAAAUUUGAUUUUAAUAUUAAAUAUAUUUUUUAAUAAUCAAAUAUCAUAAUAUUACCUCCAAUAAUAUUUAAUAAUAAAUGUACACUUAUAAAAGGGAGAAUUGUGUUUUGGGCCCAGCUAGGCCCAAAAAUUAACAUUUGGUCCUCCAACCACCCAUAUUUAAACCCAAGACCCAAACAAAGUAUGAAAAUUAAGAUGAAGGAUAUUGUCUUUCAUUAAUUCCUAAAAUACCCUUAUCCCUUAUAUGCCUACAAGUGAGUGUGAAUUUUAAUUUUUUUUGUUUUUUGUUUUCCUUUUCUAUUCCCUAUUAAAUAUUACUCAUUUCUAACUUUUUUUUUCCUUUUUAUUCCAAUAUAUAUUUCUAUUUUAUGUCAAAUAAAAAACAAUAAUAUUUUUUUAUUUUUCAUUUUUAAAGAUAUUGAAUCUUUUUGCUCUUAUUAAAAGCAAUGAUAAAAAUUUUGGGAUUUUUCAUCCAAAUAUUUUUUAUCUUUAUGUAUUUAUCUUUUACUUUAAUUUUCAUUUUUUAUUUUAAAUUUAUAUUACCCUUUCAUCUAUAUUUUUCUCUUAUUUUUUAUAUUUUCUACAUUAACCAUAUUUUAAAAAAUUUUAAAAUUAACUAUCACUUCACUUUAUUAUAUAUAUAUAUCUUUUUAGCUUUUUAAUUUUUAAUGUUUUUAUUUUAAAAUUUUUAAAAAGAUAAAUUUGUUGAAAAAAAAUAACUAAGAUAUGAAAUUCUAAUAUUAUAUUAAUAAUUUUUUCUUAUCUAGAUAGACUAAUGCAAAGUAUUUUGACCCCCAACAAGGAAAUUGUCAAUACAAUUUUUUAGUUAAACUUUAAAAAUUAAGUUUCAAAUAAAAUAUAUUAUAUAAAAUUUUAUCUAAAAAUUAUUGAAAGUGGUAUUUAAUUUUUUUAUUUAUUGACUUUGAAACUUAUCUAGUUUUUUACUUGAAAGGUAAUAGAACAUGUUUAUAAAAAAAAUUAGUUUUUCAUUUUUUAAAUAAAUGAGUAUAAAUAUAUUAAAAAAAAUUAAAGAUAAUCUUAGUAAAAAAUUUGAUAAAUAUGAUUAUAAUUUUAAAUAUAGAUUCAUGUGGAUAAAAUUUCACAAAAAAAAAAAAAAAUAGUGAAAAGAAAGAACAUUGUUAAAACUACAAAAACAAAAUAUGCAAUUACAAAAAUUUGAUGAUGAAAUUUAAAAAUAAAAUUCGAAACAAUUCUUGAGUGAGAGAAUUUGAGUGGGGAAAAAAUAUUUGAGUGGAAAAAAAUGGGAAAGUUUUUCGAAAUCACUUUAAAUCUUUAACAAAAAGUAGUCUUGUACACCCUUGUACAAUUAGUAAAUUUGUCUUGUACAGUUAGUAUAAUACCCUUGUACAGUUAGUGUAAUACCCUUGUACAAUAACUCAAAUUUCAUACAUCAUUUUAUGAAUAUCUAACAAUAGGUCGGUUAACCAUGUUUGCAUCGGUUUGGUUUUAAAAAAGAAAAAAAAUUGUUGUAUAAUUUUGUUUUACAAUCAUCAUAAGUGAGGUACCUAUUAAAAUGACCAUAUACAAAUUAGAUAAAAUACAUGAGAUGAAUGUAUGUUUAACCAAUGUGUGUAAGAAAUGUCAUUUAUCAUUGGUUAAGGGAAAUAAACAAACAAGUUUUUUAGAAUCACUUAAAAUCUUUCACAAAUAAUAGUUUUGUACACCCUUGUACAAUUAGUAUAUUUGUCAUGUACACUUAGUGUAAAUACCUUGUACAGUGACUAAAAAAACGUUAUUUUAUUUUAUUUUCAAUGCAAAAUGUAAUUAAAAAUAAGACAAAGAAAUUACUUAAAAACUAUUAUUUAAGCCAAAUUUAUUUAUUUAUUUCCUUUUAUUUUUGGAAAUAAAGAAAAAAGAAUAAAAAAUUUAUUUAACCAUAAGAAAUAUGAAUAUAAGAUCAGUUGGAAAAUUCUAAAUUUAUUUAUUUAUUUCAUUUUAUUUUUGGAAUUAAAGAAAUAAAAAAUAAAAAAUUUAUUUAAUCAUAAAAAAUAUUGAUAUAAGAUAUAUUAAAAAAUAGAAAUAACCCCAAAUUUAUUUACUUAUUUCAUUUUAUUUAUUAAAUUAGAAAUUAAUUUAUUUUAAUAGAUUAAAAUGUGCACAAUUGAUUUAUUACUUUGUUAAUUAUGGAUAUAUUAAAAUUUUUGAUAAAAAAUAAAUAAAGAAAAUAAAAUUAAAAAGAGUAAUAAAUAUAUAUAAUUUAGUUAUUAAAUUAUUUUUCAUGUAAAAGAUAGUCCCACAAAAAACACAUAAUUGAUCAAUUUCUUUGUUUAAUCGUAAACAUACUAUAUUUUUUUUUAUUAUUAAAAUAACUAAUGAAAAAAAAAUAAAAAUGGAUAAUCAAUGAAUGAAAUUUAGUUCUUUUUAUUAUUUUCAUAUAAAAAAUAGUACUAAGGUUUUCAAUUUUUAUUUUUUAAAAUAGUUUUCAUUUUUUAAAUAAAUGUUUUUUCAAAAAGAAAAUAUAAAAAAUAUAAAUCAUAUUACUAUUUUUUAGAAAGUAUUUUUUAAAAUAGCUUUCGAACAUAAUUUUUCUUUAUUUAUAAUUUAAAAUAGAAAAUAAUGUUGAUUUUCAAUUAUUUAUAAAAAAAAAAUUAAAAUAAUGAAAAAUCCAAAUUGUUAAAAUAUAAUUAUUAUGGUUGCAUGAAUAAUGGUGCAAUAAAGACAAAAAAAAAAAAAAAAAAGUUUAUGUGAAAGGUCAUGGGGUAUUUUAGUCCAUCACUAUUUUAUGUCCUUAAAAGGUAAUAUAUAAAAAUUUGAAGGAUAUAUUGGUCUUUUAACAUCUCAUAUCCUUUUCAUCAAUUAUGGAAGUUAUAUGGACCAAAUGUUAAUUUUUAGGCCCAACUGGGCCCAAAACACAAUUCUCCCCUUAUAAAAUACAUAUUUGUUUAUUCUUGCAUAUAAUAUUAUUAUCAAAUAUGAUAAAUUAUAUCACAUAUGUAUUUUUAUUUUUUAACAAAAUAUCUAUUAUACUUUUAAUUUUAUUUUUAAAUUUUUUUCUAUAUAUUUAUAAGUUUUAAUCAAUUUUAGAUUUAUCAAUAUUUUAUAUUAAAAUAUGGAGAUAUAUCAUAAAAUGAAGGGUUGUUCCAUGGUACCCACUUUUCAUUUUGGGGGUACCUACCCACAUUUGACCCCAAUAAAAAGAUGACAUGUGUUAAGUAUAUAUCAUUAAAAAAUUUAUAAAAACUUAUCAAACUGGUAAAGAUGACUUGUUGGUGAAAAAUAAUCACAUGCAUUUCAUAUAUAUCCAAAUAUUACAACUUUUUUAUAAUUUAUUAUUAAAUAUCAAAUAUAAUUUGUUAUUUAAUGCAUUACCUAACUCUAUCUAAAAAAAGAAAAUCCUACCAACUACUCUUAUACUCUCAUUAUUCAUAUAUAAAAAAAGGGAUAUUAAUUUAAUAUGAAAAUGAAAUAAUUUCAACUACCAAAUUACAAAAUAUGUAAGAUGUAUUUUGAUGAAUCAAAUUUCAAGAUCAAGUUUAAAACUUUUUGAGAGAGAAAAUCUAAAUUUUGUAUUAUAUGAAGAAGAUGAAGGAUUUUAAGUGAUUACAAGUGUCAAAGGUAAUAUUUGAUAUUUUUUUAUCCAAAUAUAAUUAUUGUAGGAAGAAAUGUGAUGUUAAAUAACGAUUUUAGAAUUUUUUAUAAGUUUAUUAUAAAAUUUUGUUAUCAAAUUGUUAUUAAUAUUUUUAUAUAUAUAUAUAUAUAUAUAUAUAUUUUUUUUGUUCAUAGAUUAAAUUUGAAUAUGAAGUUUUAUAUGUCUUGAAGGAUGUCAAGUGAUUACAAGUGUUAAAAGGUAACAUUUGAUUUUUUUUUUUCCCAUUUACAUAUAACUAUUGUAGGUAGAAAUGUCAUGUUAAAUGACAUUUAAAUAUGUAAUGAUUUAUAACAUCUAGAUUUUUUAAUUUUUUUUCUCAGUUAUUAUUAAUCAAAUUGAGAGCAUUUAGUCAUUUGUUAUGAAAUUGUCAUCAAUAUUUUGUAAGAGAUGGUACGAACUUUCUAAGAGAAUGUACGAACAUUGUAAGAGAUGAUACGAACUUUCUAAGAGAUAGUACGAACUUUCUAAGAGAUGGUACAAAUUUUCUAAGAAAUGGUACGAACUUUGUAAGAGAUGUACGAACUUUCUAAGAGAUGGUACGAACUUUCUAAGAGAGGGUACGAACUUUCUAAAAAAGGGUACGAACUUUCUAAGAGAUGAUACGAAUUUUCUAAGAUAUGGUACGAACUUUCUAAGACAGGAUACGAACUUUCUAAGACAGGGUACGAACUUUCUAAGAGAUGAUACGAACUUUCUAAGACAUGGUACGAACUUUGUAAGAGAUGGUACAAACUUUGUAAGAGAGGGUAUGAACUUUGUAAGAGAGGGUACGAACUUUUUAAGAGAGUGUACGAACUUUAUGAGAGAUGGUACGAACUUUGUGAGAUGAGGUACGAACUUCCAUCAUUUCUUUAAGAUUAAUUUUUUUAAUUUCUUUUAAGAGUAAUUUCCAUCAUUUUUAAGCUUAAUUAGUAUCAAUAAAUAAUAUUAUUGUAUUUCCAUGUGGAAAAAAUUUUAAAAAGUUUGAAAAUUUGUAAAAUUUUCGAGGGUAAAGAGAAUGUGACGAAGGGUGCUAAGAAUGUAAGGAUUCCUUACAUUUUUUGUACCAUUCCUCACAUUAUUCGUACAUUCUAUAAUUACUUAGUGUUUUAAUUUUUUUAUUUUCUUAAAAAUAAUAUUCACCAUUUCUAAGCUUGAUUAGUAUCAAUAAACAAUAUUAUUUGUAUUUUUAAGUGGAAAAAAAAAAUCAAAAAAUUGUUAAAUUUCAGGAUAUGGAGAAUGUGAGGUAAGGUAUGAAGAAUGUGAGGAUUUCUCAUAAUCUUCAUACAUUUUCUCACAUUUUUCAUAUCCUCUCUAAUUUUUUAGUGUUUUAAUUUUCUAAUUUUUUAGGAUAAUUUACAUUAUUUCCAAUUUUAAAUUUUUUUAAUUCUUUUUUUUUUUUUAACAAUUCUAUCAAUAAUAACUCAAAAUAAUAUUAUUAAACUAUGUUAUUGUUAUUUCAAGUUAAAAAGUAAAUUUUAAAUUUUAAAAAUAUAAAUAAUUUAGGGUACGAAAAAUAUGAGAACAGUAUGAAAAAUGUGAUAAAUACAUGAUUGGUACCUUUAUCACAUUUUUCAUAUUGAUUUUUAGUUUAAAAUUUUUUUAAAUUACAAAUUUAUUUUCGAAAAUACUAUCAUUAGUAACUUAAAAGAGUAUUAGUAAUUUAUUUUAUUGUAAUUUAACUUUAAAAACCUUAAAUUCAAAAAAUGUAAAAUUUGGAGAGUACGGAAAAAAAUUAGGACAAUCUAAUUACAUAAGUUUUACAUAUGAUUAUCAAAAUGUUGAAUUUUUAUGAAAAUACUCAUUUCAUAUUAAAAUAUUAUCAUGUUAAUUUUUAUGUUGAAUUUAAAUGUUUAAUAAUUUGUUAAAAAUAAAAUAAUGUGAUUAUGAUAUAUGAUGAUUUUUUUUUGUUAAUAAAUAUGUUUUCAAAUUUUAUAUCAUUUUUAUUUUUAUUUUUUUCUAAUUCUAUUUUUAUCUAAUAUUUAUUUUAUUUAAAUCCAAAAUUGUUAAGAAUGGAGGAAGAAAGAAUGUCAUAACCGAUUCUUCCCUUAAUUAGUUAAGUGAAAUUUUUAUUUCAAAUUUAAAGUGGAUGAUCAAGAUAUAAUCUUUGACAUUCAAUGACUUAAAAAACUUUUUUUUCGUAAGUACGAAGAGGUAACUUAGAAUUUUCCUAAAAUGAAUUAUCAAUAUAUAUGUGAGCAUGGAUACUUUCAUCCUUAUCCUCGAUCAGCACUUCCCAGAUAAGGUAGCUCAGUGCGAAUCUACCUCGAGAUCGGGCAAAAAAGGUGCCUCGGUGCGAAUCUUCCUUGAGAUCGGGCAACAUGGGAAACGUGGCCUCCAAAAGGAAACGUGGGCAAAAUGCGAAUCUACCAACCCCUGGGCCAUGGCACUUGCGGAAAAAGCUGUCAGCCCGUGACUACGCUUGUCAGCAACGUCAACGACAAAAUGAAAAGUCAAAAGGGAAAUGACCUUAAAAAAGGAAAGGAGGAGGAUGGUAAUCCUUCAUUGACAAGCAAAGGAAACGGAGAAGAACUAGAUUUUUGUAUCUCCAUCUUCUAAUGGGAUUCUCUCUUCAGCUUCAAGAUGUCACAGUUUUCGGCAUUCUUUUUGCAAUUAUCUGUCUGUGGUUGGUUAAUGCCAAAGGUAACAAGAACAAAGGCAGAAGCCCACCAGAGCCCUCCGGGGCAUGGCCUGUAAUGGGUCACCUUCAUCUUCUAGGAGCAGAUAAGCCACUACAUAGGACAUUCGGAGCCAUGGCUGAUGAGUAUGGACCAAUCUUCUCCAUUCGUGUUGGCCUUCGAACAGCUCUGGUGGUUAGUAGCUCGGAAGUAGCAAAAGAAUGUUACACUACCAAGGACAAGGCACUCGCCACUCGACCAAGAUCCUUAGCAGUAAAGCUCAUGGGCUAUGACCAUGCCAUGUUUGCGUUUGAACGUCACGGUCCAUACUGGCGUGAUGUGCGGAGGCUAGCCAUGGUUAAUCUCCUCUCCAACCGCCAGCACGAGAUGCUCAAGCAUGUCCGGGACUCAGAAGUCAAGUUUUUCAUCCAAGAGCUCUAUGGGCAAUGGGUAGAAAAUGGAGGCAGUCCUGUUUUGGUGGACAUGAAGAAAAAGUUUGAGCACCUGGUAGCAAAUUUGACGAUGAGAACAGUUGCUGGGAAACGGUGUGAAAAUGGCGAGUCAAGAUGGUGCCAAUCCCUAGGUGAUUUCAUGAAUCUAAUGGGGCAAUUUAUGGUUUCUGAUGCACUACCCUUCCUUGGAUGGUUAGACACAGUGAGGGGAUAUACAGCGAAAAUGAAGGGAACAGCUAGGCAGUUGGAUCGGGUUAUUGGAAGAUGGGUGGAGGAGCAUCGUCAGAAGAGGCUUUCCGGAAGCAUCAAUGACGCUGAGCAAGACUUCAUUCAUGCCAUGCUGUCUGUUAUAGAUGAUGCUCAGUUAUCUGGUCAUGACCAUGACCAUGAUACUGUCAUCAAAGCCACUUGCUUGGUAUGUUUCUACUACUUCAUAACACCACCAUCCUCAUGAGCAUCUGCAACUUCAUCAAGACCUUGAUAAUACUCGUAUUACUCCGUCAUGAUCUAUUUUUUCCUUCUGCUAUACAGUAUUUCAGGACUAUUGAAGUAACUCUGUUUCUUUCUUUGACAAAAAUUGCCGAGACCAUUCCGUAAGGUUAUGUUUGGUUCUCAGAAAAUUUGAGGGAAAAUACAAGGGAAAGAAAAUACAAAAGAAAAAUAGAAGGAAAGAAAAAGUGAAAGAAAAUAAAAAAUGGAUUAAAAAUUGAUAAGUUAUUUUUAUUUUUUACUUCAAACUCAUUUUAUUUAUUUUAACUCAUCAAUAUAAAGAUUAAAUAAUUUUAAAAUACAUAAGUUUUUAAUUAGUUUUAAUUAUAUUUGAUUUUCUUUUAUAUUUUUUAUAGGACAACCAAACAUGAAAAAAUCAUUUUCCUUUGCAUUUUUUUUCUUUCUUUAGUAUUUUCCGGAACCAAACAUAACCUAAGGAAACAGCAGACAGAAUUCAUAAAUUAGGCUGGAAUAACAGGAACUGGGAUAAUUUUUUUUUUACCCGGAUUCCCCAGUCAUAAUUCUUCUGCCGCUAGACAUACUAUUUCACAAAUGAUGUAUGGACUUUUUUCUUUAAUCACAAGUUCAACAUGGGCGUAAUAUGUUGAUGCAGACUGUCAUGUUGGCGGGCAAUGAUACAAUAGCGGUCACACUCACCUGGGCCCUCUCUCUGCUAAUGAACAACCCUCGUGCACUAAAAAAGGCACAAGAAGAGUUGGACUUUCAUGUGGGAAGGAAUCAGCAAGUGUACGAAUCAGAUAUAAAGAAGCUAGUCUACUUGCAAGCCAUUAUCAAGGAGACCUUACGACUAUACCCUGCUGGGCCGCUUGCACUGCCACAUGAGGCCAUGGAGGACUGCACUAUUGCAGGCUUCCACAUCCAAGCUGGGACUCGCCUUCUGGUUAACCUCUGGAAGUUACACCGCGAUCCCACAAUUUGGUCGGAUCCUUUGGAGUUCCAACCUGAGAGGUUCCUGACAAAGCAUGUGGGUUUGGACGUUGGGGGUCAACAUUUUGAACUUCUACCAUUUGGGUCAGGCAGAAGGAUGUGCCCAGGAAUCUCACUUGCUCUGGAGAUCCUGCAGCUGACACUAGCCAGAUUGCUUCAUGGUUUUGAAUUGGGAGUAGUUUCAGAUUCACCCCUGGAUAUGACUGAAGGUGUUGGGCUCGCUAUGCCUAAAGCAACUCCACUGGAGGUCACCCUAGUCCCAAGGCUACCCUCCGAGCUCUACCACUAAAGUAGUAUCCUUAUGUGUGCCACAAAAUCCCCUGGUUAGCCCUGGAAGGGUCUACUCCAAAGGUUUGGUCUUCAUAGGACAUAAGGAGCAACCUUCUGAGCUCUCCUGCUACAGAAGUAGCAGAAAAAAUAAUAAACAAUGAGUGCCACAAAAUCCCCUAAUUAGUCCAUGAAGAUGAUGAAUAAAUUAUGCUCAUUUUAUGUAUAUUUAUGUAGCUCACUCCGAAUGCAUAUCCACCUAAAUGAACCUCGAUGAAGAGCCUCACAUCUUGGGAUGUUACAUCACUUGCCGUCCUUGCAUAUCUACUCAAGCUUUCUUAAUCAGGAUACUUUCUAGGUACCUUGUGUUUGUAAUUUAACUGGAACAUGUUAAAAUUAGGAGUCUUGGGUCUAUUUUGGGAAGGUUUUUAAAAAUAAUUCUUAAAAAUAUAUAUACAUUUUUAAACUAUUUUCAAAAAUUGUUUUAUCAUAUUUUCUAAAAUAAAAAUAUGUUUGAAAUUUUAGAAAGUUUUUAACAUGUUUUUUUCUUUUUUAAUUUUCAAAUUUUUUUUAAAAAAUGACCUUCUAUCUCCAAUGCUUUAUUUUCAACCAUUUCUAAAAAUUAAUUAAAUACGUUUUUUAUGUUUUUUUUAUUCUCAAAAAUAAAAAUAAUUAUUCUUAAUAACAAUUUGUAAACAUAACUUAAGCUUUUUUUAAAAAAAUAAAAAUAAAAAUGUUGAAUUUAAAGUGUUCAAGAAUAACAGGUGAGUGAAUGGAAUGAGUGUGGCCUUUAAAGCUCAUCAUUUGUAACAUGAUUUAAGAACUUGUUUGAUAGAGGUUUUAAAAAGCGUUUAUAAUCUUUUUAGAACUUAAAAAUAUUUCUUUUGAGAAAAAUUUUUAAAUAUUAAAAAGAUUAAAAAUACAUUCUAAAAUUACUAUCAAACGAAUUUUAAAAAUGUGUUUGUCAAUGUUUUUACCAAACAUGAUUUUUGUGAAAGUAUUUUUUCUAAUAGUUUUUUUCAUAUAAUCAUUUAUUAAGAGUUAUUUUGAUAGUGAUCCUAGAAAGUGUUUUUACUAUAAAAAGGAGUUUAAAAAAAAACAUUGAAUGUUUAACCGAAUUUAAGAAAUACUAUUCAAAAUUCUAAAAAUGCAUCAACAUGAUUUUUGUGAAAGUAUUUUCUCUAAUAGUUUUUUUCAGAGAAUCAUUUAUUAAAAGUUAUCUUGACAAUGAUUCUAAUAAGUAUUUUUAUCCUAAAAAGAUUUUUUUUUUUUAAAUAUUGAAUGUUUAACAGAAUUUAGAAAAUACUAUUCAAAUUUUGAAAAAUCAUUUUUUAGAAAACACUUGAGAUGAUUUUUCGAAAAAUAAUAUUUUAUGAGAAAACAUUGUUAUUAAAGAAACUUUGAAUAUAAAUACUUUCAAGUCCACUCUCACUAUUGUUUUAAGAGUGUGUUUGUAGAAAGUAUUUUUAAUAUCUUUAAUACUUGAAAGAUAAAAAAUUUUAAAUGUUAAAAAUAUUAAAAAUACUUUUUAAAAUCACUAUAAACGUGUAAGAAGAAUUAUAAGUGAUUUUUUAACUUUUUUUAUAACCCUUGUCUAAAUUUUAUCUAGUUUUAUUUUUUUUUUGGUCAAAAAUAUUUUUUUAAGCUAGAAUAAGAAGUAAACUUUAAAGAAUCCUUACCCAGCCGUUAACGUUUUAAACACCGUAGUUACUAGGCCCUACUCUCAUGCUAUUGUUUAUAUAAACAUGAACACUUUUGUUACUUAGUGCUGGAACGCAUUAGAACUAUAGACAAAACAGAAGAUUCCUUGGUUUUAUUUAGGCACCAAACCCACUCAUUCACUCAUUCAAGCAUAUUUAAAUUUAAAUGCAGCCGUCCAUGAAUAAACAACAGACCCAUUACCAAGAAGGUGAUCAUCCUUUUUCAGGGUUGGUUCUUCAAAAUUCAAAAUCAGUUAGCUGAAGAACAGAAAGGAAAAGAACAGAGCUGAAUUUACAGAAAAGUAAUUUUUUUUUCCUUUUCCUUUUCUAAGGAUCUUGGAAUCCUUUUCCUGGUAUAGGCAGAACAUUAGAGAUAUAUAUAUGGUAGUGGGAAGUAAUUCUUCCCCCUAAAACAUUUUCUUUUCUAUUGAGUCAUGGCUUCAGCUUCGAGGGAUCAUCGUUUUUGGCCUUCUGUUUGUGGUUGAUAAAAGCUGAAGGGAACAAGAACAAAGGCAAAAGGGCACCAGAACCAUCCAGGGCAUGACCUUUAAUCGGACACCUUCAUCUUCUAUGAGCAGGCAAGCCCCAACAUCAAUCAUUUGGAGCCAUGGCAGAUAAGUAUGGACCAAUCUUUUGCUUUCAUAUUGGCCUGCGCAAAACUUUUUUGGUUAGCAGCUGGGACGCAGCAAAAGAAUGUUUCACUACCAUGGACAAAGCAUUUGACACUCGACCCAGAUCCUUGGCAGGAAAGCUCAUGGGCUAUGACCAUGCCAUGUUUGGCUUCUCUCCUUACGGGCCAUACUGGCGUGAGGUAAGGAAGCUGGCCUCGGUUGAGCUCCUCUUAAACCGCCAGCUUGAGUUACUCAACCAUGUCCGGGACUCAGAAGUCAAGCUUUUCAUCAAAGAGCUCUACGGGCAAUGGAUACAAAAUGGGGACAGGCCUGUCUUGGUCGAGAUGAAGGAGAAGUGUUGGUUCCUGGCAGCAAAUGUAAUGGUGAGCGAAGUAGCUGGGAAACGGUAUUUUGGCACCGUUACAAAUUGAAGAAUUUGAAGAAAAAUAUGAAGGAAUUUGAAGACAAAAUAUGGAGGAACACCUCAAUUCAUUCUGUGAUUCCUUCCUUUACAAUGAAUGAAAGCAUAAAUAAAUAGCCUACGGAUAUGAGACAAUUCCGGAAUGGAAUUUCCCUUACAUGGAAAGUGAAUAAACUCUUACAUGGGAAUUAAAUAAACUACUCUUACAUGGAAAGUAAAUAAACUACUCUUACAUGGAAAGUGAAUAAACUACUCUUACAUGGAAAGUGAAUAAACUACCUUGCUAGAAUUAUUCCUAAAUCAAUUAUAAUAAAGGCUGUACAUUACACUAAUUAGGGAAGUAAACAGAGGAUGCUGGCUUGAUUUCCAACACUCCCCCUCAAGCCGCGUUGUAGAUGUUGAUCAUUCCAAGUUUUUCUGUCAGAUCUUCGAAGUUAACUCGAGCAAGAGCUUUUGUAAGAAUGUCAGCCGUUUGACAGUUUGUCGGAGUGUAGCUGACUUUGAAAACUCCUUCUUCAAUCUUUUCCUUGAUAAAGUGUCGAUCUAUCUCCACGUGCUUAGUUCGAUCAUGAUGAACCGGAUUCUUAGCGAUACUGAUGGCAGCUUGAUUGUCGCAGUAUAAUACCAUGGGAUGCUUCAAUGGAACCCGUAAUUCUUCUAACAGCCUGUUCAACCAGAUUCCCUCGCAGAUACCUUGUGCCAUAGCACGAAAUUCUGCCUCAACACUGCUACGGGCUACCACUGACUGUUUCUUGCUUCGCCAUGUAACCAAGUUCCCCCAGACAAAUGAACAAUAGCCUGAAGUUGAUCUCCGAUCAGUCACUGAACCUGCCCAAUCUGCAUCUGAAAAAAUUUCAAUCUCUUUCUUUGUUGUUCUUUGAAAGAAGAGGCCCUUUCCCGGUGUCAUCUUGAGGUAUCUCAAUAUUCUGAUCACAGCAGUCAUGUGUUUUUCGAUUGGAUUAUUCAUGAAUUGACUUACCACACUAACGGAGAAGCCGAUGUCUGGCCUUGUAUGAGAAAGAUAGAUGAGUUUCCCCACAAGACGUUGAUAUCUUCCUUUAUCAAUUGGCGCACUUCCAUCACUUUCUUCCAGUUUGACAGUUGUAUCCAUAGGUGUUUCUGCCGGCUUGCAUCCUAGCAUUCCUAUUUCAUUCAAUAAGUCCAGAGCGUAUUUGCGUUGUGAGACUGCUAUACCUUUCUUUGACCUAGCAAUCUCCAUUCCGAGAAAGUACUUGAGGUUUCCAAGAUCCUUGAUCUCAAAUUCCUUUGUCAGUAAUUUUUUAAGUAAGUCAAUUUUCUCUUCAUGAUCACCUGUCAAAAUUAUGUCGUCCACAUAUACAAUGAUAAUUGCCAGUUUCCCUUCUGGGAAGUGUUUCACAAAUAAUGUGUGAUCGGAUUGACAUUGAACGAAUCCGUACCUUUUCACUACCUUAGUGAACCGUUCAAACCAGGCCCUGGGAGAUUGUUUGAGACCAUACAAGGAUUUUCGGAGUCUGCAAACCUUGUUGAAAUUUGAUGUCGUCUCAAGUCCAGCAGGAAUGUCCAUGUAAACUUCUUCCUCUAAGUCACCAUUGAGGAAUGCAUUCUUCACAUCAAGUUGGUGAAGCGACCAAUCGAGAUUAGCUGCCAAGGAUAAAAGUACACGAACAGUAUUGAGCUUGGCAACUGGAGCAAAAGUUUCUUGAUAGUCAAUGCCAUAGGAUUGGGUGAAUCCUUUGGCGACCAACCGAGCCUUAUACCUGUCCACAUUACCAUCUGCCUUGUACUUUACUGUGAAAAUCCACUUNNNNNNNNNNNNNNNNNNNNNNNNNNNNNNNNNNNNNNNNNNNNNNNNNNNNNNNNNNNNNNNNNNNNNNNNNNNNNNNNNNNNNNNNNNNNNNNNNNNNNNNNNNNNNNNNNNNNNNNNNNNNNNNNNNNNNNNNNNNNNNNNNNNNNNNNNNNNNNNNNNNNNNNNNNNNNNNNNNNNNNNNNNNNNNNNNNNNNNNNNNNNNNNNNNNNNNNNNNNNNNNNNNNNNNNNNNNNNNNNNNNNNNNNNNNNNNNNNNNNNNNNNNNNNNNNNNNNNNNNNNNNNNNNNNNNNNNNNNNNNNNNNNNNNNNNNNNNNNNNNNNNNNNNNNNNNNNNNNNNNNNNNNNNNNNNNNNNNNNNNNNNNNNNNNNNNNNNNNNNNNNNNNNNNNNNNNNNNNNNNNNNNNNNNNNNNNNNNNNNNNNNNNNNNNNNNNNNNNNNNNNNNNNNNNNNNNNNNNNNNNNNNNNNNNNNNNNNNNNNNNNNNNNNNNNNNNNNNNNNNNNNNNNNNNNNNNNNNNNNNNNNNNNNNNNNNNNNNNNNNNNNNNNNNNNNNNNNNNNNNNNNNNNNNNNNNNNNNNNNNNNNNNNNNNNNNNNNNNNNNNNNNNNNNNNNNNNNNNNNNNNNNNNNNNNNNNNNNNNNNNNNNNNNNNNNNNNNNNNNNNNNNNNNNNNNNNNNNNNNNNNNNNNNNNNNNNNNNNNNNNNNNNNNNNNNNNNNNNNNNNNNNNNNNNNNNNNNNNNNNNNNNNNNNNNNNNNNNNNNNNNNNNNNNNNNNNNNNNNNNNNNNNNNNNNNNNNNNNNNNNNNNNNNNNNNNNNNNNNNNNNNNNNNNNNNNNNNNNNNNNNNNNNNNNNNNNNNNNNNNNNNNNNNNNNNNNNNNNNNNUGUGGGGUAUCAACACAUGAACUUAAGUGAACUAUCCCUUCUUGUGCUAGAAAUUCUCCUAGAAUGGAGUUGAAAUAAUCCCUAGCAUUAUCAAACUUUAGAAUUUGUAUUUUUGACUGGAAUUGGGUUUGAAUCAUAUUUUUAAAAUUUUUGAAAAUUUGACUCGUUUCAGAUUUUUCUUUCAUGAGGAAUACCCAAGUUAAUCUAGUGUGAUCAUCUAUGAAUGAGACAAACCACCUAGUACCAGUUACAUUUUUUAUUCUUGACGGACCCCAGAUAUCGCUAUGAAUCAUUGAGAAUGGACUAGACUCUUUAUAGGGUUGAAUGGGAAAAUGAGACCGGACUUGCUUUGAUAAUUGACAGAUUUCACACUCAAAGGAUUGUGGAUUUUUAUUAAAUAAUGAAGGAAAUAAAUGCUUGAGAUACAUAACAUUUGGAUGACCUAAGCGAUAGUGCCACAACCUAAUUGCACUAUCGUUAUUUUGACAUGAAACCGAAAAAGAAUUACUACCAACUGUCAUUUGAGGUUGUUCUUGUGGAUCGUGGCGCUCCUUAAGGAUGUAGAGUCCAGAGCAUUCCUCAGCAUUGCCAAUCGUCUUCCCCGAAUCCAAAUCCUUUGUGAGCCAAGGUUCCGGAACCAAUGACCUGGUUGGAAGAUGAGCCAGUUUCCAUCUGAUGAGAGGAUGAAGACGAUGAGAUGAUGAUAUCAGAAGUAGAGGAUGAUGAGUUGGUAGCCAUUCCAAAGGCUGAACCUUAUUUGGGCAUAAAUUAGAAGAAUAGAAUUGAGUAAAAACUGACUAAAGAUGAAGACGAUGAGACAGGAUUAAACCUGCUCUGAUACCAUGAAGAAUUUGAAGAAAAAUAUGAAGGAAUUUGAAGACAAAAUAUGGAGGAACACCUCAAUUCAUUCUGUGAUUCCUUCCUUUACAAUGAAUGAAAGCAUAAAUAAAUAGCCUACGGAUAUGAGACAAUUCCGGAAUGGAAUUUCCCUUACAUGGAAAGUGAAUAAACUCUUACAUGGGAAUUAAAUAAACUACUCUUACAUGGAAAGUAAAUAAACUACUCUUACAUGGAAAGUGAAUAAACUACUCUUACAUGGAAAGUGAAUAAACUACCUUGCUAGAAUUAUUCCUAAAUCAAUUAUAAUAAAGGCUGUACAUUACACUAAUUAGGGAAGUAAACAGAGGAUGCUGGCUUGAUUUCCAACACAAAUGACUAUGAGUCAAGACGGUGCCGGAAGGCCCUUGAAGAUUUGUUAUAUCUGUCGGGGAUAUUUAUGGUUUCUGAUGCAAUUCCCUCCCUUGGCUGGUUGGACACUGUGAGAGGAUAUACGGCAAAAAUGAAGAGAAUAGCUAGGGAGGUGGAUCAGGUGCAGGGAAGCUGGGUGGAGGAGCAUCGCCGGAAGAGGUUCUCUGGAAGCAUGAACGAGGCUGUGCAAGACUUCAUCCAUGUCAUGCUGUCUGUUAUUGAUGAUGGUCAGUUCUCUGAUCAUGACCAUGACACUGUCAUUAAGGCUACUUGCUUGGUAUUUUUCUUCUACUUUCCUUGGUCAAAUUCCAUAAACCUCCACACACUUCUGUAUGGAAACAGCAAACCUCCAUCAUGAUUUGUUUUGUCCAGCUGUUAUACUUGCUAUUUCAGGACUGAUUAUUAACUCUCAACUUUCUUUGACAAAUUUUCUGGGAAUAAUGAAAACUAUUAUAAACUUUUAAAUUGUUCUACUAACAGCUAGACAUACUAUUUUUUAACACACACUGAUCAAAGAAGCCAUAUCACCAGCUCAAAAGACCAACAUGGAUGUAAUGUUGAUGCAGACUCUAAUAAUAGGCGGCUCUGAUUCAACGGUGAUCACACUGACCUGGGCCCUCUGUCCGCUAAUGAACAAUCCCAGCACUCUAAAAAGAGCACAAGAUGAGUUAGACAUCAAAGUGGGAAAGCAUCGCCAAGUGGAUGAGUCAGACAUAAAGAACCUAGUCUACUUGCAAGCCAUCAUCAAGGAAACCUUACGACUGUACCCUGCUGCACCGCUUUCAGUGCCACGUGAGGCCAUGGAGGAUUGCACCAUGGCAGACUUCCACAUCCAAGCUGGGCGCGCCUUUUGGUUAACCUCUGGAAGUUGCACAGGGACCCCAGAAUUUGGUCGGAUCCUUUGGAGUUCCAAC